rnacentral:lncRNA from 1 species
UGUUUUUUGUUUUUGUUCCUGUUUAGUAAUAAAUUUUGUUUCUACUUUCUGUUUAGAUGUGUUUUCAUGUUUUAUUUAGUGUUUGUGCUAAGUAGAACCUAUAGGAUAACCUAUAAUAUGAGUUGAUUUGAUUCUGCUGAAAAACAGAAACUUUGCGCUCACGAGAAAAAAUUCAAUAAAUCACAGAAACAAUAUUUUUGAUUGAUUCUUUUUGCUUCUGUUCAAUAAACAAAUUGUUUAGGACGUCAUAUUUUGGUAGGACUUUUAAAGUUCCAUAAGUUUGCGUUAGUUACAGAUUGCUACAGACUGUUCUGUUUUUGACAGAUUCUGUUUUUCGUGUGUUGUUUGCUUAUUUUGAUGCAUCUAUGGCUAGUAUGUAAGGGUAUGAACCAUAGAGAACUUGGAAUAUAGUAGGUUUAACACCAAUAUAAAUAAAGAAUGAGUUAAUUACAGUACCUUAUGUGGUGGUUUUGUUUUCUUUCACUAACGGAGCUUAUGAGAUUUCCUGUUGAGUUUUGUGUUGUGAAGUUUUCAAGUUUUGGGUAAAGAUUUGAUGGACUAUGGAAUAAAGGGUGGCAAAAGCCUAAGAUUGGGGAUGCCCAAGGCACCCCAAUAUAUUCAAGAAUAGCCAAAAUCCUAAGCUUGGGGAUGCCCCCGGAAGGCAUCCCCUCUUUUGUCUUCGUUCAUUGGUAACUUUACUUGGAGCUAUAUUUUUAUUUGCUACAUGAUAUGUGUUUUGCUUGGAGCGUCGUGUAUUAUAUUAGUCUUUGCUUUUUAGUUUACCACAAUCAUCCUUGCUGUAAUACACCUUUUGGGAGAAGCCUACUUGAUUGAAAUUUAUUAGAAUACUCUAUAUGUUUCACUUAUAUCUUUUGAGCUAGAUAGUUUUUGCUCUAGUGCUUCACUUAUGUCUUUUAGAGCACGGCGGUGGAUUAAUUUUGAAGAAAUUGUUGAUCUCUCAUGCUUCACUUAUAUUAUUUUGAGAGUCUUUUAGAACAGCAUGGUAUUUUCUAUGGUUAUAAAUUGGUCCUAUAAUGAUAAGCAUCCAAGUUGGGUAUAAUAAAAACUAUCAUAGGAAGUGAAUUGGAUGCUAUGAUCAACUUAAUACUUGAUAAUUGUUUUGAGAUAGGCAGGUAGUGAUAUUAAAGUCAUUCUAGUUGGGUGAUUAUUAAUUUAAAGAAUGCUUAUGUUGAAGUUAGCAAGUCCCGUAGCAUGCACGUAUGGUUAAAGUUGUGUAACAAAUUUGAAGCAUGAAGUGUACCUGGCUUGUGCAUCCUUAUGAGUGGCGGCCGGGGACGAGCGAUGGUCUUUUCCUACCAAUCUAUCCCCCUAGGAGCAUGCGCGUAGUGCUUGGUUUUUGAUGACUUCUAAAUUUUUGCAAUAACUAUAUGAGUUCUUUUGACUAAUGUUGAAUCCAUGGAUUAUACGCACUUUUACCUUUCCAUCAUUGCUAGCCUCUUCGGUACCGUGCAUUGCCCUUUCUCACCUUGAGAGUUGGUGCAAACUUCGCCGGUGCAUCCAAACCCCAUGAUAUGAUACGCUCUAUCACACAUAAACCUCCUUAUAUCUUCCUCAAAACAGCCACCAUACCUACCUAUUUACGGCGUCUCCAUAGCCAUUCCGAGAUAUAUAUUGCCAUGCAACUUUCCACCGUUUUGUUCAUCAUCAUCAUGACAUACAUUACUUUUGUCAUAUUGCCAUUGCAUGAUCAUGUAGUUGACAUCGUAUUUGUGGCAAAGCCACCAUGCAUAAUUUUUUAUACACGUCACUCUUGAUUUAUUGCACCAUCCCGGUACACCGCCGGAGGCAUUCAUAUAGAGUCAUAUCUUGUUCUAGUUUCGAGUUGUAAUUCAUGUGUUGUAAUCAAUAAAAGUUUGAUGAUCAUAAUUAUUAGAGCAUUGCCCAAAAAGAAAAAAGAAAGAAAGGCCAGAAAAAUAGAAAGGCCAAAAGAAAAAAAGAAAAAAUAAAUAAAUAAAAGGGCAAUGCUACUAUCUCUUUUUCCACACUUGUGCUUCAAACUAGCACCUUGUUCUUCAUGUAAUGAGUCUUAUAUGUUGUGCUUUAAAGUAGCACCAUGUUUUCAUGUAGAGAGUCUGAUAGGUUGUCACUUUCAUAUACUAGUGGGAAUUUUUCAUUAUAGAACUUGGCUUGUAUAUUCCUACGAUGGGCUUCCUCAAAUGCCCUAGGUCUUCGUGAGCAAGCAAGUUGGAUGCACACCCAGUAGUUUUAUUUUAUUGAGCUUUCAUUCAUUUAUAGCUCUAGUGCAUCCAUUGCAUGGCAAUCCCUACUCCUCAUGUUGAAAUCAAUUGAUGGGCAUUUCCCAUAGCCCAUUGAUUAUCCUCGUCAAUGUGAGACUUCCUCUUUUUUUUGUCUUCUCCACACAAUCCCCAAUCAUUAUUCUAUUCCACCCAUAGUGCUAUAUCCAUGGCUCACGCUCAUGUAUUGCGUGAAGGUUGAAAAAGUUUGAGAUUAUUUAAGUACGAAACAAUUGCUUGGCUUGUCAUCGGGGGUAUAGAAGUUGGGAACAUCUUUGUGUGAUGAAAAUGAAGCAUAGCCUAACUAUAUGAUUUUGUAGGGAUGAACUUUCUUUAGACAUGUUAUUUUGAGAAGACAUGAUUGCUUUUAUUAGUAUGCUCGAAGUAUUGCUAUUUCUUUUGUCAAUAUGAACUUUUAGGUUGAAUCACUUGGAUCUGAACAUUCAUGCCACAAUAAAGCGAAAUUACAUUGAGAAUUAUGCUAGGUAGCAUUCCACAUCAAAAAUUUUGUUUUUAUCAUUUACCUACUCGAGGACGAGCAGGAAUUAAGCUUGGGGACGCUUGAUACGUCUCCAACGUAUCUAUAAUUUUUUAUUGUUCCAUGCUACUAUAUUACCUGUUUUGGAUGUCUAUGGGCUUUAUUUUACACAAUUAUAUCAUUUUUGGGACUAACCUACUAACCUUAGGCCCAGCCCGUAUUGCUGUUUUUUGCCUAUUUCAGUAUUUCGAAGAAAAGGAAUAUCAAACGGAGUCCAAACGGAAUGAAACCUUUGGGGGCAUCAUUUUUUGGAACGAACGUGAUCCGGAGGACUCGGGGUGCAAGUCAAGAAGCAGCCGAGGCAGCCACGAGGGUGGGGGGUGUGCCCACCCCUAUAGGGCGCGCCCCCUGUCUCAUGGGCCCCUCGGGCGGCCACCGACGUACUUCUUCCUCCUAUAUAAGCCUACAUACCCCAAAAACAUCCAGAGCCACCAAAUAUUUCCACCACCAUAACCUUCUGUAUCCGUGAGAUCCCAUCUUGGAGCCGUCGCCCCCAUUCUGCCGGAGGAGGAAUCCACCACGGAGGGCUUCUACAUCAACACCAUAGCCCCUCCGAUGAGUUGUGAGUAGUUUACCACAGACCUUCGGGUCCAUAGUUAUUAGCUAGUUGGCUUCUUCUCUCUUUUUGGAUCUCAAUACAAUGAUCUCCCCCUCUCUUGUGGAGAUCUAUUCGAUGUAAUCUCUUUUUGCGGUGUGUUUGUCGAGAUCCGAUGAAUUGUGGGUUUAUGAUCUAGUUUAUCUAUGAAUAAUAUUUGAAUCUUCUCUGAAUUCUUAUAUGUAUGAUUGAGUUAUCUUUGCAAGUCUCUUUGAACUAUCGGUUUGGUUUGGCCUACUAGAUUGAUCUUUCUUGCCAUGGGAGAAGUGCUUAGCUUUGGGUUCAAUCUUGUGGUGUUCUUACCCAGUGACAGAAAGGGUUGCAAGAAACGUAUUGUAUUGUUGCCAUCGAGGAUAAAAAGAUGGGGUUUAUAUCAUAUUGCUUGAGUUUAUCCCUCUACAUCAUGUCAUCUUUCUUAAUGCGUUACUCUGUUUUUAUGAACUUAAUACUCUAGAUGCAUGCUGGAUAGCGGUCGAUGUGUGGAGUAAUAGUAGUAGAUGCAGGCAGGAGUCGGUCUACCUGUCACGGAAGUGAUGCCUAUAUACAUGAUCAUGCCUAGAUAACAUGAUAAUUAUUCGCUUUUCAAUCAAUUGCUCGACAUUAAUUUGUUCACCCAUCGUAAUACUUAUGCUAUCUUGAGAGAAGCCUCUAGUGAAACCUAUGGCCCCCGGGUCUAUCUUUUAUCAUAUAAGUUUCCAAUCUACUUUUAUUUGCAUCUUUAUUUUCUGCAUCUAUAUUAUAAAAGACCAAAAAUAUAUUUAUCUUAUCAUAUUAUCUCUAUCAGAUCUCACUUUCGCAAGUGGUCGUGAAGGGAUUGACAACCCGUUUAUCGCGUUGGUUGUGAGUUCUUUGUUUGUUUGUGUAGGUUCGUGGGACUUGUGAGGAGCCUCCUACUGGAUUGAUACCUUGGUUCUCAAAAACUGAGGGAAAUACUUACACUACUAUGCUGCAUCACCCUUUCCUCUUCAAGGAAAACGAACGCAAGCUCAAGACGGAGCAAUGACUUAUACAAGUUCCUCUGACUAUGAGAUUAUGCAACUCCCAAGUACCAGAGGAGCACCUUGUAUGCUAUCAAACGUCACAAUUUAACUGGGUGAUUAUAAAGAUGCUCUACAAGUGUCUCUGAAGGUGUUUGUUGGGUUGGCAAAGAUCGAGAAAAGGAUUUGUCACUCUGUGUAUCAGAGAGGUAUCUGUGGGCCAUCUAGGUAAAGCUCAUCACUAUAAGCCUUGCAAGCAAUGACUAAUGAGUUAGUUGCGGGACGAAGUAUUAUGGAACGAGUAAAUAGACUUGUUGGUAACAAGAUUGAACUAGGUAUGAUGAUACCAACAAUCGAAUCUUGGGCAAGUAACAUACCGAUGACAAAGGGAACAACCUAUGUUGUUGUGCGGUUUUGACCGAUAAAGAUAUUCGUAGAAUACGUGGGAGCCAAUAUGAGCAUCGGGGUUCCGCUAUUGGUUAUUGAUCGGAGAUGUGUCUCAAUCAUGUCUAUAUAGUUCUCGAACCCGUAGGGUCCACAUGCUUAACAUUUGAUGAUGAUUUGUAUUAUGAGCUAUGUGUUUUUGAUGACCGAAGUUUGUUCGAAGUCCCGGAUGAGAUCACGGACAUGACGAGGAGUCUUGAAAUGGCCGAGACAUAAAGAUUGAUAUAUUGGAAGGUUAUAUACAGACACUGGAAUGGUUUUGAAGAAGAUCAAGGAUUUUUUGGAGUACCGGGAGGUUACCAGACCCCCCCCCCCAGGGAAAGUUAAUGGGCCUCAUGGGCCAUAGUGGAGAGAGGGAAGGCUUCCACAAGAGGUGGCGCGUGCCUCCUCCUUGCCCAAACUGAAUUGGAAAAGUGGUGGGGGCGCGACCCCCCCCCCUUCCUUCUCCCUCUUCCCCCUUUCCCCUUUUCGCUCUCCAUUGGUUGGAAGGGGGCGAAUCCUACUUGGACUAGGAGUCCAAGUAGAACCCCCCCUUUGGUGCACCCCUCCUAGGCCGACGGCCUCCUCCUCCCAUCGUUUAUAUAGGGAGCGGGGGGCACCCCAAAGACAGACCAAAAAUUCUCGUAGCAAGUGCGGUGCCCCCUCCACAGUUUACUCCUCCGGUUGAAGCGUCAUAGUGCUUAGAUGAAGCCCUGCGCUGAUCACAUCAUGAACAUCGUCCCCACGCCGUCGUGCUGACGGAAGUCUCCCUCGACCCUCUACUGGAUCAAGAGUUAGAGGGACAUCAUCGAGCUGAACGUGUGCUGAACACAGAGGUGCCAUGUGUUCGGUACUUGGAUCGGUUGGAUUAUGAAGACAUUUGACUACAUCAACCGCGUUAACUAACGCUUCCGCUUUCGGUCGAUGAGGGUACGUGGACACGCUCUUCCCUUCUUGUUGCUAUGCAUCUCCUAGAUAGAUCUUGCGUGAUCAUAGGAUUUUUUUUUUGAAAUUGCAUGCUACAUUCCCCAACAGUGGCAUCCGAGCCAGGUCUAUGCGUAGAUGAUAUGCACGAGUAGAACACAAAGAGUUGUGGGCAAUAAUAGUCAUACUGCUUAUCACCAACGUCUUACUUUGAUUCAGCAGUAUUGUUGGAUGAAGCGGCCCAGACCGACAUUACAUGACCGUGUUCACGAGACUGGUUCUACCGACGUGAUUUGCACACAGGUGGCUGGCGGGUGUCUGUUUCUCCAACUUUAGUUGAAUCAAGUUUGACUACGGUCGAUCCUUGUUGAAGGUUAAAACAGCACACUUGACGAAAAAUCAUUGUGGUUUUGAUGCGUAGGUAAGAACGGUUCUUGCUAGAAUCCCGUAGCAGCCACGUAAAACUUGCAACAACAAAGUAGAGGACGUCUAACUUGUUUUUGUAGGGCUUGUUGUGAUGUGAUAUGGUCAAGACAUGAUGUGAUAUAAAUUGUUGUAUGAGAUGAUCAUGUUUUGUAACAGAGUUAUCAGCAACUGGCAGGAGCCAUAUGGUUGUUGCUUUAUUGUAUGAAAUGCAUUCGCCAUGUAAAUGUCUUAGUUUAUCACUAAGCGGUAGCGAUAGUCGUAGUAGAAAUAGUUGGCGAGACGACAACGAUGCUACGAUGGAGAUCAAGGUGUCAAGCCGGUGACGAUGGAGGUCAUGACGGUGCUUUGGAGAUGGUGAUCAAAGGUACAAGAUGAUGAUAGCCAUCUCAGUCACAUAUUUUGAUUGCAUGUGAUGUUUAUCCUUUAUGCAUCUUAUUUUGCUUAGAACAGUGGCAGCAUUAUAGGAUGAUCCCUCACUAAAUUUCAAGGUAUAAGUGUUCUCCCUGAGUAUGCAUCGUUGCUACAGUUCGUCGUGUCGAGACACCACGUGAUGAUCGGGUGUGAUAAGCUCUACGUUCAAAUACAACGAGUGCAAGCUAGUUUUGCACGUGCAGAAUACUCGGGUUAAACUUGACGAGCCUAGCAUAUGCAGAUAUGGCCUCGGAACACCGAGACCGAAAGGUCGAAUGUGAAUCAUAUAGUAAAUAUGAUCAACAUAGAGAUGUUCACCAUUGAAAACUACUCCAUCUCACGUGAUGAUAGGACAUGGUUUAGUUUAUUUGGAUCACGUGAUUAUUUAGAUGACUAGAGGGAUGUCUAUCUAAGUGGGAGUUCUUUAGUAAUAUGAUUAAUUGAACUUUAAUUUAUUAUGAACUUAGUCCUGAUAGUUUUUUGCAUAUCUAUUUUGUUGUAGAUCAAUGGCCCGUGCUAUCGUUCCCUUGAAUUUAGUUGUGUUCCUAGGGAAAGCUACGUUGAAAGAUGAUGGUAGCAAUUACACAGACUGGGUCCGUAACUUGAGGAUUCUCCACAUUGCUGCACAGAAGAAUUACGUCCUGGAAGCAUAACCAGGUGCAAGGCCUGCUGCAGGAGCAGAUGUUGAUGUUAUGAACGUUUGCCAGACUCGAUCUAAUGACUACUCGAUAGUUCAGUGUGCCAUGCUUUAUGGCUUAGAAUCGGGGCUUGAAAUACACUUUGAACGUCAUGGAGCAUAUGAGAUGUUCCAAGAGUUGAAGUUAAUAUUUGAAGCAAAUGCCCGAGUUGAGAGAUAUGAAGUCUCCAACAAGUUCUAUAGCUGCAAGAGGGAGGAGAAUAGUUCUGUCAGUGAACACAUACUCAGAAUGUGUGGGUACCAUAAUCACUUGACUCAGCUGGGAGUUAAUCUUCCUGGUAAUAGUAUCAUUGAAAGAGUUCUUCAAUGACUGCCACCAAGCUAUAAAGGCUUUGUGAUGAAUUAUAAUAUGCAAGGGAUGGAAAAGACUAUUCUCGAGCUCUUCGCAAUGCUAAAGGCUACGGAGUUAGAAAUCAAGAAGGAGCAUCAAGUGUUGAUAGUUACACUACAAAAAAAAAAGACACAUUUGUGACAUUUUGGGUUGAGCAAAAUUAUUUUCUGUCAUACUUAUGACACUUCUAUGACAAUAAUUCUGACAAAACUCGGUAUCAUCAUAGAUGUGGUGAGCUCCUACUUCUAUGACAAAAAAUCAUGACAGAAAACGGGCUUUUCGUCCUGGGUAGGCCGGAUACACAGCUGCAUGACAUUCUUUGGGCCGUCCAUGACGGAGAAAACCACGGUAGAAGCGAGGGCAGGGAAAAUGUCAGGGAGUUCCCAGUUACGGUGGGUGGUCAGGGGCCGAGCGAUGCACGUUUCUCUCAUACACGUACAUGUGUGUGUGAGACGUUGGGCUCUAACUGAACCCGAGCAAGGUGUUCGCCUACUGAACCCGAGCGAUUGCACUGAAGGCUACGCGUUACUGAACCCGAUCGAGCGAUUCCUUCGUUCGCUACUGCUACUUACUGAAGCCGAUCGAACCUGCUACCUCCUUCCCUUGAUGAACAAUGAGCAUUGUUGGGGGUCGGAUGAACAGUUCUUGGUGGGGAGUUGGAUGAACAGGACCCCGUGGUGUUGCCGCUGGAUGAACAGGAACCCGAUCGAUCGAGCUGGUUGGGCAUGGAUGAACAGGACCCCGUGGAGGGCUACAUGAACAGGACCCCGUGGAGGGAAGGUUGAACAGUAGCUGGUGGAGGGCUAGUUGAACAGUAGCCCGUGUAGGGCUGGAUGAACAGGACCCCGUGGAGCGGUGGUUGAACAGGACCUCGUGGAGAGGGCUGGUUGAACAGUAGCCAGUGGAGGAGCGCGCGGUGGAGGCUAGAAGAACAGGAGCCCGUGGAUGAACAGUCGCAGGUGGAGGCUGGAGGAGGUCGACGGUAGAUGAACAGUAGCCCCUGGAGGCUAGAGGAGGUCGAUGGCAGAGAUGAACAGUAUCCCGUGGAGUCCCGUUUUGCGGUAUGCCACACCCGUCCCGAUGAACAGGACCCCCGUUCUGACCGUAGCGCUCCAACACAAGUCCGUUUCCUCCGUUUUACGGUACGCCACACCCAUCCCGAUCAACAGGACCCCGUUUCGACCAUAGGAGGUCCAACAGAAGUAUGUUUCCUCUAUUUUGCGGUACGCCAGACCCCUCCCGAUGAAUAGGAUCCUAUUUCGAUGGUGGCCGGUCGAACACAAGGCCGUUUCCUCCGUUUUGCGGUACGCCAGGCCUCGUUUCCAUCGGUUGUUCCGUCCAAGCCGGUUGGCUUCCGAUGAACAUGACAAAGCAUUCUGUUCCGACCCAGCCGGUUGGUCCCCCAUGAACAUGACGACGACAUAAUUUCUCUAUUCCGACCCAGCCAUGUACACGAGCCCUGGCCGUACGUAUCCGCGAGUAGGUGUUCGAGACCCCGCCCGUAUGUAUGUACGUGGCCAUAUUUACUUUAUUGCACCCUGGCCGCUGUACGUACAUGUACAUGCUACGUGCGCGCCUCUACUACGACACGUGCGCGCCUCUACUACGACACGUGCGCGGCUCUACAUCGACCAGUAUAUACGUACAAGUUCGCGACCAGAAUGACAAUGCUAUGUACGCUUCGACCAGGUGGGUCCCGACUAUCAGGCACUUCCUUGCGUGCGAAAAUGUAGCUAGUGAGUCCCAGCAGUGAGGGGGCGAAUAAUUUCUUUUGCCCGGACACACUUCCUUGCAUGCGGAGAUGUAGCUGGUGGGUCCCAGCAGUCAUGGGAACGUUUUUUCGUGAAAUACAGUGGCCCGUCUGGUGGACCCCUGCUGUUAGGUGGAGGAAUCAUUAUUUUCCACAUAAUAAUGAGGCACUUCCUUGCUACGGCCGUGGACCCAGCUGGCAGCCUCUCCACGUACAGUACUCUUCCGAUGGAAGUCGUUCCUUGACCCCAGUGACCACGCCGCGCCGAGAGCACCAGGGCGAUGGAUGACGGCGAGGCCUAGGAAGGGGACGACGUGGAGAUGGGGAAGACGCAGCAGUGGAUACCCAUGCGGAGAGGUGUACGAGGGUUCACUGGUUCCGCUUCAGUGUGAGACGGCUGUCGCCACAGAAUAACAGGGGUGUGGGUGAGUGGAGGGAUGGCCUGGCCAGCGGUGGGAGUAGUAGGGGGUGGUGAGGCCUCAACGGCAGCACAGCCAACCACGGGAGGUAGGAGCAGGCGGCACGACCGACGCUGCUUUGGGCAGCUGGAGCAAGAAGACCAGAGGUUGAAGAAGCACUACGACCGUUGGAUGGAAAUCGUAAGGUCACCGGAGCUAGAAUCGUGAAUAUUGACUAAGUUGACAAAGCCCUCCAUCCCCGUCAACUUAGUAGGCCCACAAGUCAGCCUCCCACUAUGGUGGGUCCCGGCUAGCAGGGGGAGUAUUCAUUUUUUUGUGCGUAAUAAGGAGGCACUUCCUUGCGUGCGAAGAUAUAGCUGGUGGGUCCGACCUGUCAGCGGGGGGAAUGUUUUUUUUUGUGAAAUAUAGAGGCCCUUUCGGUGGGUCCCAGAUGUCGGGUGGAGGAAUCAUUAUUUUGCGCGUAAUAAGGAGGCAUUUCCUUGUGUGCGGCCAUGGACCCAGCUGUCAGCCUCUCCACGUAUAGUCCACGUCCGAUGGAAGUCGUUCCUUGACCAUGUUGACCACGCCGCGCCGAGAGCACCAGGGCGGUGGACGAUGGCGAGGCCUAGGAAGGGGACGACACGGAGCCGGGGAAGACGCGGUAGUGGAUGCCCACGCGGACAGGAGUAUGAGGGUUCACUGGUUCGGCUUCGGUGUGAGGCUGCCGUCGCCACAGAAUAACAGGGGGUGUGGGUGAGUGGAGGAAUGGCCUGGCCAGCGGUGGGAGUAGUAGGGGGCGGUGAGGCCUCCGCGACAGCACAGCCAGCCACGAGAGGCAGGAGCAGGCGGCACGACCGGCGCUGCUUUGGGCGGCUGGAGCAAGAAGUCCAGAGGUUGAAGAAGCACGACGACCGUUGGAUGGACAUCAUAUGGUCACUGCAUCUAGAAUCGUUUAUAUUGACUAAGUUGACAAAGCCCUUCGUAUGCAUCAACUUAGUAGGCCCACAUGUCAGCCUCCAAAAUAGUGUGCCCCAGAUGUCAGGGGGAGGAAUCAUUUUUUGGGCAGCUGAAGCUAGAAUAUCCGACAUUGAAGAAGAAGCAUGACAUCCGUUCGAUGGACAUCCAACGACCACUACUUCUAGAACUGUGUGUUGACUAUAAGUUGACAAAGCCUUGCAUACGUGUCAACUUAAUUUUUUCUAGGGGACGCAUCAACUUAGUAGGCUCGCAAGUGGGUGGCAGAGAACUUAUAGCCCAUUUGCGAUUUGUAAGAAUGUCCGACCCAUUUUUGAAUUCUAAUGGAAUUACUACAGCCCAUUUACAGUUUGUUAAAAGUACAACUCAUUUUCUAGCUAGGACAACGAUUAAGAAUUUCAACCAACCGUUCAAAACAGAAUUCAAUAAAAUUUCCCACAUUUUGAUGGGAUCCGAAAUAUUUUUAUCCCGAAAUUUCUAGUCAGAUUAAAUACAAUUUCAAUAUAAAUUUAUAUUACGUAAAAUCCAACGAAACAUUGCAUGCGUAACAAUUAAUGUAAUUAAAAUUUUCAAAAUCCAAAAAUAAUAUUUUAUAAACUAAUUACGUGUUUGGUGCAUUUUUUUAUAGUUACUGCACAAUUUUUAUAAUUACAUCCCAUUUAUUAUUUCUUAAAGCUCAUUUUCCUAUUAAGACUAAUGCAUCCCUCCUAGGAAAGAUUUGCAGCCCAGCGGGGCGGAGAAUAAGAAGUUCACCUUGCCUCGGUAUUCCUAAAAAAAGUAUAGCUGGGCUAGCCAUUUUCAGCUUGAAAAAAAAUUAAUAUCUGGGUUGGAUAUCUGGCCUGGGCUAGACGGGCCACAGCCCGCCCAGUUAAUACCCUGCUCUCCUCUAAACAACAACGAAAACAUCACUCAAGAAAAACUCUGCAGUGCUCACACCUCAAAAACACAACUACUGCUCGAGCUGCUUGGUCCCUGCUAUCGGCCGCUCCUUGUGCAAUUCUCUCGUUUAUUGACUACAUGGGUUGACAAUGGUGUGGGACCGUGAUGUCACGAAACCAGGAGGAAGCAAAAAAAAUUACAAUUGUAUAUAAUAAGGAGGCACUUGCGUACGUGCGGCUAUGAACUUGGUGGGUCCCCACUGUCAUCCUCUCCAAGUAAAGUCAUCUCCUCAUUCCUCAUGUUCGUUGACCAUGUUGACAAUGCGACGGCGGUGCCACAGCGAGCGCAACAAAUCGAAGGACGGCGGAGAGGGCCUCACGGGCCCUACGGAUGGUCUGAUACAGCGCCCGCUGCUCAUUCGGGAAGCCAGGAUCAUAGGGCCACAUGUCCACGACAGCAUUGUCGUUCGCUUGUUCACCGGUGCUUGUUGAGGAGACGGAGGUUGCAACACAGGUCCUCCUACACUGGUAGGUCUUUCGCCAUUAGGGCGUCGAAGUGCGGCCGCACUUGCUCUAUGGUGAACAUGACAUGAACCGGCUUGGACAGUGGCACCGGCUCCUGGUCGGAAGCUACGUCCAUCGUCUGAUUGUCGUCGCUCUACUCGGCGAGCUCGCUGGCGAACCAGCAUGUCCGGCUGCUGGACCGACCCGCUGCCAAGCAUGAGUCUAACUGCCCUGGCAAACCCAGACCGGCUCCCUCGCCCACGCGCGCUUUCCGCUCGAAAUGGUCAGCGCCGCCCGCCCUGCUUCCCCGUGCAGGCGAUUGCUCCGCCUUCAAAUGACACAAGUGUCGUCCUUCCGUCCGUCUGCCACCCACAUUAAUGAUACGCGGUUGCUGAGGCGACUACUCCGGCGCCACAUGUCCGUCCCUCCGCCGCCCACCAUUGCUAAAUAAACUGCUGCGCCGGCCAUAGCCACAGUCAUCCACCUUUGUUCCCUUUCUCCUGUCCACACCACUACUGCCCACCAUGGCUUCCUCGCGCUCCACUACUCUUUGGGACGGGCGGACGGUGGAACACAAGGAGAAUGCAGCCAUUGCUGCCCACUGGCUGGCCCGCAGAUAGCCAAAGGACUAUGACGUCCCAAUGGAGAAUAUGGUAGUCGACGAUACGGCGCCAACCCCCUCCUCCGCGCCAUCCUCGUCGGUGCAUUGCACCAUGACCAUCGGCAAGGCCCGUGCCCAAUACAUGGACACGGUGAGGUAGAAGCGUCCGGAGCAGUUCUCGGAGGUGCAGGCCGACGCCGCCUACAACCACCACCUCCUCCAGGAGCACCUGCAGGCGGAGCAGCAGAUCGCCACGGAGCGGGCGGAGCAGGAGGCGCUGCUCAACUCGUACCGCUCCGCCCGCGAGGGCCGCUGUCGGUGUCAAAACCGGCGGAUCUUGGGUAGGGGGUCCCGAACUGUGCUCCUAAGGCUAAUGGUAACAGGAGGCUGGGGACACAAUGGUUACCCACGUUCGGGUCCUCUCGAUGGAGGUAAUACCCUACUUCCUGCUUGAUUGAUCUUGAUGAUAUGAGUAUUACAAGAGUUGAUCUACCACGAGAUCGUAGAGGCUAAACCCUAGAAGCUAGCCUAUGAUUAUGAUUGUUCUUGUCCUACGGACUAAACCCUGCAGUUUAUGAUCAUAGAGGCUAAACCCUCCGGUUUAUAUAUGAUCGUACAAUUGCGCAACAAACCUAGUCCUACUCAAACUCUACAGCCUUGUCCCCCCAAAAAAAGAUUUGUACUAGUACUUUCCCCCCUUCCUUUCCUCUUUGAACCACGUCCUAGAUUCAUGCUAUACAACUUUCCCCAUUCCUUUCCUCUUUGAACCACGUCUUAGAUUCAUGUUAUACAACUUUCCCCACUACUUUCCACACUACUUUCCUAUUUGAUCCAACACCUAGAUUCGAGUGUAGAAGUGGAAAAAGCGCACAUGCAGCUAGAGCAAUGCAAGUGGAAUAAGUAAAUUAUACAUUAAGGUUCUUGGGGUGUGGUUUGGUGGGUGACCAGAGGCCGUUUGGCCCACACGACAAAGAAGAAGAAGGGGUCGGAGGCCCUCCCGCGCCACCGCUGGGUGAAAGUGAACAACUGCACCGGUAGUGGAUUCCCUCCCUCUCGCCGACGGCGACAAUGUUAAGACUCCUUCCCUUCCUGGCGGACGGGUCUUGCUGGCUCUUUGACCAGCAGUGAGGGGAGAGGGAGAGGCCAACGAAGUCUUAUUUAGAUCCGGAGAGGGUGAGAGAGUGUGAAGAGAGCAACUACAAGUGUUGAGGCUCGAGCGUGUAUAUAUAUAUAUAUACUAGAGAGUGUGUGUGUGUGUGUGAAGAGUGCAAACCCUAGAAAAUAAGCGUCGAGGCUGCAGCGUAUACGUGAUGAGGUGAUUAUACGGUCACUACGAGAUCGUAUAGCUCUGUAUCCAUCCAUUUUGACCAGUCAAACAAUCCUCCUGGCACCGCCCUAGAUCACUUUCUCUCUCUAUCAUGCGGGGCCUACCUGUCAUUGGGUGGAAGAAAGAAGUCGAACAAAAACAAAAUUAUGCUCAAGUGUAGUUAUCGAACCCGAGACCUCAAGUUUGAUGAGCGAACAGGCUAACCAGCUACACCACCCUGCCACUAUGUUCAACGAGAGGAAAAUAACCUUUUAUACAUUCCUGCAUUCAUGUGACAAGCAUGUCGUGUUUUUUUUGCGUGGGAGUCAUUGGGAUUUAAAUCAUAAUCAUGUCAUGUGGCUUUGGUAGUACGACUAUCCAAAGUGGGAGUAACAUAGGUGGUAACAUCACACAUCGUUAGGCAAAAUAGAUGAUGUGGUGAGUAAUUAAUGAGGAAAGAGAGGCAUGUGGUAACAUAUCUAGUUACAGUAACUGAAGGAAAUAUGCCCUAGAGGCAAUAAUAAAGUUAUUAUUUAUUUCCUUAUAUCAUGAUAAAUGUUUAUUAUUCAUGCUAGAAUUGUAUUAACCGGAAACAUAAUACAUGUGUGAAUACAUAGACAAACAGAGUGUCACUAGUAUGCCUCUACUUGACUAGCUCGUUAAUCAAAGAUGGUUAUGUUUCCUGACCAUGAACAAUGAGUUGUUAUUUGAUUAACGAGGUCACAUCAUUAGUUGAAUGAUCUGAUUGACAUGACCCAUUCCAUUAGCUUAGCACCUGAUCGUUUAGUAUGUUGCUAUUGCUUUCUUCAUGACUUAUACAUGUUCCUAUGACUAUGAGAUUAUGCAACUCCCGUUUGCCGGAGGAACACUUUGGGUGCUACCAAACGUCACAACGUAACUGGGUGAUUAUAAAGGAGCAUUACAGGUGUCUCCAAAGGUAGAUGUUGGGUUGGCGUAUUUCGAGAUUAGGAUUUGUCACUCCGAUUGUCGGAGAGGUAUCUCUGGGCCCUCUCGGUAAUGCACAUCACAUAAGCCUUGCAAGCACUGCAACUAAUAUGUUAGUUGUGAGAUGAUGUAUUACGGAACGAGUAAAGAGACUUGCCGGUAACGAGAUUGAACUAGGUAUUGGAUACCGACGAUCAAAUCUCGGGCAAGUAACAUACCGAUGACAAAGGGAACAACGUAUGUCAUUAUGCGGUCUGACCGAUAAAGAUCUUCGUAGAAUAUGUAGGAGCCAAUAUGGGCAUCCAGGUCCCGCUAUUGGUUAUUGACCGGAGACGUGUCUCGGUCAUGUCUACAUUGUUCUCGAACCCGUAGGGUCCGCACGCUUAAGGUUACGAUGACAUUUAUAUUAUGAGUUUAUGAGUUUUGAUGUACCGAAGGAGUUCGGAGUCCCGGAUGAGAUCGGGGACAUGACGAGGAGUCUUGAAAUGGUCGAGACGUAAAGAUCGAUAUAUUGGACGACUAUAUUCGGAGUUCGGAAAGGUUCCGAGUGAUUCGGGUAUUUUCGGGAGUACCGGGGAGUUACGGGAAUACGGGGAAGAGUAUUGGGCCUUGAUGGGCUUUAGUGGGAAGAGGGGAAAAAGGCUGCGCCCCCCCUCCCCUCUAGUCCGAAUUGGACUAGGGAAAAGGGGGCCGGCCACCUUUCCUUCUCAUCCACUUCCUUCUCCCUUCCUCCCCUCUUGGUGGACUCCUACUAGGACUUGGAGUCCUAGUAGGACACCACAUCAUGGCGCGCCCUCCUCCUAGGGCCGGCCUCCUCCUCCCUUUCUCCUUUAUAUACGGAGGCAGGGGGACACCCCAUGACACACAAGUUGAUCCACGUGAUCUAUUCCUUAGCCAUGUGCGGUGCCCCCUGCCACCAUAGACCUCGAUAAUACUGUAGCGGAGUUUAGGCGAAGCCCUGCUGCUGUAGUACAUCAAGAUCGUCACCACGCCGUCGUGCUGACGGAACUCUUCCCCGACACUUUGCUGGAUCGGAGUCCGGGGAUCGUCAUCGGGCUGAACGUGUGCUCGAACUCGGAGGUGCCGUAGUUUCGGUGCUUGAUCGGUUGGAUCGUGAAGACGUACGACUACUUCCUCUACGUCGUGUCAUCGCUUCCGCAGUCGGUCUGCGUUGGGUACGUAGACAACACUCUCCCCUCGUUGCUAUGCAUCACAUGAUCUUGCGUGUGCGUAGGAAAUUUUUGAAAUUACUACGAAACCCAACAGUGGCGUCCGAGCCUAGGUUACUUAUGUUGAUGUUAUAUGCACGAGUAGAACACAAGUGAGUUGUGGACGAUACAAGUCAUACUGCCUACCAGCAUGUCAUACUUUGUUUCGGCGGUAUUGUUGGACGAGACGACCCGGACCAACCUUACGCGUACGCUUACGCGAGACCGGUUCCCUCGACGUGCUUUGCACAUAGAUGGCUUGCGGGCGACUGUCUCUCCAACUUUAGUUGAACCAAGUAUGGCUACGCCCGGUCCUUGAGAAGGUUAAAACGGAGUCUAUUUGACAAACUAUCGUUGUGGUUUUGAUGCGUAGGUGAGAUUGGUUCUUACUUAAGCCCGUAGCAGCCACGUUAACCAUGCAACAACAAAGUAGAGGACGUCUAACUUGUUUUUGCAGGGCAUGUUGUGAUGUGAUAUGGUCAAGGCAUGAUGCUGAAUUUUAUUGUAUGAGAUGAUCAUGUUUUGUAACCGAGUUAUCGGCAACUGGCAGGAGCCAUAUGGUUGUCGCUUUAUUGUAUGCAAUGCAAUCGCGAUGUAAUGCUUUACUUUAUUACUAAACGGUAGUGAUAGUCGUGGAAGCAUAAGAUUGGCGAGACGACAACGAUGCUACGAUGGAGAUCAAGGUGUCGCGCCGGUGACGAUGGUGAUCAUGACGGUGCUUCGGAGAUGGAGAUCACAAGCACAAGAUGAUGAUGGCCAUAUCAUAUCACUUAUAUUGAUUGCAUGUGAUGUUUAUCCUUUUAUGCAUCUUAUCUUGCUUUGAUUGACGGUAGCAUUAUAAGAUGAUCUCUCACUAAAUUAUCAAGAAGUGUUCUCCCUGAGUAUGCACCGUUGCCAAAGUUUGUCGUGCCCAGACACCACGUGAUGAUCGGGUGUGAUAAGCUCUACGUCCAUCUACAACGGGUGCAAGCCAGUUUUGCACACGCAGAAUACUCAGGUUAAACUUGACGAGCCUAGCAUAUGCAGAUAUGGCCUCGGAACACGGAGACCGAAAGGUCGAGCGUGAAUCAUAUAGUAGAUAUGAUCAACAUAACGAUGUUCACCAUUGAAAACUACUCCAUCUCACGUGAUGAUCGGACAUGGUUUAGUUGAUAUGGAUCACGUGAUCACUUAGAUGACUAGAGAGAUGUCUGUCUAAGUGGGAGUUCUUAAGUAAUAUGAUUAAUUGAACUUAAAUUUAUCAUGAACUUAGUCCUGGUAGUAUUUUGCAAAUUAUGUUGUAGAUCAAUAGCUUGCGUUGUUGCUUUCAUAUGUUUAUUUUGAUAUGUUCCUAGAGAAUAUUGUGUUGAAAAAUGUUAGUAGCAAUGAUGCGGAUUCGAUCCGUGAUCUGAGGUUUAUCCUCAUUGCUGCACAGAAGAAUUAUGUCCUUAAUGCACCGCUAGGUGACAGACCUAUUGCAGGAGCAGAUGCAGAAGUUAUGAACGUCUGGCUAGCUCAAUAUGAUGACUACUUGAUAGUUUAGUGCACCAUGCUUAACGGCUUAGAAUCGGGACUUCAAAGACAUUUUGAAUGUCAUGGACCAUAUGAGAUGUUCCAGGAGUUGAAGCUAAUAUUUCAAGCAAAUACCCGAGUUGAGAGAUAUGAAGUCUCCAACAAGUUCUAUAGCUAAAAGAUGGAGGAGAAUCGCUCAACUAGUGAGCAUGUGCUCAGAUUGUCUGAGUACUACAAUCGCUUGAAUCAAGUGGGAGUUAAUCUUCCAGAUAAGAUAGUGAUUGACAGAAUUCUCUAGUCACCAUCACCAAGUUAGUAGAACUUCGUGAUGAACUAUGACAUGCAAGGGAUAACGGAAACGAUUCCCAAGCUCUUCGUAAUGCGGAAAUUGACGAAGGUAGAAAUCGAGAAAAACAUCAAGUGUUGAUGGUAGACAAGACCACUAGUUUCAAGAAAAGGGGCAGAAGGAAGAAGGGGAACUUCAAGAAGAACAGCAAGCAAGUUGCUGCUCAAGUGAAGAAGCCCAAGUCUGAUCCUAAGCCUGAGACUAAGUGUUUCUACUGCAAAGGGACUGGUCACUGGAAGCGGAUCUACCCCAAGUGAUUGGCGGAUAAGAAGGAUGGCAAAGUGAACAUAAGUAUAUUUGAUAUACAUGUUAUUGAUGUGUACUUUACUAGUGUUUAUCGCAAACCCUCAGUAUUUGAUACUAGUUCAGUUGCUAAGAUUAGUAACUCGAAACGGGAGUUGCAGAAUAAACAGAGACUAGUUAAGGGUGAAGUGACGAUGUGGGUUGGAAGUGGUUCCAAGAUUGAUAUGAUCAUCGUCACACACUCCCUAUACUUUCGGGAUUAGUGUUGAACCUAAAUAAGUGUUAUUUGGUGUUUGCGUUGAGCAUGAAUAUGAUUUGAUCAUGUUUAUUGUAAUACGAUUAUUCAUUUAAGUAAGAGAAAAAUUGUUGUUCUGUUUACAUGAAUAGAACCUUAUAUGGUUACACACCCAAUGAAAAUAGUUUGUUGGAUCUCGAUCGUAGUGAUACACAUAAUCAUAAUAUUGAAACCAAAAGAUGCAAAGUUAAUAAUGAUAAGUGCAACUUGUUUGUAGCACUGCCGUUUAGGUCAUAUUGGUGUAAAGCGCAUGAACAAACUCCAUACUGAUGGAAUUUUGGAAUCACUUGAUUAUGAAUCACUUGAUGCUUGCGAACUGUGCCUUUUGGGCAAGAUGACUAAAACUCCGUUCUCCGGAACAAUGGAACGAGCUACUGACUUAUUGGAAAUAAUACAUACCGAUGUAUGCGAUCCAAUGAGUGCUGAUGCUCGUGGCAAGCAUCGUUGUUUUCUGACCUUCACAAGAUGAUUUGAGCAGAUAUGGGUAUAUCUACUUGAUGAAACAUAAGUCUGAAAUAGUUGAAAGAUUCAAAGAAUUUCAGAGUGAAGUGGAAAAAUCAUCGUAACAAGAAAAUAAAGUUUCUGCGAUCUGAUCGCAGAGACAAAUAUUUGAGUUACGAGUUUGGUCUUCAAUUAAAACAAUGUGGAAUAGUUUCACAGCUCACGCCACCUGGAACACCACAUCGUUAUGGUGUGUCCGAACGUCGUAACCGCACUUUAUUUGAUAUGGUGCGAUCUAUGAUAUCUCUUUACCACUAUCGUUUUGGGGUUAUGCAUUAGAGACAGCUGCAUUCACGUUUUAAAAUAGGGCACCAUCUAAAUCCGUUGAGACGACACUGUAUGAACUAUGGUUUAGCAGUAAACCUAAGCUGUUGUUUCUUAAAGUUUGGGGCUGCGAUGCUUAUGUGAAAAAGUUUCAUCCUGAUAAGCUCGAACCUAAAUCGGAGAAGUGCGUCUUCAUAGAAUACCCAAAGGAAAUUGUUGGGUACACCUUCUAUCACAGAUCCGAAGGCAAGACAUUCGUUGCUAAAAUGGAUCCUUUCCAGAGAAGGAGUUUCUCUCGAAAGAAGUGAGUGGGAGGAGAGUAGAACUUGAUGAGGUAAUUAUACCUUCUCCCUUAUUGGAAAGUAGUUCAUCACAGAAAUCAGUUCCAGUGAUUCCUACACCAAUAAGUGAGGAAGUUAAUGAUGAUGAUCAUCAAACUUCAGAUCAAGUUACUACCAAACCUCGUAGGUCUUCCAGAGUAAGAUCCGCACCAGAGUGGUACGGUAAUCAUGUUCUGGAAGUCAUGUUACUAGACCAUGAUGAACCUACGAACUAUGAGGAAGCAAUGAUGAGCCCAGAUUCCACGAAAUGGCUUGAGGCCAUGAAAUCUGAGAUAUGAUCCAUGUAUGAGAACAAAGUGUAGACUUUGAUUGACUUGCCCGAUGAUCGGUGAGUCAUUAAGAAUAAAUAGAUCUUCAAGAGGAAGACGGACGUUGAUAGUAGUGUUACUAUCUACAAAGCUAGACUUGUCGAAAAAGGUUUUUGACAAAGUUCAAGGUGUUGAAUACGAUGAGAUUUUCUUACUCGUAUCGAUGCUUAAAAGUCUGUCCGAAUCAUGUUAGCAAUUGCCGCAUUUUAUGAUUAUGAAAUUUGGCAGAUGGAUGUCAAAACUGCAUUCCUGAAUCGAUUUCUGGAAGAAGAGUUGUAUAUGAUGCAACCGGAAGGUUUUGUCGAUCCAAAGGGAGCUAACAUAGUGUGCAAGCUCCAGCGAUCCAUUUAUGGACUGGUGUAAGAAUCUCGGAGUUGGAAUAUACGCUUUGAUAAGUUGAUCAAAGCAUAUAGUUUUUGUACAGACUUACGGUGAAGCCUGUAUUUACAAGAAAGUGAGUGGGAGCACUACAACAUUUCUGAUAAGUAUAUGUGAAUGACAUAUUGUUGAUCGGAAAUAAUGUAGAAUUAUUCUGCAAAGCAUGAAAGGAUACUUGAAUAAAAGUUUUUCAAAGAAAGACCUUGGUGAAGCUGCUUACACAUUGAGCAUCAAGAUCUAUAUAGAUAGAUGAAGACGCUUGAUAAGAUUUUUCAAUGAAUACAUACCUUGAUAAAUUUUUGAAAUAGUUCAAAAUGGAACAGUCAAAGAAGGAGUUCUUGCCUGUGUUGCAAGGUGUGAAGUUGAGUAAGACUCAAAGCCCGACCACGGCAGAAAAUAGAAAGAGAAUGAAAGUCAUUCCCUAUGCCUCAGUCAUAGGUUCUAUAAAGUAUGACAUGCUGUAUACCAGAUCUAUUGUAUGCCAUACCACUGAGUUUGGCAAGGGAGUACAAUAGUGAUCUAGGAGUAGAUCACUGGAGAGCGGUCAAAAUUGUCCUUAGUGGAAUAAGGAUAUGUUUCUCGAUUAUGGAAAAAGGUUCGUCGUAAAGGGUUACGCCGAUGCAAGUUUGACACUAAUCUAGAUGACUCUAAGUCUCGAUCUAGAUACAUAUUGAAAGUGGGAGCAAUUAGCUAGAGUAGCUCCAUGCAGAGCAUUGUUGACAUAGAAAUUUGCAAAAUACAUGAGGAUCUGAAUGUGGCAGACCCGUUGACUAAGAUUCUCUCACAAGCAAAACAUGAUCACACCUUAAUACUCCUUGGGUGUUAAUCACAUAGCGAUGUGAACUAGAUUACUGAAUCUAGUAAACCCUUUGGGUGUUGGUCACAUAGCGAUGUGAACUAUGGGUGUUAAUCACAUGGUGAUGUGAACUAUUGCUGUUAAAUCACAUGGCGAUGUGAACUAGAUUAUUGACUCUAGUGCAAGUGGGAGACUGAAGGAAAUAUGCCCUAGAGGCAAUAAUAAAGUUAUUAUUUAUAGCCUUAUAUCAUGAGAAAUGUUUAUUAUUCAUGCUAGAAUUGUAUUAGCCGGAAACAUAAUACAUGUGUGAAUACAUAGACAAACAGAGUGUCACUAGUAUGCCUCUACUUGACUAGCUCGUUAAUCAAAGAUGGUUAUGUUUCCUGACCAUGAACAAUGAGUUGUUAUUUGAUUAACGAGGUCACAUCAUUAGUUGAAUGAUCUGAUUGACAUGACCCAUUCCAUUAGCUUAGCACCUGAUCGUUUAGUAUGUUGCUAUUGCUUUCUUCAUGACUUAUACAUGUUCCUAUGACUAUGAGAUUAUGCAACUCCCGUUUGCCGGAGGAACACUUUGGGUGCUACCAAACGUCACAACGUAACUGGGUGAUUAUAAAGGAGCAUUACAGGUGUCUCCAAAGGUAGAUGUUGGGUUGGCGUAUUUCGAGAUUAGGAUUUGUCACUCCGAUUGUCGGAGAGGUAUCUCUGGGCCCUCUCGGUAAUGCACAUCACAUAAAGCCUUGCAAGCACUGCAACUAAUAUGUUAGUUGUGAGAUGAUGUAUUACGGAACGAGUAAAGAGACUUGCCGGUAACGAGAUUGAACUAGGUAUUGGAUACCGACGAUCAAAUCUCGGGCAAGUAACAUACCGAUGACAAAGGGAACAACGUAUGUCGUUAUGCGGUCUGACCGAUAAAGAUCUUCGUAGAAUAUGUAGGAGCCAAUAUGGGCAUCCAGGUCCCGCUAUUGGUUAUUGACCGGAGACGUGUCUCGGUCAUGUCUACAUUGUUCUCGAACCCGUAGGGUCCGCACGCUUAAGGUUACGAUGACAUUUAUAUUAUGAGUUUAUGAGUUUUGAUGUACCGAAGGAGUUCGGAGUCCCGGAUGAGAUCGGGGACAUGACGAGGAGUCUCGAAAUGGUCGAGACGUAAAGAUCGCUAUAUUGGACGACUAUAUUCGGAGUUCGGAAAGGUUCCGAGUGAUUCGGGUAUUUUCGGGAGUACCGGGGAGUUACGGGAAUACGGGGAAGAGUAUUGGGCCUUGAUGCGCUUUAGUGGGAAGAGGAGAAAAAGGCUGCGCCCCCCCUCCCCUCUAGUCCGAAUUGGACUAGGGAAAAGGGGGCCGGCCACCUUUCCUUCUCAUCCACUUCCUUCUCCCUUCCUCCCCUCUUGGUGGACUCCUACUAGGACUUGGAGUCCUAGUAGGACACCACAUCAUGGCGCGCCCUCCUCCUAGGGCCGGCCUCCUCCUCCCUUUCUCCUUUAUAUACGGAGGCAGGGGGACACCCCAUGACACACAAGUUGAUCCACGUGAUCUAUUCCUUAGCCGUGUGCGGUGCCCCCUGCCACCAUAGACCUCGAUAAUACUGUAGCGGAGUUUAGGCGAAGCCCUGCUGCUGUAGUACAUCAAGAUCGUCACCACGCCGUCGUGCUGACGGAACUCUUCCCCGACACUUUGCUGGAUCGGAGUCCGGGGAUCGUCAUCGGGCUGAACGUGUGCUCGAACUCGGAGGUGCCGUAGUUUCGGUGCUUGAUCGGUUGGAUCGUGAAGACGUACGACUACUUCCUCUACGUCGUGUCAUCGCUUCCGCAGUCGGUCUGCGUUGGGUACGUAGACAACACUCUCCCCUCGUUGCUAUGCAUCACAUGAUCUUGCGUGUGCGUAGGAAAUUUUUGAAAUUACUACGAAACCCAACAGUAACAUCACACAUACCAAGAUAAAAUGAGUCUACAAUCUAAUAAAUGAAGUGUUGCAUGAUACCACACAAUGUUACUCCCCACUAUAGAGGUAGUAACAUAGACUAGUAACAUAUGCAUGUUACUAGUCUAAGUUACUAUCCAUUGUGACUAGUCUAAGGUCUUUUGGGAUUUAAAGCAGUGUUGGUAGUACAGAAAUAAUGCAGCCUUAGUCACCUUACCUCUCACCACGUAGUACGUUGGGUCCCACUAGUCAGAGGGUGAAACAAACAAAUUAAUUAGAAAAAUUAAAAGCGCCAGCGGUGUAUCUUACCUCACACAUCUCGCUGCUGCUCGUGAACACUGUCCAAUUGAUCCCUUUGUUCACUCACGUAUGAUUUUAAGUGAAUCCUUAUUAUAACAUGCACACAAUUUUGGGCACUUGUAUUUGACCUAAGUUAGUGUGCCACCGUAUGUUGUACUACUCCCUCCGUCUAGGUGUAAUAAGUCACGUUAGAAGGUGCAGCGGGACCAAGGUGCAAGCAGAUUGGAGGAGAAGGAGAAACUUGACCGGUCCUUCCUCGAAUCAAAGCCCUGAUUUCUGUCUCUAAAUGCAACAAUUAAUCCCAACAAGUAAGAAAUGCCGUUUUAGCUACCAUGCAAGGCCACGUAUUAACUCGCAUGCAAGUCGACUUUGAUUUCUUGACUGAUCAACGCGUACUUGCGCUCCAUGCAUUGGGUUUCUGGGGGAGAUGACAAGGCAGAGUAAGGAGAAUUUGGUUACAUUGCUUAGGCUGCUCAUAGUGGUGAGUAACUUGGACUAGUAACAUGCAUAUGUUACUAGUCUAUGUUACUACUACGUGAAGUUUGCCGUCGGAAGCGAGCCGAUCUAGCUUUCAUGAGCUAGCAAGGUUUUUCUAGCCCACCCAAGCUAGCUGGCCCAAAAAGGCUAACAUAUUUUAACAGUUCCAAAUGCCUAACCUUGCCCGGCUAGGCUAUAAACUAUUCUUGCUAAGGAUCCAAACGCUCCCUAAGUAACAGCGCUCGCUAGCUACAAGGCCAAGAGGGGAUUGAGAUGCGAAGUUAAUGGAUGACGCCUAAACAUUUUGGGAAUAUCUGAUUUCGGUAAGAUGACUUAACACCUAGACGGAGGGAGUACUACUCCUCAAUCCAGGUUUGAUGGAAUAUUCGUCACCUCUUCUCUUCUUGUACGUACUCCAUUUGUAUCUCACUUCCUGUGGCUUCGCACUCGCACGAUAUUCCUAUUCUAUGAACCUGUGUAUGCAUGUGUGUGUGUGUGUGUUUUUAACAGCAUGUGUGUGUUAGAGAGAGCGACACAUCGACCUACUCCUACAAAGAGAUGAUGUGUAGUGUACGAUUUAGCCACGAGAGUUGGUGCAUCCUCUCAUUUCUGGGCGUCCGAUCAGGACAGGCGGAUAGCUGCCACACUCGCUCCUGACCAGCCUGGCCCGCCCAAAGCGCCUCCAUCGCCGGCGCGCGCUUCCCGCCCGAAACGGUUAGCGCCGCUCCAAAGAAUCAGUGCCGCAUUCAUGCCCAGGCAGAGCAGACGUGACCUCUCACUGGCGCCUGCGUUGAAGGGAGAAGCGGAUUCAAGAGUGAUGGUUGCUUCGUCCAUCCAACUUACUGCUGGGUCUAUGUGAUUUGACGGCUCAUUGGUCAUUAUUACUGAGGUGGUAGGACUGCUGGAUGUCCCAAGAUUUCGGCGAAACGAGGUACUACCAGAUUACAAUUUUCUCCAUUCUUAUAGCGGAGGAGUGCGAGAGAACUGAAAACACGCAGGCUCAGUGAUUACAUGGCCCGCCUCACGCUAUCACCAUAUUUUCUAGACACCGUGCGACACCUAACUCUUUACAUAGUACUAGUAUAAUAUGUACUGUAAUUUAUCUUUGAGAUAAAUUUGUACAAUUCUAUGAAGCUUCCAACUUCUGUUUCAUGUAUACUACGUCCAAGGUUGCCCGUUGCAACAUUUCAUCAAAUGCAAAGAGACUAACAUGCAUGAUAUUGCAUCUCAAUGAUUGACAGAUCAUAGCCAAUAUGUACUCCCUCCAUUCCAAAAUAAGUGUCGCAACUUUAUGCAAACUUUAGUACAAAGUUGUACUACUACUAAAGUUGACACUUAUUUUGGAAUAGAGACAUCUAAAGAAAAAAAUGAUCCAUGCAGUCCCUAGCCCUUGAACUGUAAACCCUAACCAGGCUUUAAUUUGCUGGCAACAUUGGAGCUUCCCAAGAAAUGAAGUUUGCACCCCUUUGACCAUUGGAUCAUUUUGUACAGUUUCACAAAAAUCAAGAUGAGCAUCCCUGUGGCAAAAAAAUUGAAGAAGUGUGAUUAGAAUAAGAUUACUGGGACUAGUUGAUGAGACAUAAACUCAUUAGAAAUAUGAUAUGUAGAAGCCAGUAGAGGUAUGUGCGGGGCAAAGAAGUAGAGAAAUAUCCACAUGGAGUGAUGUGGGCAGCUGGAGCAGUGGUGCAAGUCGGCUGUAAAGGGAGUUGUACCUGAGGGAUGUCAGGACGUAGAUCAACCUAGAGGAGGGCGGCGGGAGGCGGCAACUGCCCACGUCACGGCAGUGAGCAAGGGAUGAAUGCAACCUCACCGGCUUUGUGAGAGAGAACGGCGGGGACCCCUGAUCGGGACGUGCCGACAGUGGGUUUUCACCGUCGGCGACGGUGAUCGUAUCUACACUAAGCAUCCACCCACGUCCAUCGGGAUGUUAGAGAUGUGGCCACAGUCGUUUUGUGCAAGAGAGUGUGAAGAGAGCAACCCCAACAAGCAACCGUGUAGGCUCGUCCUGCCUAUGUAUAUAGUGGAGCAGUUUCCUUUUCUCUCCAUAUGAACCUAUUUAUAUUGCGUAUGUGCCACUGAAGAAAAAAACUUUAUUUAUAAAUGACGCGGCACCUGCUACUCGUUCCCCUAUAAACCUUGCACUUGGCAUCUCCAAAAUAUUAACCUUGCGAUUGGCUCUUCGCCUCUUCGGGAAGUCGAGCAACAAUGGUACUGCAGUAUAUAUCGUUCUGGCUAUAUGAGACCGAAUGAAUUGUUGCACGUCCACCACGUGGGCGAGGGUCGAGUGGCGAGGGAGAGUUCGUACUAUUAUGUCCGUUUCAAUAUGGACUACAAAUGGAGCAAAAUGAGUGAAUCUACACUCUAAAAUACGUCUAUAUGCAAAAUGUAACUUUUUAUAGUGGCCUUGUAUAAGUAAAUGGAGGGAGUACUAAAGGACAUGUAUUCCAAACUAUAUGAUAUUCUCUCUAACCAAGGUAGGGACGAGGAGUAAACGGAGGGAGUAGUAAAUUUUUCUCAUCGUCCUACGAGCCACCGCGCGCGUGGGCGAGGGAGCGGGCGUAAGGCGUACUAGUAAGCAAGCUUCACCUCAUCCUGCAAGCAGACGCGACCGUGGGCGGGGGAGACGGUGUACUAAGCAAGCUUCUCCUUGUUCUGUGAGUUGACGGGACACACCAGAAGUAUUCCAGUGUAUAGAGCCUUGCCUCAAACGUAGGCCCCACAUGGUUUGCCUCUUUUUUAACAUAACGCGUGAAGUCGCAAUUUGUUUGUUCUCUCGUGGUAGACGAUCCUCCCUCCAUCAAGUGGACAACCAGUACACAUGUCAAAUUACCACGUGGCUGCCUUUUCGUACAGAAAUGAGCUCCACCAUGUACCGGCGCGGGUGUGGUUGGGAAAGAGACGGGAGUACGUGCACCGUGCGUGCACCUCUUUUGUUUGUGCACGCCCCCCACCUACGUGUGUGUGAGAGAGAGAGAUACAAACCUAGACAGAUGGCAUGUGCGUUCGUGAGUGUUCUUUGUUUGGGGGGUGAUUUCGUGAAUGUAUUUGUGGGAAUAUGUGUCGAUGGCAUCUCAAACAAAAUUUUGCAUGCAAUGUGUGUGAAAUGGAGGCCUAUCCAUAUCAUAUAUAGAGGGCCAGACGAUCCACAAUAAGAGAAGGAGGGGUCAUAGAUAUCGAUAGAGUCGAAGAGAGGAUCAAGUGGGUGGGUGCGAGAUCGAUGAAGAGAUCCAUUGAAAUUGUGUGUGUGCAAGUCAAAGAUAUAGGGCGACUGACCUACCGGAACGUCAGAGGGCACAUCUCAAGUUUGUGUGUGGCGGGGAGACAUGACUAGAGCGCUCGAUGUAUCGGUUUGUGUGGGGGGAGGGGGAGUCAGAGACCUAACUAGAGAGGUAGAACGACUCGUAUAUGUGUUGAGAAGGAGAGACCCGCUAUGUCUUGAGGGAGAUCGGUCGACAUCCAUACAUAACUGAAGGACGGGAAAUAGGAUGGGACACAGAGAGAGAGGAGAGAGAGAAGGAGGAAGAGGGGUAGUGUGCUAGAUGAGUGAUGGAGUUGCUUCUUGAAGAUGGUGGGAGAGGCCUACUAGACAAACUGAGGGUAGAACUGCAAUAUUAUCAAUAAGAGUGUGGAUGUGUUUCUGUGUGUGCCUGUGCGUGAUAGAUUUGUCGGGACGCAUGCAUGGAUGAUGAAGGGGAACCAUGUGUUUGGUAAGCAUACCUAACUAGAUCGGUAGAUCAAUUGUUGGUUAUCGGAGGAAGGGAGAGACAUAACUAAUGAGGUAGAUGGAUCGACGCAUGGGGAAAACGAGUGGGAGACCGAUGGGUGUACAUUCAUUUGUUAGAGGCAAAUAAGGCCCAGCGAGACGGAUAGAUGGAGAGAAUGGAGCUAGGAGGUGGUGCGAGAGGCUGAGCUAGGACACAGAAAGGUGGAGAUGGAAUGUGUGUGUGUAUGUUGUAGGCAGGCAUCGCUAGAGAGGUUUAUCCAUUGGUGUGUGUCGAAACAUUAAUGACCCGCUUUUGCGCGGGCGAGGACAGCUGGUUGGCUUGUAGUGGCACCACGCCACAUUCCGGCACUUCGGAUGUCUGUGACAGUAACGGCAAGCCACGACGCAACAGACAUAAGCGACGGAACAACGGCGACAACACUGAAGACACAGCAGUAAACGCCGGAUUCAGUGGAUCCAAGUCCGGUCAGUGGAAGAAGCCGUUCAAAAGAAACAAUCGGGGACCGUCUAGUCUGGACCGUAUACUGGAGCGCUCGUGCCAAAUUCAUGGCACCCCGGACAAGCCAGCUAACCACACCAACAGAGACUGAUGGGUAUUCAAACAGGCCAGCAAAAUAAAUGCCGAAAACAAGGACAAGGGGCUUCACAGCCACGAUAACGAGGAGCCCCGGCGUCCGAACACGGGGGGACAGAAAUCCCCCCCAGGUGAAAACGGUCAACAUGAUCUACGCCACUAACAUCCCCAAGCGGGAACGGAAGCGAGCACUACGGGACAUCUACGCGAUGAAGCCAGUCGCCCCGAGGUUCAACCCAUGAUCAGCUUGUCCGAUCACCUUUAAUUGUAGGGAUCAUCCUACUAGCAUCCGUCACGGCGGCUCAAUUGCAUUGGUCUUAGACCCAAUCAUCGACGGAUUCCACCUCACGCGAGUCCUUAUGGACGGCGGCAGCAGCCUGAACCUGCUUUAUCAGGACACAGUGCGCAAAAUGGGCCUCGACCUCUCAAGGAUCAAGCCCACCAAAACCACCUUUAAAGGUGUAAUUCUUGGAGUAGAGGCCCGCUGUACGGGCUCUAUAACAUUGGAAGUGGUCUUCGGAUCUCCGGACAAAUUCCGAAGCGAAGAGUUAAUCUUUGAUAUCGUCCCUUUCCAUAGUGGUUACCACGCACUGCUCGGACGAACCGCAUUCGCUAGAUUCAAUGCGGUACCACACUAUGCAUACCUCAAGCUCAAGAUGCCAGGCCCGCGCGGGGCCAUAACAGUCAAUGGAAACAUGGACCACUCUCUCCGUACAGAAGAGCAUACGGUAGCCCUUGCGGCAGAGGUACAAUGCGGCCUCCUCCGACAAACCACCAAUCCGGCGACAACAACCUCAAGCACCGUCAAGCGAGUCUGGAGCACCCCGCAAUAGGAUCAUCAGGCAUGCCAAGAGUGUGAUUAGCAGUCCGGCCUCCGCUCACACCCCAUUAAAGCAGCAUUCGUGCCACGCAUACACAAUUAUGCACUCAAAAUACCAUGGGCACAGGCGGAGGCACAGCAGUGACUCAGUCAAUAGUGCGGUAUCACCACAACAUACCUUCAUAAUCUUUCCCUUUUACCUUUCAGGACAUUGCUUUAGUGCAGCCUCUUCAGAAGAGCCGGAUUGCCGAACUUACAUAGGAGAGAAAACCAAGGAGGCAACAGGCUUUGCGCACAAAAGGAAACACCCAGGUGGAAUCUAUUUACGAUCGUUAUACCUGUUUUAUCUAUCUGUAUGUGACCUGCCCCUGGAUAGGACAUGUCAAAUAGUCCUAUUUAUCUCCGCUUAAUGCAUUCAUUGUAAACAUACGCUUAAACGUAUUAUUCAUCAAUGGGAGAUCACAUAUAGCGUCAGCUUAUAAGUCUUAUUUAAGCAUUUUUUUCUCGCAAAUGUUUAUUUGAUAUUGCACCCAUACACCUUGGUACAUUCAGUUUGCCAGGGGCUUCUGAUGGCGCCCCAUAAUAUGGCAAGUCAAGUCCGAACAGUUUCAACAGUGCGGCACCCCGAACUUAUAGCACUAUAUGCAUCAACUCUGAAUCAUGUCUUGUGUUUAUAGUUGGGUUAGCCCGGCUCCCUUGUUUUGGUACUUUAUGUUCCGUUAUAUCGGCUAAGGUAGCGCAGGGAGAACUACUGCGAUUGUGUCCUGGUUCUUCCGGACGAGCACCUCAGUAGAGAAAGCCGAAAACUGACCGGCAUGAUGUGGUGGGAGCUGGUCGCUGUUUGAGAGGUCUUAAAAUCCUUAAAGAUUUUUCCGCUUUAGGCGAUAAAUCGGCUUCGUUCGAUCUAUGCGUAUAUAGUGCCCCAAUUCGGCCUUCCGGAUUAUAGGGGCUUCGCCGAAAUUUAAAUUUUUAGACUUCUAUGGCUAAGUGAAAGUUAUAAAGCCGCAUAGCCUAAUUGCCUUGUUCGCUGCGCUGGACACCUCCUUAAGGGACCAAACAUUUUGAUAAAGAGUGUCUGAGUUUCCACGAACACCCCAGUACUAGUUACGCGGGGGCGGAAGCCGACGACUGGCCUACUUUCAGAAUUUUAUAAAUAGACGCACAAAAGGUAAUAUUUUAAAUAACAAAAGCGCUACAUAGCGCAAGUAACUUCGUCCUUAAAUUACAAACAUGACAGAAGUGAAUUCAUUCUAAAAUUGUGUUCUUGGUACAUUCAUCGGCCAUGAGACGAGCGCCCUUCAUAACACCAUCGUAAUACUUCUCCGGAUAGCGAUGCGCCUUGCCCUCCGGCGGCCGUCCUUCACCAGCUUCUCCGCAUCCAGCUUACCCCAAUGCACCUUCGCGUGGGCAAAGGCCCGGCGGGCACCCUCAAUGCAAACAGACCGCUUGAUGAUUUCGAGCCGUGGACAGGCAUUCACCAUCUGCUUGAUCAGGCCGAAGUAGCUAGCCGGCAGGGGCUCACCAGGCCACAUCCGGACUAUGAAAUCUUUUAUAGCCGUUUUGGCCACCCCGUGGAGUUCAACCAACUGCUUCAGUUGGUCACUUAGAGGCGUUGGAUGUUCGUCCCCAACAUCCUGGGACCAGAACAGCUUCUCCGUCGCGCUCCCCUCCUUGGCAUGGUAGAACUCUACGACGUCUAAUACGCUACGUGGUAGAUCUGCAAAUGCCCCUGGAGAGCUCCAAAUUCGGGUAAGUAAAAGAAACGCCUCCUCCACAUGCUUGCUUUGCAUAAAGAAUUUCUUACGCGCUGCUAUCUUCUUGGCCUCCUGGAUUUCCUGUUGUGCCUUCUCGGCUUUGGCCUUGGCGUCUUUUAUACUAGCAAGGGCAUUCGCAAGGUCAACCUCUUUCACCUUAAGCUCAUGCUCCACGGACUCAAACUUCUCGCCGAGCUCCUUGAGCUCUUGUUGUACCUCACCCACUCUAGCAUCUUGCUUCUCGCUCUCCUUGCAUUCCAAGGCCGCCUUGUGUUCGGCCUCGGACAGCGCUUUCUUCAGAGACACCACUUCGGUGGUGGCCCCUGUUACAAAAUCACGACGCUUCGUCAUUAGAAUAACCAAUUUUAUCUAUCCUUCGUGAGAGCGGGGAAUCACUCAACUUUGUUCUCUUCGAGCUGCCUCCUCGUGAGGUCGAGCUCUCCCUGCGCCUGCUCCAGGUCCUGUUUUAGUCCGGCGAUCUCGGCCAUACGGACCGCAGCGGCAAGCAGCAUAGCCUGCUUAUUCACAUUCAAACUUAUUGUUAGACUCCUGCGGAUUAUAAUUGACCCUCUGCUUGGUUUUUCCUUCCGAACACCAAACAGAGUAUCAGGGGCUACUACCUAUCGGGUGAUAAUUUCACACAUUUUUAUUACUUACCUCAAAGCCUACCAGGAGGCUGGUGCAAGCUUCGGUUAGUCCGCUCUUGGCGGACGAAACCUUCUGAAUCACCGCACUCAUAAGAGUACGGUGCUCUUCAUCCAUGGAAGCGCCGCGAAGCGCUUCCAGCAGACAAUCCGGCGCCUCAGGCGCAACGGAAGUCCUCGACAUAGACGGCUCUCCCUCCCUAACGAGGGGCUGCCCGCCUGAGUCCGGAACCAUUGAAGGCUCCGGCACAGUGUUCGAUUGAGAGCCCGGCCUACUGUGGCUCUCCCCUACACGUUCCGCGGGGAUCUUGAACCCCGCGUGUCCGACUUCUGGAAUGCCGCCUUGGGGCGCCUCCAGAGCCACCUCCCCCCGCUCUGGGAGCCUUUGGGACAACACCUCUGUGUCAUCUGCAGGCUGAGGAGUAGUGGCCGUCAGGAGCGAGUUCAUCGCCGAAUCGCUCAAGGACCCAUCCAAAGACGACAGCUCGGGAUGGACCCUGGCCGGGCUACAUACAAGUUCGGCGUUAUAACAAAACUAUGAAGCAAAAUUACGAUAGAGUGUGGAUACUUACGAUCGCACUAGGGGCUUCUUCCUGGGCAGCCACCCCUCCUCGCUAACGGCGGCGGUGGUGGAGUAGUCCGGAAGGGACGCCUUUCCCUUCUUGGACGUCCCAGCCUUCCCCUUCGGGGCGGCCUUCCUCUCCCCCCCCCCACUACGGGGAGGUGGAGUUUCUUCUUGCUUUCCCCCGCCUCCGUGGGAGGAAUCUUCCUCGUCGUCAUCGGACGAAGAGGGUAUGACGGCCUUGCGCCGGGGGCCUCUCCUGGCCCCCUGGUCCGCCCUCUCAGGCCCCCCGUCCUUUCCGGAUGGGGCGGCCUCCUCCUCUUCUUCUUCUUCCCCUUCGGGGGAGGAGUGUGCCUCAUCAUUUUCGGGCGAGGCUUCCGGUGCAACCUUAUGCCGGGGACCCUCUCUGAUCCCCGGGGCCUUCUUUUCGGCCUUCUUCUCCGGCACCUUGUAGGGCGCCGAGACCAGCAUCUCCGUCAGGAGAGCAUCAGCCGGGUCUUCUGGCAGCGGAGCCGGACAGUCAAUCUGCUCCUCUGUCUUCACGUAAUCCUGAACAAAUAUGCACAAUUACUUGAGGCUCCCCCAUGAAUAUAUUGGGAAGAACCGAAUCCGGUGGUAGCCUGAGAACUCACUUGACUAGGAGGUCGUGCGGCAUGGAGCCCACGGUCCUCAGAUGUGGGAGGAGGUACUUCGGAGGCCUUGAACAACGCCUUCCACGCGUUUUUGUGCUUCAUGCCAUAGAGCCUCUGAAGCGUCUGGUGUUCGGCCGGGAUGAACUCCCACAGAUUGAAUGCCCGCCUUUGGCACGGCAGAAUCGGGCGAAUGAGCAUGACUUGGAUCAUGUUGACAAGCUUGAUGUUCUUGUCCUUCAUGCUCUUGAUGCAGUUUUGGAGUCUGGUCAGCUCUGUAGAUUCGCCCUAGGACAGGCCCUUCUCACCCAGGAGGUGAGCCACAUGGGGGUUCCGGAUCAGAAAUCGGGGGACCGCCGCCCAGUUGGCGUUGUGUGACUCGGUGAUGUAGAACCACCCUAACUGCCACCCCUUCACGGUUUCCGCAAAGGAGCCGUCAAGCCAGGUGACGUUAGGCAUCUUGCCCACCAUGGCUCCUCCGCACUUUGCUUGCUGCCCGCUCACAAUCUUUGGCUUCACGCAGAAGAUUUGCAGCCACAAGCCGAAAUGAGGCUUGAUGCGGAGGAAGGCCUCGCAUACGACAAUGAACGCUGAGAUGUUGAGGACGAAGUUCGGGGCUAGAUCAUGGAAAUCUAGCCCGUAGUAGAACAUAAGCCCGCGGACGAAGGGGUGAAGUGGAAACCCCAGUCCACGGACGAAGUGGGCGAGAAACACGACCCUCUUGUGGGGUCCUGGGGUUGCAAUGACCUGCCCGUCAUCUGGUAGCCGGUGCGCUAUGUCUGCGGCCAAGUAUCCAGCCGCCUGAAGAUUCGCGAUAUCCUUCUCCUUCACGGUGGAAGCCACCCACUUGCCUCCUGCUCCGGACAUGUUUAGCUGUGCAGAGAAGACUUGGACCAGGGCGUUGGAGCUCGAGGGGGCAAGAGUGGGCAAAGGAGGAAGAAGGCGUGGGUAAAAAUGGGGAACUCUUAUCCCUUUAUAGAGGCGACAAAAGCGGUGUGCCUCUCCACUUGCCCAUUGGGAAUCGCUCACCUCCCGAGUGCCAUGAUUGAUGGCAUGGUGGGAUUACCCAUACCCGUAUUGAUGAGAAUCCUGUGAUAAGGGGAAACGAUCUCUCCUUUGACAAGACAUGUCAAGGAAACCGCCUCGCAAUAUACGCUAUGGCUGGUUGUAGGAAAACGGUUCGAAUAAUGACCCGAUCUUAAUGACCUGUCAUGUUGUCUAAAAAGUUGUCGGCAGAUUGCAUUUGUGAAAUAUCGUUCUCUCUCUACAGCAGUGUGUGAAGAUCAUUUUGCGGAUCCGGCCACGGUCUACGUGUUCGAUAAAUUACUUUGGAGUAUUUCGAGAAGGAACCCGCCUUGCAAUGUCGAAGACAAGACUGCGCGCCGGACUCAUUGUCAUUGAAGCCUGGUUCAGGGGCUACUGAGGGAGUCCUGGAUUAGGGGGUAUCCGGACUGCCAGACUAUAUACAUCGUCCGGACUAUUGAAGCAUGAAGAUACAAGACUCAAGACUCUGUCCCGUGUCCAGAUGGGACUCUCCUUUGCGUGGAGGGCAAGCUUGGUGAUCCGGAUAUUGUGUUUCCUUCCUUGUAACCGACUCCAUGUAAAACCUAGCCCUCUCCGGUGUCUAUAUAAACCGGAGAGGUUGGUCCUUAGAAGGCCGAUCACAAUUACAAUCAUACCAUCAUAGGGUAGCUCUUAGGGUUUAGCCUCUACGAUCUCGUGGUAGAUCUACUCUUGUACUACUCAUAUCUUCAAUAUUAAUCAAGCAGGAAGUAGGGUUUUACCUCCAUCGAGAGGGCCUGAACCUGGGUAAACAUUGUGUCUCUCGCUUCCUGUUACCAUCAGCCUAAGACGCACAGAUCGGGACCCCCUACCCGAGAUCUGCUGGUUUUGACACCGACAGUGGUCGCCGGCGAUGGCGGGGCGAUUGCAUGGGGAUCACCAGAGAAAAAGCUCGGCAUGGGGGGGCCUAGAGGGAUGGCCGGGGCGGCGGCGGAUCUACAGCGGGGAGUGGUUUCUGGGCGGACAGGGCGGCGUGCCGCUGGUCGCGGGCGGCGGGGGGCGGCUGUUUGGCUGGUGGUGGCUGGCGGCUCAGGGGGGUGGAGGUUGAAGAUGAACUGCAGGACCUUGACUUCGUAUCCAACGGCUGGAAAAUCGACUGACCAGAGAUGAAAAAGUCAUUCGACUGACAUGUAGCCUCACCUCUAUUGCAUUCAGUUUCGACAGUAAAAUUCAGUUUCGACAGCAAAAUUCAGUUUCGACAGUUAUGUUCAGUUUCGAUAGUUAAAUUCAGUUUCGAAAGUUAAGUUCAGAGAUCAGCGGCUGAUGUAUUUUACAUCUAGCACUUUGUGGUUAUGUAUUUUACGUCAUCUAUUGGAGAUGCUAUUAGAAUUCCACUCAGGUUUACGUUAUCUCUCCUGUCCUCUUGCUUCAGCCUCGGUGUCGUACAACUCACCUAAGCUGCUCCAACAACGAAACCCUCCAUCACAGCAGAGCAGUACCCCGGGCACCAUCUCAAGAUACCUAAGAUCUUCUUCCCCUCCUCUGGCAGCCAAGUCAACCAGAUCAUCCUCACCGACCAACCCAAUCACGUUGAGACCGACAUGGCAUCGCCAAAGAGGUUGUACCCUUGUUGCAUCUCUUUUUACUCUAGAUGUUAUAUAUAUUGUACACUGAGCACACGCAGUAACGUGAAAUACGAUUAUUUUCUCCUACUAUAUGACAGGCAGUGAGGUAUCAGGCAACUUAGCUAUCCGUUAUGGACUCUGUUGAACGCCAUCAUUAUUUAUCUCUGCGCGUUUGAGCUGUGCAUUUGUUGAUGGGCCUGGGAGUUGAGCUAGUAGGGCAGUGGCCUGGGUCCAAAGUAGUACAAGUAGAACAAAAACAUUAUUUGAGUGUAGGCUUUUCCUUGCUCAAGCCUGCCUACUAGAAUCGCCAGUGCUUGAAAGGAAAAGUGAAGGAAAAACAUAGGAAUUGGAAAGCUUACUAUGGUACUACUAUUCAUGCAUUUGGUUCAAAGGAAUGGAGCAACGGAAAACUGUAGGAUUUGUUCCUUUAGUGUCUCCUUGAAAGAAAAACCAUAGGAAUUUUAAUAUCCACUUGUCCUCCUUUUCAAAUUCCUAUUCAUGAAGCACAAGACUAAGAGAUAGUAGCAUAAUAGCAUUAUAACUAUACAUUUUCUUGUGGUUUGACUUAAUCUCACCAUGCUUCUUUGCAUCCUGUGAUCUUCCAAUUCUUGUGAACAAAACACCCAGAUUGGCAGAAAUCCUGUGUUUUUAAAUUCUCUAUUUUGCACAUGCAUUCCUAUCCUAUUACUGUGUAUUUCCUAUCCCUGUGAUGUUAGAAUCCUCCAAUUCAAACGAGCCCUUAUAGAAUUACUUCUCUUAUGGAUAGUUAUCAAAGAAAAUCUUGCGUGGUUUGUCCCGCUCCGGUUGCACCGUCGUCCACCCCAGCUCAGCUGCUCCAACGACAGAAGGGUCCAGCACAGCAGGGAUCCGACCUCCAGACUGUCUUUCGCCGCCUCAAAUCUUCUUCCCCGCUGCCGGCAGGCAUGAAAACUGCAUUACCAUCAUCAACCGAGUAGAUGACCUCGAGGACUACACGGCUCCGCAAGAAAGGUCGCACUCUUUCGUGUUUGCUUAUGUUAUGCAUCACUUAAUAUUACAUGCUACUUUAUCGUCUUGUUCACCGAUUAGACUCUGAGUCAGCUCCAAACUAAUGGUCAAACUUGAGUUUUUAAAUGGUUGUGGGGUACAUAUCGGGGCCGCAAUCAAUAGUAUAUAUCUACUAUCUGGCUACUAUGAGUUUCAUGUUGAGUGGGAAACAAACAGUAAAGAAGCCAUUAUUUGUAUUUUUUUACACAAGCCAUUAUCUGCAUGCUAUCAUUGGUUUUGGGUCUAUCCACAGGUUGCUACCAUCACUCUGGAUUUCUGCAUGCACUCCUUACAUAAUCUCACUAUGUUUCAUUCCUAUGCAUGUCAGUUAUUGUACACAAUGGAACUGAACAUGUAGAGAAAAAGAGACGAGCCUUGCGUGGCAAUAAAAUUUCAUGCAGACGUCUCUCCAUGGUAGGCGCAAAGGCAGCCCCCUCCACCCAUUUCGGAUUGUAAUCGAGAGGAAGAUAUUUGUUCUGAGGGGGAUUCAGAACGAGAAGACCACUCCUAUUUACCCCCUGAGGUCUUCGCUCUAACUUGGCAUGCUGAUGUUGGUUAUAUCAUGCAUAUGGUGCCUUGCAUUGCUUAUUUUAUACAUCAAAUAUGUCAUCUUCUUAGUUUAGACAUGCUUUGUGUGAAUGCCAUUUGUUUAGUUUAUUCAUCAUUUAUGUGAAUUAUGCAACGCCAUCUUGUUUAGCAAGGCAUCAUAUAUGUGAAUUUUGCAAUGCCAUCUUGCUUAGCCAGUCAUCUUAUAUGUGAAUUAUAUCAGGUCAUCUUUUUUUUCAUUACGUAUUACAUUUGUCAACAAUGUUAGUACAUUCAACUACUCUUCGUGUGCGUCAGCCAUUUGACACGGUGAUGGAAAAUUCUGGAGUGAAAACAAGGUCUUCAGAGAUGACUAUGCUAUCUAACGAAGCGCAUAUCUCACUGGUUACGGAUAGCUCCUCAGAGGAGGAUUCAGAGACAGAUGACUAGUCCUAUCCCCCCCCCACCGAGGUUUAUGCUCUAACUUGGCAGGGUUAUGUUGCUCAUAUCGUGCAUAUGGUGUAUUGCAUUGCUAUGUCAUUUGAUUAGUUUAGACAUGCUUUGUGUGAAUGCCACCUGUUUAGUGUGUAAUUACCAUAUGUGUGAAUUAUGCAUUGCCAUCUUGUUGCAAGACAUUAUAUAUGUGAAUUAUGCAAUGCUAUCUUGUUGCAAAGGCAUUAUAUAUGUCAAUUAUGCAAUGCCAUGCUGUUUAGCCAAUCAUCAUGUAUGUGAAUUAUAUCAUGCUAUCAUUUGUUUGUAUUACGUGUUCUAUUUGUCGACAACGUUUGUAUAUUCAACUACUCUUCCUGUGUAUCAGCCAUUUGAAGCGGUGAUGGAAGUAUCUGGAGUGAAAACAAGGUAUUCAAAGCAGACAAUGCUACCUGCUGAAGUAGACAACUUGCUAGUUAUAGAGAGCUCCUCAGAGGAGGAUUCAGAGACUAAUGACUAGUCAUAUUUCCCCCCUGAGGUCUAUGUUCAAACUUGGCAGGGUUAUAUUACCCAUGUCAUGCAUGUUGCCUUGCCUUGCUUAGUUUUUACAUCAUAUAUGGAUUGCCAUCUGCUUACUUGCUUACUAUAUAAAUCAUAUAUUUGAAUUAUAUCAUGCCAUCAUGUUUACAUACACAACAUCUAUCUGAAUUAUGGCAUGGCAACCCAUUUAAUAAAGACAUCAUAUAGUUAUAUCAUCUCAUCCUAUUUAGUGUUUAUAGUCAUCAUAUUUUGAAUUUUGUCAUUCUAUCCAUGAAUUAUAUCAUGCUAUCAUGUUUCCAUAGGAGGCAUGUAUGUGAAUUAUGGCAUGCCAACCUAUUUAAUUAACACAUUAUAUAGUUAUAUCAUGCCAUCCUGUUUACAUAGUCAUCAUAUUUUGAACUAUGUCUUUCCAUCUUUUUUAGUUAGCCUUCAUAAUGUGAAGUUGUGUCAUGCUAUCCUGUUUAGUUAGCCAUCAUAUAUGUGAAAUUGUGUCAUGCUAUCCUGUUUGGUUAGACAACAUAAAUGUGAAUUAUUUCAUGCCCUCUUUUAUUCCCCACUAUCCAUUGCACCUGUCUAUCAUACAUUCUUCAAAAAAGAUAGUGCUACCAUUUUAUCAGCCAUUUGAAUUGGAGAGGGUGAUGGCAGUAUCUAAGGGAGUCACAACACGGUCUUCAGAAAAGAUAGUGCUAGCAGUUGAUGUAGAUAGAACCACGGUUGUACUUGCCCAAGAACCAGCCCCACCACAUAUAACCCAGACUCUCGUAGAUUGUACCCCUACCCAGUUGGACAGAGAACUAGCUACACCCCUUCUAACCCCAACCCCAGCAGAUAGUAACCCAGUUCCAGUUGACACAGCACCGUCUCCACCAUAGAGCACCCAAACACGAGAAGUUAGUAAGGGAACUGCAGUGCCCAAAGCACGAGGACCACCACUCCGAAUCCCAACUCAACGCUUAAAGGAGAAGAAGAUUUGUUCUCAGGUCAGGUUCUGUAGCUAUGGUUCAUACUCCUUUGCUCUUGCAUCACUGUAUUUUCUCAUACCAACUAUUUUCAAAUAUGAAGGAUGGAAUUGAAACUCCAAUGGUGCAACAGGUAUGUUUUAAACCUGUUUCUUUAACUGGUUUGCUGUUGUAACUUGCCCUAUGUUGAUUUCAGUUUCAACUGAAUAAACCAUUAUGUUCUCAUGUUAUGCACAUUACAAGUGUUGUUAUUGCUCCAUAGUUUCCCACACUUAUAUUUUGUCUAUUCUGCUUGGUCUUGAAAUAUUAUUUGAACUGUGUCUCUAUCUUGAUUUGGCAACAAAAACUAGAACAAUAUAGACCAUAAAGUGACUAUGGUACAUAGAUAUAUGUUUGUUUCAUGUUGUUAUCCUGUCCACUUUACUACUGAACGGAUUUACCAAAAUGAGUUUCAUAUACAACAUGGUAAACCUAUGAUGUGUUUGCUUGUUCGCUUUUAGAAUGCGGACAAAAUAUUGGAGAACAGUAUCCCAUUAUGCAAUGGUAAAGGAAGUAAUGCAGAUAAGGUUCAAGAUAGUGAGACAUCCCUGUUGCUCUCCAAGAAAGCUGAUAAAAACUCUCUUGACGAUAGUGAGAGAACCCAAAACUCCUGUCUUGAUGUAGUGUUCAAGUUACUGGCCACUACUGCUGGCACAAGCUCUUUGAACUCGCUUCCUGAAUCAGUUCGUCUUAUUGAGUCUCAACUUCAAGUUGAAAGACAUCGAUCAGAUGUGCUGCAACAGGAAGCUGAAGGCCUGAGGAAGUCCUUGCAGAAUUCAGAUGCAUACUUUCUGGUGCAACAGCAAGCACUGGAGGAUUUAAGCGCCAAACAAGAGAAAGUUAAUAAGCUUGCUAAGCAUCUUGCCAGCAUUAUGGGUACCUAGGAUAUUGUUUCUUGAGAUCUUAUGAAGUGGUUUCAGUUCUGGACUUGUUUUGCUGCGGUGUUUAUUUACACUGGUCGCGAACUUUGACAACCGGUGUAUAUGAUAUGCUGCUUUGUUCCCUAUACUUGCACUGGUGGCGAAUUUUGAUGCCUAGUGGUUGCAAUAUGUCUAAUAGCCGUGAUAGCCUAGCGUAGCUUGCUUGCUUAUUUAUUUCCUUGUUGUGUUGUUUAUUUGUUUGCUUGUAGUGAGUGCAGUUCUUUUUCCGCGGUUUGCUAGUGGCUGUAGUAACCUAUUUUUUAAAGCUAGGCCACAAUAACCAUGGGCUACAUAUUUACUGUAGUGACACUGGGCCUCCUACGGGCCGUAGAAACAAUGGUCCUUCUACGGGCCAUAGAAACAAUGGGCCUUCUAUGGGCCAUAGACACAAUGGGCCUUCUACAGGCCGUAGACACAAUGGGCCUUCUACGGGUCGUAUCAUCAAUGGGCCUUCUACGGGUCGUAUGAUCGAUUGGCCAAAAUGGGCCAAUAACAUACCGCAUUAUGGCCGUAAACAAGCUAGAGUUGGAAUUGUCCGUUCAUGGGCCGACCAUAACAGGCCGUCGUUAAUCGGCCGUAUUUGAUGACGCUGUGAAAAUGGCCCAACGUAUUAACGGGUCACAAACGGGUCGACUGUAACCAUGGGCUGAAUUUGGCCCACAAGCAGAAAACUAUAGUAACGGGCCGUAAGUAACCGAAUGCUGGAAAUGAGCCCAAGAAUAAAUGGGCCCUGAGAAGGCCGGAAGAUAACAUGGGUUAGAAACGGCCCAAUGGAAUAAUGGGCCGUUAAUGGGUAGAAAGUGAUACAUUGUUCAUUUUGGUCCAGUUUCACCAUGGGCCAUUAAUGGGCCAAGAGUUACAAAGGGCCUCAUAUGGGCCGAAAGACAUCAUGGACCAUACAUGGGCUGGAAGUUAAAAUGGGUUGGAAUCAUAUUGGACGACCUAAAUGACCUUAUUGGGCCUAAUUCGGAUAGGUCAUAACGGGCCAUGGGUUAGCGGGCUGUAAAUGGGCUAUAUGCGAACAAGCCAUUAAUAGGCUUUCUGUGGGCCGGCCCGCCACCUUUUGACCAAGUCAAACGGGCCGGCGAUUUCACACGAAUGGGCCUCUGUUGGGUCGUGCCACGUGUCAACGUAUCAUAGGCGCCUUCCAUCCAAUGAGUGGAUGACAUCUGUCCCAAUGGUGAGCCGACACAUGUUUCCUCCAACCAAUGAUGAUUUUACAUGUGGAAAAUCCCCAUUGGCCGGGGCUGUUAACGGGUUAUCGGAUCCAAAACCGGACCCGAUAGCUUAACAGCGAGCCGUUAUGGUGGAUGCCAUGUGUCGGUCACCCUUGUCAAAAGCACUUCUAUACAUGCGAUUUAUCGUCAUGGAAGUGGACACUUCCGUGAUGAUAAUUUUGGUAAUGUCAUGGAACACUUCUACGGCACCACAGGUAUGACUAUCUUGAUUCUGUCAUAAAAUCGUCAUGGAUGUACAUGCAUGGCAGAAAACAUGACCUACUGUGACAAACACGUAUCAUCACGGAAGUGUAUUUUUUGUAGUGUUAACAAGACCACUAGUUUCAAGAAAAAAGGGCAAAGGGAAGAAGGGUAACUUCAAGAAGAAUAGCAAGAAUGUUGCUACUCCAGGGAAGAAGCCCAAGUAUGGACCUAAGCCUGAAACUGAGUGCUUCUACUACAAAGGGACUGGUCACUAGAAGUGGAACUGCCCCAAGUUCUGGCGGAUAAGAAAGAUGGCAAAGUGAAAGUAUAUUUGAUAUACAUGUUAUUGAUGUGUACCUUACUAAUGCUCGUAGUAGCCACUGGGUAUUUGAUACUGGUUCUGUUGCUCAUAUUUGCAACUCGAAAUAGGGGCUAUGGAUUAAAUGAAGAUUGGCUAAGGACGAGGUGACGAUGCGCAUCGGAAAUGGUUCCAAGGUCGAUGUGAUCGCUGUCGGCAUGCUACCUCUACAUCUACCUUCGGGAUUAGUUUUAGACCUGAAUAAUUGUUAUUUGGUGCGAGCGUUGAGCAUGAACAUUAUAUCUGGAUCUUGUUUAAUGCGAGACGGCUAUUCAUUUAAAUCAUAGAAUAAUGGUUGUUCUAUUUAUAUGAGUAAUAUCUUUUAUGGUCAUGCCCCUUGAUGAGUGGUCUAUUUUUGUUGAAUCUCGAUUGUAGUGAUACACAUGUUCAUAAUAUUGAAGCCAAAAGAUGCAAAGUUCAUAAUGAUAGUGCAACUUAUUCGUGGCACUACCGUUUAGGUCAUAUUGGUGCUUGCGAACCAUGCCUCAUGGGCAAGAUGACUAAAACUCCGUUCUCCAGAACAAUGGAACGAGCUAAUGACUUAUUGAAAAUAAUACAUACCGAUGUAUGCCGUCCGAUGAGUGUUGAAGCUCGUGGCGGGUAUUGUUAUUUUUUGACCUUCACAGAUGAUUUGAGCAGAUAUGGGUAUAUCUAAUUAAUGAAACAUAAGUCUGAAACAUUUGAAAAGUUCAAAGAAUUUUAGAGUGAAGUGGAAAAUCAUCGUAACAAGAAAAUAAAGUUUCUAGGAUUUGAUCGUGGAGGCGAAUAUUUGAACUACGAGUUUGGUCUUCAUUUCAAACAAUGUGGAAUAGUUUCACAACUCACACCACCUGGAACACCACAGCAUAAUGGUGUGUCCGAAUGUCGUAACCGUACUUUAUUGGAUAUGGUGCGAUCUAUGAUGUCUCUUACUGAUUUAACGCUAUUGUUUUGGGGUUAUGCCUUAGAGACGCCUUCAUUCACGUUAAAUAGGGCACCAUAAAAAUCCGUUGAGAGGACACCAUAUGAACUGUGGUUUGGCAAGAAACCCAAGUUGUCGUUUCUUAAAGUUUGGGGCUUCGAUGCUUAUGUGAAAAAGCUUCGACCUGAUAAGCUCGAACCCAAAUCGGAUAAAUGCGUCUUCAUAGGAUACCCAAAGGAAAAUAUUGGGUACACCUUCUAUCACAGAUCCAAAGGCAAGAUAUUCGUUGCUAAGAAUGGAUCCUUUCUAGAGAAGGAGUUUCUCUCGAAAGAAGUGAGUGGGAGGAAAGUAGAACUUGAUGAGGUAAUUGUACCUUCUCCCGAAUUUGGCAGUAGUUUAUCACAGAAAUCAGUUCCGGUGAUUCCUUCACCAAUUAGUGAGGAAGCUAAUGAUGAUGAUCAUGAAACUUCAGAUCAACUUACUACUGAACCUCGUAGGUCAACUAGAGUACGAUCCGCAGCAGAGUGGUACGGUAAUCCUAUUCUGGAAGUCAUGUUACUAGACCAUGAUGAACCUACGAACUAUGAGGAAGUGAUGAUAAGCCUAGAUUCCGCAAAAUGGCUUGAGGCCAUGAAAUCUGAGAUGGGAUCCAUGUAUGAGAACAAAGUGUUGACUUUGGUGGACUCGUCCGAUGAUCGGCAAGCCAUAGAAAACAAAUGGAUCUUCAAGAAGAAGACUAUCGCUGAUGAUAAUGUUACUGUCUACAAAGCUUGACUUGUUGCAAAAGGUUUUCGACAAGUUCAAGGAGUUGACUACAAUGAGACCUUCUCACCCGUAGCGAUGCUUAAGUCUGUCCAAAUCAUGUUAGCAAUUGCCGCAUUUUAUGAUUAUGAAAUUUGGAAAAUGGAUGUCAAAACUGCAUUCCUUAAUGGAUUUCUUAAAGAAGAGUUGUAUAUGAUGCAACUAGAAGGUUUUGUCGAUCCAAAAGGUGCUAAAAAGGUGUGCAAGCUCUAGCGAUCCAUUUAUGGACUGGUGCAAGCCUCUCGGAGUUGGAAUAUACGAUUUGAUAAUGUGAUCAAAGCAUAUGGUUUUAUACAGACUUUUGGAGAAGCCUUUAUUUACAAGUAAGUGAGUGGGAGCUCUGUAGCAUUUCUAAUAUUAUAUGUGGAUAACAUAUUGUUGAUUGGAAAUAAUACAAAAAAUUUGGAUAGCAUAAAAGGAUACUUGAAUAAGAAUUUUUCAGUGAAAGACCUCCGUGAAGCUGCUUAUAUAUUGGGGCAUCAAGAUCUAUAGAAAUAGAUCAAGACGCUUAAUUGGACUUUCACAAAGAACAUACCUUGAUAGAGUUUUGAAGAAGUUCAAAAUGGAUCAGUCAAAGAAAGGGUUCUUGCCUGUGUUACAAGGUGUGAAAUGAGUCAGACUCAAUGCCCGACCACUGCAUAAGAUAGAGAGAAAAUGAAAGUCAUUCCCUAUGCCUCGGCCAUAGGUUCUAUCAUGUAUGCAAUGUUGUGUACCAGACCUAAUGUGUGCCUUGCUAUAAGUUUAACAGGGAGGUACCAAAGUGAUCCAGGAGUGGAUCACUGGACAGCGGUCAAGAACAUCCUGAAAUACCUGAAAAGGAAUACGGAUAUGUUUCUCGUUUAUGGAGGUGACAAAGAGCUCGUUUUAAAUGGUUACGUCAAUGCAAGCUUUGACACUAAUCUAGAUGACUCUAAGUAUCAAACCAGAUACGUAUUUAUAUUGAAUGGUGGAGCUUUUAGUUGGUGCAGUUCCAAGCAGAGCGUCGUGGCGGGAUCUACGUGUGAAGCGGAGUACAUAGUUGCUUCGGAAGCAGCAAAUGAAGGAGUCUGGAUGAAGGAGAUCAUAUCCGAUCUAGGUGUAUGUGACGCCCCCGAUUCAAUCGUACACUAAUCAUGCACGCAAACAUGUACGAUCAAGAUCAUGGACUCACGAGAAGAUAUCACAACACAACUCUAAAACAUAAAUAAGUCAUACAAGCAUCAUAAUACAAGCCAGAGGCCUCGAGGGCUCGAAUACAAGUGCUCGAUCAUAGACGAGUCAGCGGAAGCAACAAUAUCUGAGUACAGACAUAAGUAAACAAGUUGCCAUAAGAUGGCUAGCACAAACUGGAUACAGAUCGAAAGAGGCACAGGCCUCCUGCCUGGGAUCCUCCUAAACUACUCCUGGUCGUCGUCAGCGGCCUGCACGUAGUAGUAGGCACCUCCAGAGUAGUAGUCGUCAUCGACGGUGGCGUCUGGAUCCUGGGCUCCAAUGUCUGGUUGUGGCGUCCGAGAAGAAGAGGAAAACAGGGGAAAAGAGGGAGCAAAGCAACCGUGAGUACUCAUCCAAAGUACUCGCAAGCAAGGAGCUACACUACAUAUGCAUGGGUAUAUGUGUAAGGAGGCAAUAUGAGUGGACUGAACUGCAGAAUGCCAAAAUAAGAGGGGGAUAGCUAGUCCUAUUGAAGACUACGCUUCUGGCAGUCUCCCUCUUGCAGCAUGUAGAAGAGAGUAGAUUGAAGUCCUCCAAGUAGCAUCGCAUAGCAUAAUCCUACCUGGCGGUCCUCCCCUCGUCGCCCUAUGGAAAAGAGAUCACCGGGUUGUCUGUGGAACUUGUCUUCGUGCAUUUUAUUAAGUGUCCGGUUCUAGUUGUCAUAAGGUCAAGGUACAACUCCGGGUCGUCCUUUUACCGAGGGACACGGCUAUUCGAAUAGAUUAACUUCCCUGCAGGGGUGCACCACAUAACCCAACACGCUCAAUCCCAUUUGGCUGAACACACUUUUCUAGGUCAUGCCCGGCCUCGGAAGAUCAACACGUCGCAGCCCCACCUAGGCACAACAGAGAGGUCAGCACGCCGGUCUAAAUCAUAUGUGCGCAGGGGUCUGGGCCCAUCGCCCAUUGCACACCUGCAUGUUGCGAGGGUGGCCGGAAGCAGACCUAGCCUCCCUAAUACAAGAGCAGGUGUUCCAGUCCAAUCCGGCGCGCGCCGCUCCAUCGCUGACGUCAAGAAGGCUUCAGCUGAUACCACGACGUCGAGUGCCCAUAUCUUUCCCGCGUAGUUGGUUAGUGCGCAUAGGCCAGUGGCCAGACUCAGAUCAAAUACCAAGAUCUCGUUAAGCGUGUUAUUAUGAAAUGACCGCGGACGCCGACCAGGGCCAGGCCCACCUCUCGCCUAGGUGGUCUCAACCUGCCAUGUCGCUCCGCCACAAAGAUCCACACAGAGGGUCGUCGGGACAAAGGUCCUUUCAGCCCCCAAUCCGUGAAUCACUCGCGGGUACUCAACGAGCCGACCCAACUUUAGUCACCAUCUGUAUAGUAUGUAUAAAUGUAUAGUAUAUACCCGUGAUCACCUCCCGAGUGAUCAUGACCCGAUAGUAUAGCAAGGCAGACUGACAAGAAUGUAGGGCCAAUGAUGAUAAACUAGCAUCCUAUACUAAGCAUUUAGGAUUGUGGGUAAGGUAUCAAUGACUGUAGCAACAAUGACAGGAUAUGCAACAGAAUAGGAGUAACCGAACAGUAACAUGCUACACUACUCUAAUGCAAGCAGUAUAGAGAAGAAUAGGCGAUAUCUGAUGAUCAAGGGGGGGGCUUGCCUGGUUGCUCUGGCAAGAAGGAGGGGUUGUCAACUCCGUAGUCGAACUGGGCAGCAGCAGCGUCGGUCUCGUAGUCUACCGGAGAGAACAGGGGGAAGAAGCAGUAAAUACAAUGCAAACAAAAGCAUGAUGAUGCAUGACAUGACAAUGAGCGGGGUUAGGUGUGCCCUAACGCGGUAGUAGGUGAUACCGGCAAAAGCGGGAAACAUCCGGGAAAGUAUCCCCGGCGUUUCGUGUUUUCGGACAAGUGAUCCGGAGGGGGAAAGUUGCGUGUUCGAUAUGUUACGGAUGUGUGGCAGACGAACGGGAUGCGUAUCCGGAUUCGUCUCGUCGUUUUGAGCAACUUUCAUGUACAAAGUUUUUCCAUCCGAGCUACGGUUUAUUUUAUAUUGAUUUUAAAAGAUUUAAACCUUUUUAGAAUUUAUUUAAUUAUUUUAAAUCAACAUAUCCAGAAUAGUGUAUGUUGACGUCAGCAUGACAUCAGCAGUCAACUUGGCAUUGACUGGGUCAAACUGACAUGAGGGUCCCGCAUGUCAUUGACUGAUUAAUUAACUAACAGUUAAUUAGGUUAAUUAGUGAUUAGAUUAAUCUAAUUAUGAUUAAUUAAGUUAAUUAAUUAAUUAAUUAAUAUUUUUAUUAUUGUUAUUUUUUUAUAUUAUUUAUCUUUUAAAAUUCCUUUUUUUCUUAAAACCGUUCUGGGCGUGGGGCCCCCUGUCAUUGGCACAGGGGGCCAUAGCGGGGGUGGGGUUCACGGGUGUCGGGCGCCGGGUGCGGGCGCACCCGAGCGGGCACUCGCCCGCAGGGCGGGACAAGGCCACCGGAGCACCGACGGUGGGGUGGGCCGGCGCGGCCAGCCGAGCCACGACGGGCGGAGGCAACGGGUGGCGCCGGUGCGGCUAGUGGCACACGGGUGGGCGCGGUGGCGCGACCGUGGGAGGAGGAGAGAGCGGAGACGAGGUGCGGCGAGGCACGGAGCCAUGGGGCACUGGCCGGAGCAGUAGGGGGAGGCGGGCGGUGACCGGAGGCGGCACAGAGGGGCGGCUCGGCCAAGGGGAUGCGGGCGCAACGGCGGCCAGUGGCUGGAGUGGCCACGGGCGGCAGCGGCAGCCGCUGUAGUGGACGGUUGCGGGCGCGGUUAGGCGCGGCGAGGGAUCCCGCGCGAGGACGAGCAGGGGAGGCGCCGAUGCACGGGCGGGACGAGCGGGCGUGGCCGGUGCGAGGGUGCGCGGCGUUUGCGGCGAUAGUGACCAGCGUGAUGCAGGAAGAGAAGAGGGGGCCGGGGGCCUCACCAUGAUUCGUAGGGGACAGGGCAGUGGGGGUUGAGGAGGAGGACGGUGACGAGCGGCGGAGAGGAAGCAGGCCGGUUGGGUGGCUCCGGCGAGGUGGAGACGAGGAGGCGACGAGGUCUGGCGGACGGCGUGACAGCUCCGAGGCGACGGCGGUGAGGUGACGGCCUCGGGGAUGUCUUCAGGCGGCAGCGGACGGGGAUGGGAGCGCCGACGACGGCAGGGCAGCACUGGGCGGCAUCGACACCGAGCCCUCGAUCUCGAUCCAGAAUCGGGGGAGGAGUGGGCGAUGUGGGGGGCGAGUGGGUGCGUUAGUGGCUAGGGUUCGGUUGCUCGGGGGUAUAAGGGAGUGGGGUGGCUGGUUGGGCCAGGUGGGCCGGCUUGGUGAGCUGGGCCGCCUGGUCUAGUGGGGGUUGUUUUUCUUCUCUCUUUUUUUCUGUAGUUUUGUUUUGUUUUUUAUUCUUUUCCUUUUUCUUUAUUUUCUCUACUGUUUUAAUUCAUUUUAAAUUAUUUAGACAUCCUAUAAAAAUGUGGUUCCUUCACCAUAAAUAUCUAGGCAUUAACUCGCACACUCCGAACAUUUUACUUUAAUGUUUGAAAAUUGUUGACGUCUGCCUUUAUUUUAAAUUGGAAUUUGAACCGGUAUUGAACUAACCCGAGUUUCACAACUGUAACCGAGGUGACGUGGUAUCAUUAACGUGGAAUUACUGUAGCCUAAUUAUCCGGUUGUUACAAUUCUCCUCCAAUACAAGAAAUCUCGUCCCGAGAUUUUAAGCGGUGGAGUUAGGGGGGAAGGUCUGGUUACAAAAUCCUAACGUAUCUUCUCGAUCUUUGCCACUCUUCUCGAAGAGAUCGAUCCAUUACAUUGAUAUCUUCAUUCCACUGCUUCAGGUCAUCAUUAUGAGGUCGUCAUCCUUUCUUUGGGGGUUCCAUCAUACUUACGAAAGAAUAAGGGGGUAUUCCGGGAGAACGAACCUCUACAAGGUUGACCAUCGGGUCGAUAACAUCGGGGAAGGUGGCGGAAGGUAACUCUUGAAUUGAACACAAGAAAAUAUCAAGAGCAAGGUAAGAAGGUAUCAUGGGCAGUUUCGAGCAAGCAGACAACCGUUCGAUGCCUGUUAUAGGGCGUGAAAGGGGUUCAAAGCAACGGAAAUAAUUACUAUGUCUGAUACUAGAAUUGAUGAUCUCUCAGAAGGUGGCUCUUGAAUUACAUACGAGGCCAAGUGCGAGGAACAACCUUAAGAACAGGGGGUGUAUAGGAGAGUCAGGUUUUGAUCCUAUGGAACUGUGGGUUAUGGGCCCACCAUGUGGGUUAAAAGUAGGAAUGGUGGUGACGUCUUGCACGAUCAUGUAAGCAAGGCAUGCGAGAGGAUAGUCUGUCAGUUAUGCCAGCAACAAUAUCGGUACUAAGGGCGAGGGACAAAGAGAACCAUUCUCCUGCUCGUGGAAUGAGGCGGACCAAUGGGCAAAGUUCUUGUCCAUCAGUGGCUACCGAAAUGUCAUCAGCUAUAGUAACAGGGUCUUGCUGAUAGAAUUGCACACUGAGGUGUUUGCACAAGCAAGGAAUUAUUACUGCUAUAUCAUAGAUCACAAUAAGGGUUUAAAUAAACCAAUGGAAAGGGAAAAGUGUCUAUCAGAUUUAAUCAAAACAAUGAAAAGGAAAAUGUGUUUAAACACAUAUUUCAGGGGUAUAUCCUUCCCAAGGAUAAGCAGAGCAUGAUAUCCAUGACAGGAUAUAACGUAGGAAACCAUUUAGGUAAGGGGAGAAGAAGUUCAUGACAUUUCCCAAACAACGGUGUUUGAAUAAUUGAUGAAGGAAAUUAAGCAUGGUGCUUCAAAUGUUCUUAUCGAUGAUCAUAGUACCACAAACAUGCUUCGAGAUAGCAUUGAUAUGGUUAUCAAGUAAGGGUCAGAAUUUGGAUGCACACAGGACCCAUCAGGAACAAAUUAUAGAAUAAGUCUUACGAUUUCCUCAUGGAAGAAUCGCUAACCUUGCUAAGAAGGGAACUGUUGUCAACAAUGUGCUCCCAGUGUUCUCGACGUCCUUGUUACUUGAAAAUUGCCCUAUGAUGAGGAAAAUGGGUGAAUCAUGCAACAUAUGAGCAAGUCCUAGGGGCGAGACUAGGGAAGUACUUGGUGUUUUUGUUUUCACACGUGCAACUGGGUUUUUCUGUGAAUCUCAUAUUCAACAACAAAUGUAGUUAUAGCAUGGGACGCAAACAUUAAUUAUGAACAUGGAAAAAAUAACAUUGUUAUUGCUUCUAGGGCAUAUUUCCUUCAAUAGGUGGCUAUGGUUUGGUCGCUCGCGGGGGGCUUCAUGGAGGCGUAGGGGAAUGGGGCACCUUCGGCUAACGUUGGUCAUGGCACUAGUUCAUGCCUCCCGCCUGCUUCCUCUCUUUGGGAAAGAUGACAAGAGGCAGCCGGUGAGGUAGGCUGAGCCUGCUGAAAAGUUAGGUGAGGCCGAGUGGCGUUAUGCUUAGCGAUUCUCGCUUUUAGAAUAGGGUUGGGCCGGCAAGGUUUCGGUUUAAAAGGCUUUUCCCUUUUUCUUUUUAUAGAAUUAGGGAAUACGAUAGAUAUGGAAUUAUUUGGAGGGCUAAAUAAUUUUCAAAUGAGAUGAAAUUCUUAUGGUGGUCUCUCUGACAUUCAAAGCUACACUAAAAUUUCCAAAAAUUUGACAAGGAUUUGAAUUUAAAUGAGGGAAGUGAUAUAACGGUGGUUUGAAAUAGAGGUAUGAGAAAGAAGUGUGCUAAAUUUCCAAAAAUUUACGAUAGCUCUAAUAUGACAGAAGAACACUAUGUUCCAAGUUUGGGAGUGAGUCUUGAGGGUAGUAGCAAUAUUAAUUCAGGGUUGCAAUAAUAAAAAUGGUGUGGGAUUAACAUGAACAUGUCAAGUUAAUGAUAUUCAAUGGUGGCAUAAUGUCAUGAUGAUACACGAAAAAAACGUGCAAAGUGGUUGGGAUAUUACUCUGUGACGACUUUGUCACUCUCAGGAUGAUGUAUCAGCUCCGUCUCCCGGAGGCGUUCAUAUGGGUAGUGUUGGGGAUAUAACUAUUAGGUGUGACCCGCCCAGGAGGGGCUGGGUCAUACCUAAGGCAGUUCAUCAAUAUGAAGCCCAUGAAGAUAUUUGAAGAUGGCGGUUCAGCUAAAGGUCCAAGGCCCAAAGGCGACAUAAGGCCCGUAGAGAUAAACCGCCAUAUAUGUAUAACUUGUAUUGUAAGGCAAGAAUAGAUAGUCAUUGAGCCAGACACUGUUUAUGAGCCUGCCGGGACUCUGUGAGCCGCCGGGCGUCGACCUCUGUAUAUAAAGGGACGACCCGGCGGCGGUUCAGGACAAUUAACAAGAGAUCGUAAACUAGGUCAAGCGGAUUCGCUCCCUGGUAAUCGAGACAUAAGCAAUACCACCCAAAACUGGAUUGUGGGCUUUUACCUUCACCACAAGGGGCCGACCAGUAUAAACCCCGUGUCCUUUGUCCCGAUUAACCCCUUUAAGCUUCCUAGUUGCGAUGGCUCCACGACUAAGUCCUUUUGCUAGGACAUCUGCUGUGAACUUUCCACGAAAGUUGGCGCCCACCAUGGGGCCAGCGCACGGUGGAUUUGAGUUCUUGAAGGGCAGCUUCGAAGGGCUCAAAGGAUACAUUGUGGGACGGAUGAGCAAGAGUCAUCGCGGCAAGCUCUACAUCGACGAUGCAGGCUGGGGCCCCGAUGCCGGCUCAAUUGAGUAUGGAUAUCGGGUCCCCUUCGGAGGAAUCCACGUCUUCAUCGACAAGAUCGGCGAGCCGGGCCCUAAGCCGGACAUCUGCACCGACAUCAUCAAGACGGCUCAGCGUGCGAGACCCGCCCGGGCUCAGCCUGCCAUGGAGCGUGCAACUUGUUGGGGAGCGGAUGGUUGGAUUCAAGGCGCGGAGCACAGAAGACGGAAAGAGGGUUCUCAUCGGCCGGAGAAGUGUCUUGGCAGUAGAACCAUGCCUGGUUCCAAUCCUUGGGGUGACUUGGUGGUUGCGCAUAAGGAAAAAUGACAUCUCUGCGUCGUUGGAUUGAGACCCCGCCAAGUUCCAAACUAGGUCCAUUGGAGUAUUCAUUCUGGCGGUUUAAGGAAAACAAUUCUCUGAAAAGAAGUAGGAUGGGCUCUUCUCCAAGGUACACCUCACAGAACACUUGAAAGUUACAUAUAUUAGACAUGGAGUUGGGUCCGAUGUCUUGAGGACGGAGGUCAAAAAAGUGCAGAAUAUCUCUGAAGAAUUUUGAGCCGGGUGGCGAAAAGCCCCGGUUCAUGUGAUCAGUGAAGACGAUGACUUCCCCUUCUUUGGGCUGAGGCGUUUUGGAUCAGGAGCACGGUACGACAUGACAUCCCUUUUGGGCAGAUAGCCGAUUUUCACAAAAUCGUCAAAAGUACUCUCCGUGACGAUGGAUUUGAACCAGUUACAUGAAGUGGUUAUCUUGGGCGGCAUUGUGAAGAAGGAAGCCUAAAAGAGAGUAAAAUUACCGGUUCAAAUUUAAGCCGGAGGAAGAAAUAUUACAAGCACAUAUUCAGACUGGCGGCUUAUAAAGGGGCCCAAUGGUAUAUGACUAAUUACGUCAGGAUAUUUAAGCCACCAUGAGCAGUUUGAUAUUAUCUAUUGUGCAUCACCGUUAAAAGCUGAUGGCAUGAGCCGCCAUGGCUAGGAGGAUCUAUUAAGAUGCAGUUUUCUUGCUAAGUACCAUACAAACAGGUUUCACAUGUUGCAGCUAUUAUUUUGGAUCAGUGGCUGUUCAGAAAAAGGAAAUAAAUCUGGACCUAAAUACUAGUACAAAUGAGUUCAUAAGCUCUAAAAGGGAUCUUUUCUUACAGGAAAGGGGAUCUACUGGUAUGAAAGGUAAAAGUAAAACAACUCCCGCAUACGUUUUGUACCGUUAUUAGAUCAAAAGGUGCUGCCGUGGACAGGCUAAGAAGAACACUAUGAAGAACACGAUGAACAAGUCGAAACCCUAAUGUGGAUCUGAGAUACAAGGAAGCAAGUACUUACAGAUGCAGAUUGACUGCGGAGGGGCGCCGCUGUUUCUCUGGUUCGGUCAGGGUGAUGCAGCGGCCAAGAUGAGGUCGACGGUACUCUUCGCGGUGGUGGUGAGCUCCAGCGGCAGAAGGUUGCGAGAGGAGGAAGUGAUGGAAAGGGGGAGAAUGAGAAGAAGACCGGUCACGAGUAUUUAUAAGGAAAGACUCAUAAGUGGGCAUGAAAAACGAGAAGGCCGAAAACAUGGUGAUCCAGCUGCCCAGACACCUCGAUUUUUGAGACGGUUGUUAAGAUAAGGAUCCAUUGAGAUAUGUUGGACAAAGUGCGAGUUAAUGGCAAGUGACGUCAUGGUGGGUUAUCACAGAUCCAGAAGAUGACGUCAUGGCGGGUUAUAAGCACUCGCACAAAUGAAGAUCAGAAGAUUUUUCCUAUGUAUUGAAGAUUGACAUGAACCAGUUCAAAUCAAUCUCGGGCCUAAUGUUGGGGAUAUAACUAUUAGGUGUGACCCGCCCAGGAGGGGCCGGGUCAUACCUAAGGCGGUUCAUCAAUAUGAAGCCCACGAAGAUAUUUGAAGAUGGCGGUUCAGCUAAAGGCCCAAGGCCCAAAGGCGACUUAAGGCCCGUAGAGAUAAACCGCCAUAUAUGUAUAACUUGUAUUGUAAGGCAAGAAUAGAUAGUCACCGAGCCGGACACUGUUUAUGAGCCGGUCGGGACUCUGUGAGCCGCUGGGCGUCGACCUCUGUAUAUAAAGGGACGAUCCAGCGGCGGUUCAGGACAAGUAACAAGAGAUCGAAAACUAGGUCAAGCGGAUUCGCUCCCUGGUAAUCGAGACAUAAGCAAUACCAUCCAAAACUGGAUUGUAGCCUUUUACCUUCACCGCAAAGGGCCGAACCAGUAUAAACUCUGUAUCCUUUGUUCCGAUUAACCCCUUUAAGCUUCCUAGUUGCGAUGGCUCAACGACUAAGUCCUUUUGCUAGGGCAUCUGCCGUGACCUUUUCACGACAGGUAGGAUGUGCAUGCGUGCAUUCAUAAAGAUGAGUGUAGGUGCGUAUCUAUGAACGUUUGCGUCCGUACUGUGUUAGAAAAACAUACCUAAGUUAACAUGGUUGUAUAUAUGAAAUAUUUAAGAUCCAGCUCAAUCUUGUUUUCUGGCCAAAAUACGUAGUAUCAAUUACUAGCCUCACUAACUUUAAUGCAUUUGAUCUUUGCGUCGUCGGCGCAACUGGUCGUCUAGUGUACUUAAUCUAGAAAAAUAUCCAUGUGAAACAGUACUAUCAGGAGCUAGAGUACAACACAGCAGAAUAUUUGAAGGUACAGGAAAACUUUAUUAUUGCCUUUUUUUUAUAACUGUUGUAUUGUAUUUUUGCUCUUUUCCCUUUUUUCUUGGCGAGCAGAGAGUCUUCUUCUUCUGUUUUGGGCGAGGAGUGAAAGCAAGAAUGUGAAACGCAAAAACAUCGGGAAUGCAAAGGAGUGAUUUGUGGGAUAAAAGGAGAAAAAGAAAAAGAAAAGGAAAGGAAAGUUUUCUUGGCCCUGUCUGUGCGUAACGUGGCCAAUACUCCAAGGUAACAGGCCGAGAUGAGCGUCGAGCGCGGACUUUAUUCUGGCUUUUUUGACGAUGGCAUGUGAUUUUCUCAUCACUAUUGCUUGGGGCGCAGAACAGUCGAGUAGAGAAGCAUCAAUCCAUGUUGCUGCGGCCUUGUUAUCUCGUGCCGCCACGCCUCACGGAAUAUUCCUCGCAGUCCACACAUCCCAAUCUACUUCUUCUAAAUACCGGCAGAAUGCAAUGUAUAUACUCAUGUAUCAUCAUUUAUUAGUCAGAAAAAGGAGUAUAUAUCGUAUUGUAUAUUUAUACCUGAACUCUACUUAAAUCUGGAAAGUACGGGUCGUGUACGCGAGCGAGACAGCAACAUACUUGCGCUUGACUCAUGCGUGGUGGCUGGCUAGGAGAAUCCGACAGCCCCUGAGCAUGACCGGCCAGUUCAUGAUCGCCUCGAGAGCCGCCAAGGUUACGUGCACACCUACUGCUGUGUGCCCGUGCAUGGAUUCGCCGCGGCAAAAGCCCUCUGGUUUUGCAGAGGGAGGCGGGAAUUAUUUACAUUUUCUUCAAAUCAAAUCACGGUUGUUUGUUUACACGCCACCCCUUAAUUAGCUGCGGCGUGCUAAUCAAACUCAAAGUAGUGGUAGUACCGCCCUUAAUUUCCGAGUAACUGCUAAGUUAGGUGCCACUUUGGUCCUCGCCUCGGCGCAAGGACGUUUAUAUAGGACUAAAACAAAAGGGUCACGCUAUCAAUCACUUUUUUUUUCUGGCUGUUGAAAAGAAAAGAGGUCACGCCAUGCCAUGCCAUCAAUCCUUGAGGCCUCAUCGUCGCUUGCCUGAAGCGGCAAAACAAAAGGUGAUGGGAUUAAAGAAAGAAAGGCGCAGCCGUAGGACAAGCUAGCCGUGUUGUACUGGUACUUGGCCUCUACGAUCUCAUCAAGUUAAGUCAAGUUAAGUUAACCCCUGGGACAAGCUGUCCCGUCAGUUAGCUAGCCCGUAGCACGGGAGAGUGCUGUCCUGGCGCACGGGACGGGUCCUCCCCUUUUGCACCAAGGACGGCCAGCCGGCUGGCAAGUGGCAGGCGGCGCGCGCGGCCACAUUGGCGCCUGCAGUGCGCUGCAUUUACGUGCCUUUCGUCGCCCUGCCCGCUGCCACCGCCCCUGCGCGGCAUGGCGCCGCGCGGAUAAGCGAAGCCCCUGGAGCUAGCGAGCUGCUACAGUGCGUGCCACGCGCACGCGGAGACGGCACGGGCACGGGCACGGGCACGGGCACGGGCAGCGCGGCCAGGCUCGUCCCUCCGCUGGCUCUCGGUCCCGGUGCCGGUUUUGGACGGGCUCGUACGUGCGCGGGCGGCGCUGCCCUCGAGGCUUUUGCCUCGCUCGGAGCCGGAGCCGGAGCGCGACGGCGGCGCGCGGGGAUCCGUAGCCCCAGCGCGGGCGGGCCGGGGUCGUGGGGCUUUGACGAGACCGGGCAUUAAUAAAACUCUUUUUUUUCUCCCUUGUUACAGUAACCCGGGAACCCGCUUUUUCACGCGGCAACAAUCGCUUUCCCUCCCGGUGGCACAGCGCACCGCAGCUUUCAAGCCAUUGUAGACUCGCCGUACCACCGCCACUGCAGCGCCGCGCCAAGCAAAAUCAAUCAAUGGUUUUCGGUGUUCGUGGACCUGUGGAGCUGCGUGCGUUGCAUGGCCUUGACGACGACGAAUCCUACCGUUGCGUGGGCCGCUAGUGACGACGACCGGAGAGUAAAAUGGAAUUGCUUAAAUGUCGCUCUCCUCUUGUCAAGUCAGGAAAAGUAUGCAUAAAUAUCGCUGUCAAUUUGGUUCAUAUCUUGCGAGAUCGCCCUUUUACCGCUAAACAAACAAAAUAAAACACAAAGGGUAAGGUAAGAUAAGAUGCUUGUUAAUUAUACAUAUUCUUGUCCCCCAAAUCAAGCAAGGCAAGGAGGAAAAGAAACUAACUUUAUACAGUCUCGCAUCCUAAUUUUGGUAAAGGAAAAGUAAAAACGCAGCAAGAGGAGGAGGCAGGGAACCGAAAACAGAACUUGGAAAAGAAGAAAGGAAAAACACAGCAGAGCAGCACCGGACGGACGGAGGAAGACGACGACGUCCUAGAUAUAGUAAUAGUAAGAUGAUUAACGAAACGAGGUGCAUUUCCAUGUCUCCGAUCGGUCCAAUCCCGAAGUAGUAAGAGCCAGGUGUGAAGUGACGGGAACGGUGGCGCCGUCCAAGAACCUUCUGCUGCAGCGACGAUCAUCAGUACUCCCACAGGAGUGGCUCCUCGAGGCGGAACACGCCGGCGCCGACGAUGUCCUCGUCGACCACCCAGGACGACGCGCACGGGAGGCCCGCCGAGGCCUCAUAUCUCAGGUCCAGGAGCAGGUCGGGAAGGUCGAACAGGGCGUCUUCUGGGUCCGGGACCAGCUCGGCGUGCGGCGGAGGCGGCGGCGGCGGCGAGGCUGCGCUGGCAUCGGAGCCGCUGUCGGGGCUCUUGGCAUUGGCACUGGCGCCGCAGGGGAAGUCGGCGGAGGCGGCGAGUAUGGCGGCCGCCUGGACGUCCUUGGGCGCGGCGCUGGCCGGGCGGGGCAGCAGGUGGGCGAGGUCCGGGAAGUUGAGGUGCGCGGCGCGGCCCUUGAUGGCGAGAGUCGCCACGUCGUGGGCCCGCGCGGCCAUCUCCGCGGUGGCGAAGGUGCCGAGCCAGAUGCGGGACUUCUUGCGGGGCUCCCUGAUCUCGGACACCCACUUGCCCCAGCUCCGCAUGCGUACGCCGUGGUAGGUCGGGUGCCGGCUGUCCUUGCGCGGCCGCUUGUUCGCGGCGACCGAGGAAGAAGACGACGAUGAAGACGAGGAAGAGGUGGCCGUUGGGGAGGUCGGGGAGCCGGGCUCGGCGAUGUCGUCCAUGGCCGCGGCGGUGGUGGUGGAGGAGUAGGUAGGCAGGGCAGGGGAGGGCAGGGGAGAGUGGUCGAGUGCCGAGUGGAGGUUGGAGGGGAAUAGCGGGGUUUUAUGGUGUGGCCGCGCAGGGGGCGACGUGGCGCGGUCGAGAAAAUUGCGGGGAAAAACAAUGGGAAGUGCUGAAAUUUGAACCAUGGGUCAGGAAAGAUCUCUCGCCCGGCUGGAGAGCACAGGGUUUUCUUGGACAAGACAGCUUACUUCACGCGCCUCUGGGAUUAUUCUCUUCGAGAAGCGUUCAUUGAACCGGAUCACACAGGGAGGCGGGCUGGCUGGACUUGUUAUUUACACCCGGCCCAUGAAAAAUAUAUGCAGUACUGGAACUGUUCAUGUAUGUGAUACUUUAAUGUCUCAAAAAAAUUAUGUAUGUGAAAUGCGACGAGUUCAGUCCAGCUCAGUGUGGAUGAGAUUCAUGUACUACGAGUAUCAAAUAUUAUUGCCAAAUAGUAUAAGAGUAUCAAAUGCCUGCUAGGUGUUUAAUUCCUAACCCCUAAAAAAGGUGUUCAAUUCCUUGAACCUAGUAUCCAUUUGUUCACUGGACUUGUGAGUGAAAUGUUUCAUUUUACAAUCACAAACGCUUUGCACAUUGCGUGGUAGCAAAGCUCAAAGAUGUUCCAAGUGGAAGACCACUGUGUCCAUAAAUCUCAUUUUACAUACUCAAAUAUUACUAAUUUAUUACAAGGUCUCUGUUUUAAAAAAAGCAAAUGAUUUUACUCGCUUAAAAUGUCUUUUUACAAAGACAGCAAUUUCCCGAAAUCUCUCAAAAGAACAGAAAAACUAUGAUCGAAUAUACACAAUAUCAUUUUUUUUAUAUGCACCCCCAAAGCGGCCCAACCGUUUCACAGAACCUCGCAUAAAUGACCCGACGACGGGCUUUGCCUACGAAAUUCGAUCUUUUGCAAUUUAACAUUUGUUGAUCAAUUGUGUUGGGAGACAGUUCGGUGUUGCCUCUAAGACCCCGACUCGCAAAAGUACACGCCAACGACUUAUCGACAAACUGGCAUGACCAUGGUUUUGUAUUAUGCGAUUAACAUUUGCCGACAAAACAUGUUCGAGGACAGUUCGUCGUUGGAACUAGGUGGCUUGCCGCUUUGCUCAAAAGAUGGUUGGGAGUGAUAAAUACAUACCUUAUGAAGUGUGAGUUGCGGUAUAUCACUUGGGCGGGAUAAUAACUUUCUAGCCAUGUACCUUGUCCUUGUACUAAACUUAAAAGUGUCGACCUUCCAAUGUAACUCCGUAUAAACGAGUAUGACGCAUCUAUAUUAUGAUGCGUGAUUCUUUGUGGAAUGUUUUAUUAUUGAACCAAACCUCAUAUAUACCUAAAUAACCAAAAAAUGUUAAAUGUGAAGAGCAAUGCCAUGACAACACCCCAUAAGCCCAUUGAAAGUGUGUCUACCCCCUAAUGAUGUUUGGCAUUGAUGACACACGAUUAUAGAGAUUAAUGUAUUUGCUAAUUGCAUUAUGAGGUUUGAAAGGAUCGACAUGUCAACUAGAGGGGGGCGGUGAACAUGAGACUAUAGAUUUUAAGCGUAGCUUCCAAAUUUCAAAUCAAUGCGGAUAAAUUAGAUUCUCUAGAUAGGCAACUAGGUGAACACAACCUAUAUCACUAUAUGACAAGCAAGCUCAAGGCAAGGUAUGCUAGGCAACAAUCUAAUUAGCAAACCAACAAGAAUACAAAGCAAGUAAAGGUAUUGUAAAUUAUUUAACUACAAGUAAGUCGAGGACGCGGAUUUUAUCCCGAAGUUUACACUCUUUGGGGAGUUCUAAUAUCCGCUGGAGCGGUAUUUGAGCCAAAGCCCUCGAACGUCACCAAUUGUCUCACCAUAUCGUCCCUUUGAGUCACCCCUAUGCAUGAGCCUCAAAUCCCUCGGGGUUGAUCUUGAAGGCGAGGAUCAUGCCUUUACAAACUUCCCAGAGCAAAUCACAAGCAAGGAAGCUUCCGGGGAACCUCCACCAUCUGGGAGCCCAAGCUCAAAGAGUAACAAGUGUCAAUGAACAAAUCAAGCGGGGAACAUGAUUGGUUUGGUGGAAAUGUGGAUCGGGUCUUGCUCUCUCUAUCACCAAAGAAUCAACAAGUUUGGGGUGAACGAAUAGUGAGUAUUAAGGGCUUGUUUGGAUUGUGACUAUGUUUGCCUUAUAUUGCCACAUUAUUUUGCCACACUUGACUAACUUGAGUUGCUCGAAUUGUUAGCCACAUUUUGGCUUGCCCAAGGGAAUCUUGCCACACUUUUUGUGUCUAUGACAUGUGAGGUUCACUUCUCAUAAAACAUUCUUGCCUUAUGUCGUGGAAUUAUCACGUCGGAUGUCCUAGUGAAAGGACUUAGUCGUGGAGCCAUCGCGAUCGGGUUAGCUUAGUGGGGUUAAACCGGACAAAGGACACAGGGAGUUUAUACUGGUUCGGCCCCUUGCGGUGAAGGUAAAAACCUACGAUCCAGUUGUGGUGUUCUUGAUGUGGUCUCGAUUACUGGGGAGCAAAUAUGCUUUGCCUAGUUCUUGAGUUGUUGUUUCUUGUCCCUGAACGGCCGCCGGGUCGUCCCUUUAUAUACAUAGGUUGACGCCCGAUCGGUCUACAAAAUCCCGAGGCCGGCUCAUACAAGUGUCUGACUCGGUUUCUCCUUUCCCUGACUUACAAUACAAGUUAUACACCUAUGGCGGUUUACUACUAUGGGCCCUAAUCCUCCAUUGGGCUUCUAGACCUCUAAGUCUUCAUAGUGAAAACGCCAUAGCCUUAGCCUUCAUCGUCAUGGGCUCUUGUACAGGAUUCCUUGUGAGUUAACCCGGCCCCUCCUAGGCGGUUUAACUCAGUAGUCAUAUCCCCAACAUUAGGCCCCAGAUUGAUUUGAACUUGUUCAUGUCAAUCUUCAACUUAGAGAAUUUCUGAUUUGAACAGCUUUAUAUUGUCUUAUAAACUGCCGUGACGUCAUCUUCUGGAAUCACCUUAAACCGCAAUGACAUCAUCUGCGUAAAAAACUCGUAAAGAUUUCUUAUUAAUUGAUCUCCGAAGAUCAAGGUGACAGUUGUAUCAGGUAUCCGAUUUUUGUCUCCUCGAUUUUCGCGCCUAUCACUUAUCCCUUUGCCUUUAUAAAUAAGACCGAGGUCCUUUCCAUUUUCCCCCUUGCCUCUUCGCAUCUUCUUCCUCCUCACGACCCCGAAGAGCUCGAGCAUCACCGCCGCCGUCGACCUUUGCGUCUGCACCAACCAGGAUGCUGCAUCAACUAGUUCUCGACCAGAAACCCUGCGACACUCCUCUGCCGCCGCGCAGCCCUGGUAAGCACUCCUCUUCCCGACUAUUAGAUCUGCAUUAGGGUUCCAUAGUCCUUCGGUGUUCAUCAGCGUUCAUCGGUGCUUAUCUGCUUACCCUUACUAUCUCCUUGAAUCUAGAUAAACCUGACAGCUUCUUUUCGCGGCGGAAUCUAUAGCUUUAGUCUGCCUUGUCAUAGCAUCUCUUCGUUUCUGGACAGAUCCCAUCUGGGCCUUUGUUGUUCUGCUGUCGCCAUUUUAGGGCUCAGAAAAUUUUUCUUUACUGAACUGCAGUAGAUCUAAAACUACAAUACCAUCUUGUGAAACCUAUUUGCGUAGCACUUAGCAAAUUUCAGAUCUGUUUCUUCCACUGUAGGCGGUUUAACCUUUAGAAAAUGAUAACCCGCCAGGUACCAUUAGCCCUCACUUAAACCACCAACUUUACCUGAGCAUAGUAUCUGGUUUAACAUGUAUAUAUGCUUUGACUGAAUCCUCCGGUUUGACACCGGUUUACUCCUAUCAACCUUGAACCAUGAACCGGUGCUUAAACUUCCUUUACAUCUUGUCAGCAAAAAUGGCCAAACAGUUCUCUUCUUGUAAUUGGGUCCCCUCCCAGAUUAAAGAAGAGCAACUUACUGGAUAUGUUCUGACUGGCGCUUUAGCCAAGAAGGAAAUCAUUCAUUGGCGAGUCCCUGGACCUGAGGAUACUCCUGAACCUCAAGAAGGAGAAGUUGUCAUUUUUAUGCAGCAUCUAGACCAAGGAUUCAGCCCUCCCGGAUCAAAAAAAAAUUCCGUGAUGUGCUUGCUAGUUUCCAGCUCCACCUCAAGAUAUUGGACCAAAUUAUGUGUCCAAUAUUUGCAACUUCCAAGUAUUUUGUGAAGUUUAUCUACAAGAAGAACCAUCUGUUGAACUUUUCAGAGAUUUCUUCCACUUGAACUGCCGAACUGAAUUCACCGACGGCCCCAACACUGAACUUGGCGGUGUGUCAAUUUAGAAAAGGAAAACAGUUAAUUUUCCUCAUGUCAAACAUCACAACCACCCCAAGGAUUGGAAUCAGACAUUGUUCUACUGCCGGAACACUGCCCCUGCUGAUGAAAAUCCUCUACCGGGUUAUCGGGCUCACCGGCUCAGCAACGAGCAUCCACUGCCUCAACGGCUUACCGUCAGAGAACGACAAACAUAUGCACCACAUAUUGCUAAGCUCCGGGAUUUUAUGGCCAAUGGUUUAACCAGCAUUGACUUUGUCCAUUGCUGGGUUUCAUGGGGUAUCCUGCCCUUAAGCUGUUGUACCAGAUUGAUGCAUGAAUAUACUAGGGAUGUUAAAGAUCCUCAACGGCACACUAAAAUACAGUUGACUAAAGAUGAGGUCACUGAGGCUGUUAAGAAGAUGUUGGAUGAACCGGUAAAUGAGUGCAGCAAAACCGGACUGCGUCCCUUUUAUGCUUCCAACAAACCGCCAGCAGUAUGAUUUUGUCUUUCUACUUUUAAUCCGUCCUCGUUCUAACACUUUCUGAUAGCCUUCUUUUUAUCUUUGCAGGAUAAAGAUCCAUUCUGGAAAAAGAAAUCUCAGGAUAAACCGUCAAAACCGCAAGACAAACCGGCUAGUGGGGCUCGCAACAAGACCAAGGUCACAAAGAUGCCGGCAAAGAAGAAAACCGCCGAGUCCUCUAGUCCGCCCGAAGAUGUUGAUGAUUCGGAGCCAGAGGUAGAACUUGACUCCCUUGGUUCAUUUUCAUGCAUCUUAUUGACAAUGAUCUUUAUCAGGAUGAUGCAGAAGCCAGCCGUGCUGACCAUGUAGAGGUAAUCUCCCUUUCCUCUGAUUCAGAUCAUGUGCCAAUACAAAAACUUUGCCGCGGAGUCCGGAAAGUAAAACACUCACAUCCGCUUGCUCAUUUGGAUCCACACUUUUCUUUGAAGACACAACAACAUGAAAGUCAUCGCAGAACCCAGCACAGCAGCCAGCAAGUCACUUCCUCCGGUUUACCAGACACCCCAAUCCGGAAGCGUCGUCUAGAGGUCCCUUGUUCUUCUAAUAAAUCUUAUCCCUUGGCUGGUUGCUUCCGAUACCCACUUAAUCCGUCUGAUUCGAAUUAUCAGGUAACUUCGAACUCAUCUUCUGGCGACUCAUCAACCACACAAAUGCCUCCUCUCAAGACCGUCCCUGGGUGAGUAUGAUAUCUUAAGCUUUACUUUCUUGCACCGGUUUACCAUAUUAAUCUUUGUUUGCCAUUUACAGCGCCAAAGCCCGACUCAACAAAAAAGCUAAAUUGAAUAUUCCCACUGAGGAAUUUGAUCCGGAGAGGAUCUCAGAAGGCGCUGCUGGAGACACUGACAUUGCUAUAGAUGAUCCUGUGCCACAAGGUCAGGACACUUAUGUUGAUCCGCUAGAAGUUAAUCCGGCUAGUCCUCAUGUUGAUCCAUCAAGCCCAAUUGCCGAUCCUCCAAGUCCUGCUGCUGAUCCGCCAAGUCCAGCCAAAGCCUCGGAUAAACCGGCUAGCCCAAAUAAAGCAACUGAUGAUGUUGUGAUUACCGGGUUUGGCCAUACUUCUCCUGGCAACCCUGUUGCUUUGUCAAAGCACAGUGCUAAAGAGGAAUUUGCAGCUGUGGAGAAAGGCAAAUGGAAGACUGAUCUGUCCAGCUGUGUUAACCUCAACGCUCAGGAACUUCAUUCUGGUUUUCUAAACCGCCUGUACACAAGCCGUGACUAUGAGGCCGGUUUAGUCAACUUGGUGAAGGAGCGCUAUGAGGUAACUUCUAGAAAUCUUUCUUUGUGUUUAUAACAAUCCCAUUGUAGCCCCCAAGGGCCGGUUUGUCUCUUCAAGAUGGACCGGGACUUUGAUAAGAAAAACUGCAACUUUGUAGCCCCUAAGGGCCGGUUUACCUCUGUGAGAUGAACCGGGUCUUUCUGUUGAAAAGUUUAACCUUGUUAUAUGCCUUCACAUCCGGUUGAUCUGCUCAAUUAAACAUUAGCCCCCAAGUGCCAAGAUUAAUACUUUUAUUGAGCCUUGGGACUUAAAAAUGUCAUUUAAGAAGCAAUCUGCAUUAGCCCCCAAGUGCCAAGUGUAUAACUUGUUAUGUGCUUGGGACUUUUGAGAAGAUAUUAACAACUUAUCAUCUGUCUGUUGCGGGCUGAUUUGAACAAUAAUGAUUCCCAAAUUGCCGAUCUUCAAGAAAAUAUCAAGUCCCAGCAAACAGAAACCUCCAAGGCCAAGGAUGAAAUGAAAGCCGCUUUGAAAGCCAUGGAGCAAUUGAAAUAUGGCUUCAAGAACGAGCGUGCCAGCUAGGAAACUGAAAAAGCUGCUUUGUUGAAGCGGGCAGAGGACGCUGAAGCAGCGCUUAACCCAGUAACAGAAGAAUUGAGCGGCUUAAAGCAGCAAAUCAACGCAAUGACUUCUGCUAUAUUUGGUAAGUACUCUUCUUCAGCUUGCUAGUAAACAUUUUUUAUACUGCCGGUUUUACGAGCAAUCUUUUAAACCAUUGCAGGUAGCCGUGUUGCUCAUCUGGGCUUUGAUAUGCGUAAGAAGUUGAAGGCAACCUAUACUUUGAUAGAACAACUGUAUACCAGCGCUCAACGAGUCAUCUGCGCGGCCUCAUAUAAUAAACCGCCACCAAUCUUGAUGAAGGAUACAUUGGCCAAACUGUCUAUGACACCUGCUCAGAUAGAAGAGGUAAAGCGAUCUGCUGCCAGGGCUGGCGCUUUAUCCGUACUGACUCGGGCCAAAGCUUGGAUAGCUGAUCUUGAUCUGGAAGAUGUCGCAAAGGGCUAUCCUGGUGAACAAGAAGACGAGUCAGCUUUUGACAAUGAAGCCCUCAAAUCCUUGACCAAGGAGAUGUGCGUGCUUGCAAGCCAAUUAGCCGAAGAAGUUGACUUGUCUGUCCAUCGGUCCAGCUAUGAUGCAGAUAACAAACGGGUUGAUGCAACUGUUAAAGAAGUGCAGAAUCUUAUCCCACCAAUUCGUAAGCACACCUAUGCCCCUGACGUUGAACCGUCCAAUCUUAUAAGUGAAGAAGCAAUUUUCCAAGCUUUAACCCGGAUUGAUUGGGCCACCAUUGACUUCCAUCCAUUGGGUGGGGAGGAGGAGGUUGAACCGACGCAAGAAGAUCCAUCAACUUCACGUCAACCUGGUGACGAGUCUUAAUCCGGCAAUCAGUUUGAUGUUCAUAGACUGUGUUCUGUGAAAAAACAAUCAUUAUUUUGGGCAUCAAAGCGCCUUGUAAUAGGCUAGUUGAAAUACUUUGAUCUGUUGCCAUCGUGCACUGCUACAUGGCGUUGUUUGAUCUGCCAUGAUUAUUGCUGUGCUUGCUUAUAUAUCUUGAUAAUUUCAUGCAAUCCUUGUGUCUGCAUAAAAAGAGUUGUCCUGGCGGUUUACCGCCGGAUGGGUCAUAAUGCCCAAUACAAAGCCUGGUUGAUUACCAAGGCUGAAAAAUAUAUCAAAAUAUGAAAUAGAUCAUACCUGUGAUAUUAAAUCAUAUUGUUGGCUUACCAACUUGAUUGUAGUAAGGGUAAGAACCCAAAUCUUGAGUAUUGAUAACUCCCACCAUGAAGUGCUAGUGUAUAAUAAGUCAUACCGGGUUGUGAUGAACACCGGAUGAUCAUCCUGGCGACAUGUAGUCAAAGCCAGACCGGGUUAUGAAACACCUGUUUAAUAAUGAGUGUGGUCUGACAACUUGUAGCUGAAAGCCAAGCCGGGUUAACAAACACCGGGUUACUAUGAUGACUGAUAGCCAUGCCGGGUCAAUAGACUCCGGUUUAACAUAAAAUUUCAUCAAAAUAAAAACUCUUUGACAAAGGCAAAUAAAAACCGUGUAGUCGAGGCUUUUCAAGGCCUGCUAGGCCCAAAUUCGAGGCUUUUCAUGGGCUGCCAGGCUGCUGAGUUAAACCAUUUUGCAAAGCCUUUCAAGAUGGGCCUCCAACUAACCAAUCGUCGUUUUAACUUUGACAAGUUCAGGGUCUGUUUAGGAUUGACUUGUCAAACGUUCGACAGGUCAUGCCAGGAUUACCUGGAUAGGAGUGGCUUACUUGAUAAAGGCAGGUUAACCCGGGGUUUUCGGUGAAUACACCAGGCUUCCAAGCCGUGCUUGAUAGCAUAUUACAAGGGUCCUUUCAAACUCUUUGUUGCAUUGCACAAAGAGCCCCCAAGUAACUUUGUGAGCUGUGCUCAAUGGGUGCCUAUGUUUGAGCCGUGCAUAGCAACUAGACUCUCUUUGGCCCCUUGGGUGUGAAGCUCCCAAGCUGUAUUGUGGCGUGAUAGCCGGUUUAACAGGCAGAACUCCACUUUGUCAGCUGAAGCCCCCAUGUAAUCAAGAGAUAUUGGAGAAAAUGGCAGAGGCCCUGCUUAUAGCAAGGAUGCCGGUUUAUUAUAUUGAUCAUAAUAUAUACAUUGUCAAAGUAUGUAGAUAAGAGGAGCCUAUGGCUCAGGUGUAGUAAGGCCGAAGGAGAGCUAUGUUCCAGGCCGUCGGGUCUCCUUAGAUUUGCGUGAGUCUGUGUGCUCUUGAAUAUCAAUGAGGUAGUAUGAUCCGUUGUGCAGAUUCUUGCUGACCACAAAGGGCCCUUCCCAAGGUGGGGAUAACUUGUGCAUAUCGGUCUGAUCCUGGAUAAGCCGAAGCACCAAGUCGCCUUCUUGAAAGGUUCUUGUCUUGACCCGGCGGCUGUGAUAACGCCGCAUGUCUUGCUGAUAAACCGCCGAACGAGCCAAAGCCAUGUCCCAUUUUUCAUCUAACAGGUCCAGUGCUUCCUGACGUGCUUGCUCGUUGUCCGCUUCAACAUAAUUGGCAACCCAGGGCGAGUCAUGACGAAUAUCACUUGGGAGUACCGCCUCUGCCCGGUAAACCAUGAAGAAAGGUGUAUAACCCGUUGAUCUAUUGGGGGUGGUGUUUAUGCUCCAUAACACAGAAGGUAAUUCUUCCACCCAACAACCCGGCAUCCUUUUCAAAGGAACCAUUAGCCGGGGCUUGAUACCCUUUAAGAUUUCCCGAUUGGCUCUCUCAGCUUGUCCGUUAGACUAGGGGUGUGCUACUGAUGACACAUCAAGCCGGAUAUGCUCUAUUUGACAGAAAUCCUCCAUCUCGCCUUUGGAGAGGUUUGUGCCAUUAUCGGUGAUGAUGCUGUGUGGAAAGCCAAAGUGGAAGAUCACCUUCUUGAUGAAUUGAACCGCCGUGGCUGCAUCACACUUGCUUACGGGCUCCGCUUCAACUCACUUAGUGAACUUGUCAACCGCCACCAACAGGUGGGUCUUCUUAUCUUUAGACUGCUUAAAAGGUCCCACCAUAUCAAGCCCCCAAGUAGCAAACGGCCAAGUGAUUGGAAUCAUCCGUAGCUCUUAAGCCAGAACAUGAGCUCGGCGUGAAAACUUCUGACAAGCGUCACACCGCUUCACCAGGUCCUCAGCAUCAGCAUGAGCUGUCAACCAGUAGAAACCAUGACGAAAAGCUUUAGCAACCAGAGAUUUUGAACCGGCGUGGUGACCACAAUCUCCUUCAUGGAUAUCACGCAAAAUCUCUUGGCCCUCCUCAGGAGAAACACAACGCUAGAACAUGCCUGAGACACUGCAGUGGUGUAACUCGCCAUUGUGAAUAACCAUGGACUUUGAUCGCCGGAUUAUCUAUCUGGCCAGAACUUCAUCUUCUGGUAACUCGCCCCGGUUCAUAUAUGCCAAAUAUGGAACCGUCCAAUCCGGAAUUACAUGUAAAGCGGCCACCAGUUGGGCCUCCGGAUUAGGAACAUCUAAAUCCUCCUCUGUAGGCAACUUAACAGACGGGUUAUGCAAGAUAUCUAGAAAGGUAUUGGGUGGUACCGGUUUACGCUGAGAUCCUAGCCGGCUUAAAGCGUCUGCUGCUUCGUUUUUGCGUCGAUCAGUAUGCUCAACCUGAUAACCCUUGAAGUGAUCAGCCACAAUAUCCACCUCUCGUCUAUAAGACGCCAUGAGUGGAUCCUUAGAAUCCCAAGUGCCAGAAACUUGCCGAGCCACCAGAUCAGAGUCUCCGAAGCAUCGUACCCGACUUAAAUUCAUUUCCUUAGCCACACGGAGACCAUGGAGUAAGGCCUCGUACUCAGCUGCAUUGUUAGUACAAGGAAACAUUAAGCGGAGACCAUAACAAAUUUUAUCACCUUGAGGGGAAGUAAGGACAACUCCAGCCCCUGAGCCCUCCAAUUGCCUGGACCUGUCAAAGUGGAUAGUCCAGUAUGUGUUAUCCGGUUUGCCUUCCGGUGCCUGCAACUCUGUCCAAUCAUUGAUGAAGUCAACAAGCGCCUGAGACUUGAUAGCUGUUCGAGGCAUAUACUUCAACCCGUGUGGUCCAAGCUCAAUAGCCCACUUUGCAACCCGGCCAGUUGCCUCCCUGUUCCGAAUUAUUAUCGCCCAAAGGAGCAGAACUGACCACUGUGAUGGGAUGGCCCUGAAAGUAUUGCUUAAGCUUCCGACUCGCCAUAAAAACCCCAUAUACCAGCUUCUGUCAAUGCGGGUAUCUUUGCUUUGACUCGAUGAGCACUUCACUGAUAUAGUAAACCGGCCUUUGAACCGGAUAUUCCUUCCCAGCUUCCUUGCGCUCGACCAUAAUAGUCACGCUGACAGCCCGGGCAUUAGCAGCCAUGUACAAUAACAGCGGCUCAUUAUAAACCGGAGCAGCAAGGACCGACGGUUCAGCCAACUACCUCUUCAAGUCCUCAAACGCCGCAUUAGCAGCGUCACUCCAGACAAAAGUGUCUGUUUUCUUCAACAUUUGAUACAAAGGGAUCACCUUCUCUCCCAAGUGGCUGACAAACCGGCUCAGGGCUACAAUUCGACCCGCCAGAUGCUAAACAUCAUUGAUACACGCCAGUUUAGCCAAAGACGUAAUCGCCUUGAUCUUUUCCAGGUUAGCCUCAAUGCCCUUGUUAGACACAAGAAAACCUAAAAGCUUGCCUGUCGGAACACCGAAGACGCACUUGUCCGGAUUGAGCAUCAUCUUGUAAACCCGAAGAUUGCCAAAGGUCUCCUUGAGGUAAUCUAUCAAUGUCUCCUUCUUCCUGGAUUUCACCACAAUGUCGUCCACAUAAGCAUGAACAUUGCGCCCAAUCUGAGUAUGAAGACAAUUCUGUACACAUCGCUGAUAAGUUGCUUGUGCACUCUUGAGUCCAAAGGGCAUAGAUACAUAGCAGAAGGCUCCAAAGGGAGUGAUGAAGGCUGUCUUCUCCUGGUCCUUAACUGCCAUUUUGAUCUGAUGAUAACCAGAACAAGCAUCUAAAUACCUCAAACGCUCACAACCCACCGUAGCAUCAAUGAUCUGAUCAAUACACGGGAGAGCAAAAGGAUCUGACGGACAAGCUUUGUUCAAGUCCGUGUAAUCCACACACAUGCACCAAGUGCCAUUCUUCUUAAGCACUAGCACUGGAUUGGCCAGCCACUCCGGAUGAAAAACUUCGAUGAUAAACCCAGCAGCCAACAGCCGGGCUACCUCUGCCCCAAUGGCCUUGCGUCUUUCCUCAUUGAAACAGCAAAGAAACUGCUUGACCGAUUUAAACUUGGGAAUAAUAUUGAGAGUGUGCUCAUCGAGUUCCCUCGGCACUCCUGGCAUGUCAGAAGGCUUCCAUGCAAAGAUGUCCCGGUUCUCACGGAUGAACUCGAUGAGCAUGCUUUCCUAUUUUGGAUCCAUAUUAGUGCUGAUACUAAACUGUUUGGAUGAAUCGCCAGGAACAAAAUCAACAAGUUUAGUCUCAUCAGCCGGUUUGAACUUAAGGGUCGGGUCAUGCUCAGUGGUGGGCUUCUUCAAAGGUGUCAUAUCUGCCGGAUCAACAUUGUCCUUGUAGAACUUCAACUCUUCUAUCGCGCAAACCGACUCAGCAUAGGACGCAUCACCCUCUUCAUAGUCCAAAGCGAUCUUAGGACUCCUGUGUACCGUGAUGGUCCCCUUAUGACCCGGCAUUUUGAGCUGUAAAUAAAUAUAACAGGGCCUUGCCGUGAAUUUUGCGUAAGCCGGCCAUCCAAAUAGGGCGUGAUAUGGGAUCUGGAUUUUCACCACUUCAAAGGUCAAAGUUUCUGACCUGGAAUCAUGCUCAUCACCAAAAACAACUUCCAAAGCUAUCUUGCCAACUGGAUAUGCCGAUUUACCUGGUACUACACCAUGAAAAACAGUGUUCGACGGUUUAAGAUUCUUAUCCGUCAACCCCAUGCGAUGAAAGGUUUCAUAAUACAAGAUGUUGAUGCUGCUCCCUCUAUCCAUGAGCACCUUGGUGAAUUUAUAACCUCCCACCUAAGGUGCCACCACUAAAGCCAGAUGACCCAGAUUAUCAACCCGGGGCGGAUGAUUUUCUCUGCUCCACACAAUGGGUUGCUCGGACCAACGCAAGUAACAGGGUACUGCCGGUUCAACAACAUUAACUACCCUCUUGUGAAGCUUCUGAUCGCGCUUACAUAAGCUAGUAGUAAAAACAUGAUACUGCCCUCCAUUCAACUGCUUUGGGUGACUCUGAAAACCUGAUUGCUGCUCAUUCCCCUGAUUACUCUGCUGGUUGUGGCCACCUUGAUUAUUCUGGUUGCCCUGAUUAUUCUGAAAUACAGAGUUUGAACCACCGCCACCGUAACCCGGCCCGUGAAAACUUGGACUUGAACCGCCAGAUGGACCCUGAUCAUACUGAAAAAAUUAGAAUUUUUGAACUCCUUCAUAAUGAAGAAAUCCUUCCAGAGGUGCGUUGCCGGAACCUCCUUCUUCCCGUGCUUUGGGCAGGGCUGGUUUAACAGUCGCUCUAGAUUCAUGCCUCCACCGCGCUGGGGCGGUUUACCCUUACGACGCUGCACAUUGCCCUGUACAUUGGUGUUAGCUACAAAAUUCAAAUUAUCCGCUUUACGCUUACCAUUGUUCCCGUGGUUCGCCUGGUUCUGUUGUCCUUUUGUACCGGCAUUCUUCUUUCCCUUCUCCGGUUUCUCUUCAUCAGAAUCGGGAUCCUUGGAAUUAUCAGAAUCAACAUAUUUAACCAGAGCGGCCAUGAGUGUUCCCAUAUCAUUGCAGUGGCGCUUGAGCCGUCCCAACUUCAUCUUCAACGAUUUAAACUGGCAAUUACCCUCCAAUGUUACAAUUGAUGUAUCCGCAUUGAUGCGGUCCGACGAAUGCAGGAUUUCUGAAACUCGGUGCACCUAAUGAGUUGUUGAUUCGUUCUCUCCCUGAACACAAGCAGCUAGAUCCACAAUGGACAUGGGUUGUUUGCACGUAUCCUUGAAGUUCGCAUUAAACCGGGCCUUCAAUUGGUCCCAUGAACCGAUGGAGUUAGCAGGCAGGCUUUUCAACCAAGUGCGAGCUAUUCCUUCCAACAUCAUGGUGAAGUAUUUUGCACAUGCCGUUUCAUCCACUUCUAGCACUCUGACGCCCCCGAUUCAAUCGUACACUAAUCAUACACGCAAACGUGUACGAUCAAGAUCAGGGACUCACGGGAAGAUAUCACAACACAACUCUACAAAUAAAAUAAGUCAUACAAGCAUCAUAAUACAAGCCAGGGGUCUCGAGGGCUCGAAUACAAGUGCUUGAUCAUAGACGAGUCAGCGGAAGCAACAAUAUAUGAGUACAGACAUAAGUAAACAAGUUGCCAUAAGAUGGCUAGCACAAACUGGGAUACAGAUUGAAAGAGGCGCAGGCCUCCUGCUUGGGAUCCUCCUAACUACUCCUGGUCGUCGUCAGCGGCCUACACGUAGUAGUAGGCACCUCCAGAGCAGUAGUCGUCAUCAACGGUGGCGUCUGGAUCCUGGGCUCCAACGUCUGGUUGCGGCAUCCGAGAAGAAGAGGAAAAUAGGGGAAAAGAGGGAGCAAAGCAACCGUGAGUACUCAUCCGAAGUACUCGCAAGCAAGGAGCUACACUACAUAUGCAUGGGUAUAUGUGUAAAAAGGCAAUAUCGAUGGACUGAACUGCAGAAUGCCAGAAUAAGAGGGGGAUAGCUAGUCCUAUCGAAGACUACGCUUCUGGCAGCCUCCGUCUUGCAGCAUGUAGAAGAGAGUAGAUUGAAGUCCUCCAAGUAGCAUCGCAUAGCAUAAUCCUACCCGGUGAUCCUCCCCUCGUUGCCCUGUGAGAAAGAGAUCACCGGGUUGUAUCUGGCACUUGGAAGGGUGUGUUUUAUUAAGUAUCCAGUUCUAAUUGUCAUAAGGUCAAGGUACAACUCCGGGUCGUCCUUUUACCGAGGGACACGGCUAUUCAAAUAGAUAAACUUCCCUGCAGGGGUGCACCACAUAACCCAACACGCUCGAUCCCAUUUGGCCGGACACACUUUCCUGGGUCAUGCCCGGCCUCGGAAGAUCAACACGUCGCAGCCCCACCUAGGCACAACAGAGAGGUCAGCACGCCGGUCUAAAUCCUAUGCGCGCAGGGGUCUGGGCCCAUCGCCCAUUGCACACCUGCACAUUGCGUACGCGGCCGGUGAGUAGACCUAGCAACCUCCAUUACAAAGGAAGUUGCGUUAACGCGGUCCAACCCGACGCGUGCCGCUCAGUUGCUGACGUCACGAAGGCUUCAGCUGAUACCACGACAUCGAGUGCCCAUAUCUUUCCCGCGUAGUUGGUUAGUGCGUAUAGGCCAGUGGCCAGACUCAGAUCGAAUACCAAGAUCUCGUUAAGCGUGUUAUUAUGAAGCAACCGCGAACGCCGACCAGGGCCAGGCCCACCUCUCUCCUAGGUGGUCUCAACCUGCCCUGUCGCUCCGCCACAAAGUAACAGUCAGGGGCCGUCGGGAACCCAGGCCCACCUCUACCAGGAUGGUGCCACCUGUCCUUCCAGCCCCCACAUCAGAAUCACGUGCGGGUACUCAACGAGCUGACCCGACUUUAGUCACCACCUGUAUACUAUGUAUAUAUGUAUAGUAUAUACCCGUGAUCACCUCCCGAGUGAUCACGGCACAAUAGUAUAGCAAGGUAGACUGACAAGAAUGUAGGGCCACAGAUGAUAAACUAGCAUCCUACACUAAGUAUUUAGGAUUGCAGGUAAGGUAUCAACAGAUGUAGCAACAAUGUCAGGCUAUGCAACAGAAUAGGAUUAACGGAAAGCAGUAACAUGCUACACUACUCUAAUGCAAGCAGUAUAAAGGAGAAUAGGCAAUAUCUGGUGAUCAAGGGGGGGGCUUGCCUGGUUGCUCUGGCAAGAAGGAGGGGUCAUCAACUCCGUAGUCGAACUGGGGUCGCCGGCGGUCUCGGGGUCUACCGGAAAGAAGUAACGGAGGGGGAACACAAUAAAUAACAGAGCAAUCAAAGCAUCACAAAGCGAGACGCGGUAAUACAGGGUGCUAGAGGUGACCUAAGGCAGCAGGAGGUGAUACUGGCGAAGGGGGAAACAUCCAGAAAAGUAUCCCCGAUGUUUCGCGUUUUCGGACAAGUGAACCGAAGGGGGAAAGUUCCGAGUUUGAUAGGUUAGGGAUGUGUGUCGGUCGAACGGGCUGCGUAUCCGGAUUCGUCUCGUCGUUCUGAGCAACUUUCAUGUAGAAAGUAUUUUCAUCCGAGCUACGGUUUAUUUUAUAUUAAUUUUAAAAGAUUUAAUCAUUUUUAGAAUUUAUAUAAUUAUUUAAUUCUAACAUUAUCCAAAAUAGUGGUAUGCUGAUGUCAUCAUGACGUCAGCAGUCAACAGGGCGUUUGGCUGGGUCAAACUGACGUGAGGGUCCCGCAUGUCAUUGACUGAUUAAUUAACAGUUAACUAAUCAAGGUUAAUUAGUCCUAACCAGUGAUCAGGUUAAUCUAAACAGAAUUAAUUAUUUAAUUAAUUAAUUAUUAUUUUAAUGUUUUUUAUUAUUAUUAUUUAAAAAAUGUUUCAGGGGCGGGCCCCACGCGUCAUAGGCACAGGGGGCCUUAACGGGUGCUUGGUGCGGGGUGGCCCGAACGGGCGCUACGGGCACCCGACCGCACGCAGAGGCCAUGGCCCUACGCGUCUGGGCGCCGGUGGCCAAGGCAUCGGCCAAGGGAGGCAGCGGAGGUGGCCGCGGGGCGCGGCGAUGAGGAGUAACGCGGGGAGGAGGAGGCAGUGGGUGGUGGGUGGAGUGGGGAGGCUGCUGGAGGGGCGAGUCAGGGCGCCAGGGGCGCGAGGUCAGCCGGCAAGGCAAGCGCGGUGGUGCGGCGGUGGGUGCGAGGAACGGGACAAGCGGGGGCGGGCAGCUGCAGAAGCAACAGCCGCAGUGGCUGCAACAGUAUUAGGCAGCCACGACACGGGCACGCGCGGCCAGGGCGCUGGCGAGUACGGGGCUGCGGGAGCAAAGGUGCGCGCGGGGAACGGUGUGGCUAGACGUGGCCGCAAUCAAUGGCGGUGAGCUUGCAGACGACGCGCGCGGAGAGAGGAGGAGAGGCUGGGCCUCAUCGCGAUUCGUGGGUUCAAGGGCAGUGGGCUCGAGCUCAAGGACGAGGACGGGGACGACAGCGACGUAGGGGAGGCAGUCUGGUGAGGCGGCAUCGGCGACGGGAACGGGCAGCGACCCGUGGGGAGGAGAUGAGGGGGUGUCGGUGGUCCGGCGGGGAGGUCCGGUGAGGGGAGAACUCCGGGCGGCGAGGCGCGGUCGUCGGUGGGGUCGGGGCGCCGUUGCCCUGAUCUGGAUCGAGCAGAGGGGGCGAGGNNNNNNNNNNNNNNNNNNNNNNNNNNNNNNNNNNNNNNNNNNNNNNNNNNNNNNNNNNNNNNNNNNNNNNNNNNNNNNNNNNNNNNNNNNNNNNNNNNNNNNNNNNNNNNNNNNNNNNNNNNNNNNNNNNNNNNNNNNNNNNNNNNNNNNNNNNNNNNNNNNNNNNNNNNNNNNNNNNNNNNNNNNNNNNNNNNNNNNNNNNNNNNNNNNNNNNNNNNNNNNNNNNNNNNNNNNNNNNNNNNNNNNNNNNNNNNNNNNNNNNNNNNNNNNNNNNNNNNNNNNNNNNNNNNNNNNNNNNNNNNNNNNNNNNNNNNNNNNNNNNNNNNNNNNNNNNNNNNNNNNNNNNNNNNNNNNNNNNNNNNNNNNNNNNNNNNGUUGGUCUCGGAUCCAGAUCGAAUCGGGAGAGGGAGUGGCGACGUGGGGGGGAAGUGGGGGUGUCGGUGGGUUAGGGUUUCUAUCAAGGGUGGGGGUAUGUAGGCGCAGCUGGGCUGGCCUGGUUGGCCUAGAAGCCAGCUGGGCGGAGGCCUAGCAGGGGGGGGUUCUCUUUUAUUUUGUUUGCUUUCUUUUUAUCUUUUCAUAAUUUUCUUUUAUUCUGUUUUAUUUUAGUUUCCUAUUAAUUUUGGUUUUAGUAAAAUAUACACGUAGCAUCUAAAUUAGUAUUUUAACUUAGUCCACAGCCACAAAAAGUCUAGUCCUAAAUAAUUUAGUUUCAAAUUUUAUUAUUACAAAAGGUAUUUAAAUAAUUGUUUUUACUCAUGUUUUAUUCGUCUUAUAGUAUUUAAGCAUUUUAUAAAUGUGUGGUUUCUCCACCAUAAUUACACAUGCAAUAUUUGGUUCACUCCAAACAUUUUAGUUUUAAUAUUUGAAAAGUUUUAUUGUUUGCUUGAUUUUGACUUUGAAUUUGAAUCGGUUUUUGAAUUUGAAUUUGAAUUUGACUUUGAAUUUGAAACAGUAAUUGAGGUAACGUGGCAUCACUAGCAGAGGUUCACUGUAGCUUAAUUAUCCGGGCGUCAUAAUUCUCCUCCACUAUAAGAAAUCUCGUCCCGAGAUUUAAGAGGUAGUGCAAGGGGGAAGGGAUUUGGUUACGAAAUUUAAUGGGUCUUCUCGGUGUUGGUUGCUCUUCUCGAAGAGGUCGAUCCAUUACAUUGAUGUCUUCAUUUCUCUGCUUCAGGUCAUCAUAAUGAAGUCGGCAUCCUUUCUUCGGGAACUCCAUCGUACUUAUGAAAGAAUAAAGGAUGGGCAUUCCGGGAGAACAGACCUCUGCAAGGUCGACUAUCUGGUCGAUAUCAUCUAGGAAGGUGGCGGAAGUAACUCUCGAAUUUAAACUUAGGAAAAUAUCGAGAGCAAAGUAGGGAGGUAUUAGGUGAAGUUUCGAGCGGGCAGGCAAUCAUUCGAUGCCUGAAAUAGGGGGUGAAAGGGGUCAAAAGCAAUAGGAGUAGUUAUUGUGUCUGUUACCAGAAUAAAUCACUAGGACGGUGGUCCAUGAAUUACAUACGAGGCCACGCAUGAGGAAUAACUUUGGGAACAUGGGGUGCACAGGAGAGUCAGGUUUCGAUCCUGUGGAACUGUGGGUUAUGGGCCCACCAUGUGGUUAAAAGGAGGAAGGGCGUUGACACGGUCACGAUAGCAAGACAUGUCAGAGGGUAGCCUAUCAGUUAUGUCGGCAACAAUGUUGGUACCAAGGGCGAGGGACGAAGAGACCCAUUUUCCUGCUUGUUGAACGAGGCGGACCAAUAGGCAUGGUUCUCGUCCAUCGGUGGUUACUGGAAUGUCAUCUACAAUAGUAACAGGGUCUUACUGACUAGGUUGUAUGACGAUGUGUUUACAUAAGCAGGAGAAUAUUACUGCUUAGAUCAUAUAGACCACAAGAAAGGUUAAAGAAGACAAUGGAAUGAAAAAUGUGAUUAUCACUUUAAACAGAACAAUGGAAAGGAAAAUGUGUUUAAACACAUAUUUCAAGAGCAUACCCUUCCCAAGGAUAAGCAGAGCAUGAUAUCCAUGACAGGAUAUAAUGUAGAAAACCCUUUAUGUAAGGGGAGAGAAAUUCCAUGACAUUAACCAUACGAUGGUGUAUGGAUAAUUGAGCAAGAAACAUUUAGCAUUGGGCUUCAAAUGUUCUUGUUGAAAAUCAGAGUACCACAAACAUGCUUCGAUAUGGCAUCGACAUGGUCUUCAAGCAAAGGUCGGACUUGGAUAGACAAGGAUUCAUCAAGAACAACUUAUAGAAUAAUUCUUACAAUUUCCUCAUGGAAGAAUGGUUAACCUUGUUAAAAAAGGAAACCAUAACAGCAGGUCCUCCAGCCAGGUGUGCUAGGCAUGACAUCACCUUAUCGGUUCAUAUAAGGACCAAUGUUAUGACUCUUGGAAAAUAUCCGAACCAUCAUAUCUGACCGAGUUUCAGAUCUGGUUGGGGUCAUGAUACCUCAGACUUAGGAUGCCUGAGAAGGAAGGUGUAACGCAAAUUGACGAGAUGACAAUGUAAGAUCCUCGGGAAAUGAACUAUGGAAUCGAGUUUCGAAACAAGAUUUCAUCAUUAAACCAAGGAGAGGAUGAGAAGGUGACUGAUGGACUCAGCAACAAUCCAUCAAAAUUUCCAGAAAGAUGAUUUUCCACAGUUAUGUGAACAAGGAGAUAACAUUUGUCGGAUCAAAUGAUAUAAUCAUGUAUGCUCGAGGAAAACAUACACAAAUAAACAUUGAUUGAAAAGUGCACCCGAAAUAUGGGUUGGGUUGCACGACCAAUGUCAGAAUGGUGAUUCAAUAACCAAUGCUCUGAGGAUGAACUGUCGGCCAUUAACUUCAAAGCAAUAAGGUUGCUAGGAGUACACAAUCCAAGCAGCACCAUUCACUUGUUAGUAUUCCGGUUAGAAUCAACAAUGGGACCAAGAAAGAAUGGUGAUGGUGAGAGGUAUCACUAUACCAAGAAAUUUUAAGAGGCGGAACAAUUCUCACAACCUUCUUGACAAAAAAAGAUGGUAAUAGUCCAAGGUGAAGAAGAACAAAUGCUGGAUAGCAAGGAACUCAAGAUUCUAUCCAAAACAUGAACAUGUUUGUGUUGAGGGAAGACAAGGAUGUGGUCGAUGAUAACACAAUCAUCGAGGGGCAAGGAUGGUAUUUCCCAUCAUGAAUUUGAUUGAUAUCCUGGAAGGAGUUAAAAUGUUGAUGAUGAUCACGACAAAUUUUGUCGAGAGGCUCCAUGAAGAUGCAAUCGCUCGGCGACGGCAUCAAGCCAAGGGAAUGGUGAAGCAAAAGGCUAUUAUAACCGUAGAUAAGAUGUCAUCCUAGAAUUUACAGUUAUCUCUCAAGACAAACAAUAUGAUGGUGAAAGUUUGAUGUAAGCUUAGAGCACUGUCGGGAUUGUGUCCCAAGGAUGAAGGACAUAGGUAGAAUGGUCAAGCAGUCAACCUGACGAUGAUGAUGUAGUCAAUCAGCUGGGAAUGACAUGAUCGAGUACAAACUCGUAAGCAAUGAAGAUUACUAAGAGUUGUUGAAUCACAGUGCGGACUCGAUUCAGUUAUCAGUGCCCUUGACUGUUUAAUGACUUAGAGCCCAUGAAAAAAUUAGAGUCGGUGAGAAUGUAGUACUUGAUGGAGAACUCAUAAGAAGUUAUGCAGUUCCGUGAUAAUCUCGAGAUACCAGGGUGUAAUACUCGAUGAAAGAUCAAAGUAAAGAUUGGACUGGUGUAUUGAUCCACAGAAGACAAGUGCUUAACUUGCCCGAGAAAUGGGAUCAAAGAAGAACAUAUGGUCAGAACCACAAUUGCAAAGGAUCAACUUCACCGAUACCAAAGGAUAUUAUAUCAAGGAAAUAGUUAUUAUUACAAGAAGCUUCCAUGAUAGGAUCUACAUCGUGUCCAUGGGCAUGAACAGAAAGUUCAAGGUCGACUCCCACUUCUCUAAUGCAUAACCUUUCAUUCACUUCUCAUUUUCGAAGAAGUUGUGAUGUUGAAAUUUUAUCUAGCAAAAUACCAGAAGAGUAUGGCCCGUGAAAUCUUUCGGGCUCACAUAGAUUAGGUAAGGCAUUGGUUCAACCCAUCGGGCAUCUUAGGAACAUAUACCACAAACUCCAUAGUAAACAUCACCAGCUCGAGAGCAGAGCAUGGUUGGCCAAAAUAGAGAAUAAGAUUUAUCAACGGUAUUAUGUAUGAGGGAAAGAACUUCUCGAGAUUUUUUGAUACGAAGGACACCGUCGGAUGAUAAUUCAUCAAAGGACCCGACGGUCCAUAACGGAGCUGAUGUGAGCAUUGGUACUCAACCAGAAGAAGAGAGAAUGCAAGGAGAUCAGUUUGUAGAAAUAACUGACUACUUCAAAGCUCAAUUGCAAAGGAAUUAUGAAUUCGAAGACAAGGGAUCAGAAGCAAUGCUCUGAUUAGGGAUGGAUAAGUUGAAUAGCCUUAGGGGUACAAUCGAUGGCAUUUUGAUUGGUCAAGAUCCAGCUCAUGUUUGAAAUGACGUCUGAGCCAGAAGGAUGAAUUCUAGGAUCUAAUUGAGGAUCACGAGCAUUCGCAACUUAUUGAAUCAAUGGACACAAAAUGAUAGUGACAUAGGAUGCCAAUAAGAUUACUUAUGGGAUUAACCAUAAUGCAGCAAGCGAGAAUUUCAAGGGCAAUAAGCUGCUGAGGAUUUUCGGAAGAUCGAAUAGUAUUUCGAAGACCUUUCUGAAAUACAUGAAUCAACUGGGGGUGAGCGGAUACUCCAUAAGUGUGGGAAAAUUAUUCAUAGGGGUAUUCAUGGGGCAAGAACUACAAGGCGGUAAGCUCAAAGGAUUCUCGGAAUAACAAAGAGCAGUUCGAGGCAUCUUGUAUUAACAAGAUCAAUGGGGUUGAACGUAAGACUGGCAAGUGUAUGCAUUUAUCCCUAAGGAUAUAACAGUGGUAGGGAAUGCAAAAAGCGAUGACACAAGGUCUUGAGAGAACACUAUAAAGUAUCCUCGAAAUCUUCUGGUGCAGCAGGCGAUCAUCUGUACUAAGGGGCUCUCCGGGAGGAAGUGGUCACGAGAUCCUAAUGUUAGAGUUAGUAAAACCAUUUAAACCCGAAUAGAAAAGAUUCCAGAGUCCCAGAGUAUAGAUCGAGGAGUAAAAGAUCCUAGUACCACCCAAUGGCGAUGUGGGCCGAUGGGCCGCACAGCCAUGUUAGUAAAAGUUUUGCAAUGACUAGACUCAACUUCGGCCAAGGAGUUGGAAAGGGGGAUUCCUACAGGCAGUCUGCUCUGAUACCAACUUGUGACGCCCCCGAUUCAAUCGUACACUAAUAAUACACACAAACGUGUACGAUCAAGAUCAGGGACUCACGGGAAGAUAUCACAACACAACUCUACAAAUAAAAUAAGUCAUACAAGCAUCAUAAUACAAGCUAGGGGCCUCGAGGGCUCGAAUACAAGUGCUCGAUCAUAGACGAGUCAGCGGAAGCAACAAUAUCUGAGUAUAGACAUAAGUAAACAAGUUGCCAUAAGAUGGCUAGCACAAACUGGGAUACAGAUUGAAAGAGGCACAGGCCUCCUGCCUGGGAUCCUCCUAACUACUCCUGGUCGUCGUCAGCGGCCUGCACGUAGUAGUAGGCACCUCCAGAGCUAUAGUCGUCGUCGACGGUGGCAUCUGGAUCCUGGGCUCCUGUAGGACCUUGAAGUAUGUCAAGAGGGGGGGUGAUUAGACUACUUGACCAAUUAAAAACUUAACCUUUUCCCAAUUUUAGAGUUUGGCAGAUUUUAGUUAUCUUAGGACAAAUCAAGCAAUCAUCACACUAUUCAAGCAAGCAUGCAAAGAGUAUAUAGGCAGCGGAAAUUAAAGCAUGCAACUUGCAAGAAAGUAAAGGGAAGGGUUUGGAGGAUUCAAACACAGUUGGAGACACGGAUGUUUUUGGCGUGGUUCCGAUAGGUGGUGCUAUCGUACAUCCACGUUGAUGGAGACUUCAACCCACGAAGGGUAACGGUUGCACGAGUCCAUGGAGGGCUCCACCCAAGAAGGGUCCACGAAGAAGCAACCUUGUCUAUCCCACCAUGGCCGUCGCCCACGAAGGACUUGCCUCGGUAGAUCUUCACAAAGUAGGCGAUCUCCUUGCCCUUACAAACUCCUUGGUUCAACUCCACAAUCUUGUCAGAGGCUCCCAAGUGACACCUAGCCAACCUAGGAGACACCACUCUCCAAGAAGUAACAAAUGGUGCAUUGAUGAUGAACUCCUUGCUCUUGUGCUUCAAAUGAUAGUCUCUCCAACACUCAACUCUCUCUUGUAGGAUUUGGAUCUGGUGGAAAGAAGAUUUGAGUGGAAAGCAACUUGGGGAAGGCUAGAGAUCAAGAUUCAUAUGGUAGGAAUGGAAUAUCUUGGCCUCAACACAUGAGUAGGUGGUUCUUUCUAAGAAAUGGUAAGUUGGAAGUGUAGGUUUAGUCUGAUGGCUCUCUCCACGAAUGAAGAGGAGGUGGAGGGGUAUAUAUAGCCUCCACACAAAAUCUAACCGUUACACACAAUUUACCAAACCCGGUGGGACCGAUUGAACAGACUCGGUCGGACCGAGUUAGUAAACCUAGUGACUGUUAGUGAUUUUCGGUGGGACUGACAUGCAACUCGGUGAGACCGAUUCGGUUAGGGUUAGGGCAUAACGUAAUCUCGGUAAGACCGAUUACACAGACUCGGUGAGACCGAUUUUGGUAAUAAGCUUUCCAAAGAGUUGGUCAGGUAAACUCGGUGGGACCGAUUUGCUCUUUUUGGUGAGACCAAAAUGUUUCAAAAGGGAAACAGAGAGUUUACAUUGCAAUCUUGGUGGGACCGAUCGCUCACUUCGGUUUGACCGAAACGUUACGAAGGGAAACAGAGAGAUUACAAUCCCAUCUCGGUGAGACCGAGAUCCCUAUCGGUAGAACCGAUUUGCCUAGGGUUUGUGGCAGUGGCUAUGACAUUUGAAAUCGGUGGCGCCGGAUAGGAAGAAUCGGUGUGACCGAUUUUGGCUUUGGGUUUAGGUCAUUUGUGGAUGUGAGAAAGUAGCUGAGGGUUUUUGGAGCAUAUCACUAAGCACAUGAAGCAAGAGGCUCAUUAAGCAACACCUCAUCCCUCCUUGAUAGUAUUGGCUUUUCCUAUAGACUCAAUGUGAUCUUGGAUCACUAAAAUAUAAAAUGAAGAGUAUUGAGCAAUUGAGUUUGAGCCAAUCCUUUGUCCUUAGUAUUUUGAGGGAUCCACUUUCAUCAUCCAUGCCAUGCCAUUCAUUGAGCUUUCCUGAAAUAAUAGUCUUGGAAUAGCAUUAGCUCAAUGAGCUAUAUGUUGUUAUGAAUUACCAAAACCACCUAGGGAUAGUUGCACUUUCAAUCUCCCCAUUUUUGGUAAUUGAUGACAACAUAUAGAUCAAAGCUUCGACAAAUGAUAAUAAGAUUGAAAAACAUCGUCACUUUGAGAAGUAUGUGAUAAGAAAGAGGUCCCCCUAAAUUUGUGCAUAGUUUAAGAUUUGCUUUGGACUGCAAAUGCACAAGGAAUUAGGCUCAUGGGUUACUCUUCCAUGUCACAUACAUCUUGGUGGAGCGCUCAAAAUGAUAAAGAUUGAAUACAUGCACUCAUCACCAAGCAAAGUGAAUGAUCACAUAGGAUAGAUAAGAUAAUAUCAUCAAACAUGCAUAAGUGUAGCUUAUGAUCAAACACAUGAUCAUCAAUGUCUCACAAGAAUAGCAUAGUAUCUCAAGCAAUAAAAGCAAAUAAGUUUUAAACCACCAAAGCAAGAGAGAACAAAAGCAACACUCUCUCUCUCGAAGCCUAUGAUCUAUACAUUUUUCUCCCCCUUUGGCAACAAGUUACAAAAAAGUUCAUAGAAAAUGCAUAGUGCUAGAUCGACUCUCGGGCUUGAUAUUCAAUUGGUGGUGUAGAGAUGGCUCCUUGGACGAAGGCUUCAGUUGAUGUAGAGGGAGCUGGAGAAGUUGGUGCUGGAGCUGGUUGCACUGGAGCUGUAGGAGCUGUGGCUGGUGCAGAUGAUGUUGCUCUAGUGUCUGGCACUGGCACUGUAGCUAACCUCUGAGCUCUAGGCACUCUGGCAAAUACAUUAGUGGUAGUCUUGCUCUUCCUCUCCUGCAUGUCAUCCUGCAGCUGCUCCACAACUGACUGAAUCUUAGUUACCUUGACAUCAAGAUCAUAGUUUUGGUUCCAUGAUUCUUUCCAAGCUCUCCUGAUUCUGAGUUAAGGUAGCCAACCCCUUCUCAAUCCUUAGUGUUGAUGCUAUCAAGUAACCAAGCUGCUCUUGCUUGUUCUUCAAGAAAUACUCAGAUGCCUCCUCUUGAGUUGGUAUCUUGGCAACCUUCUCCUUCCUUGCCUUCUCCUUCUUCUCUUGAGCUUGAACUGAUGAUGGAUCAUCCUCAUUCAUGACAACCUCAUUGUCCUCAAAGUCUGGAUAGAGAGGAAAAUGUUCCCUAUCCAAUAGAUAUUUGCCUGUGCCCAUCUUUGAGUUAAUCAUCUCCUGAAUCUGAGGGGCAUAUCCACAACUCCUCUUAUGAUCUGCUGCAGUCCUCUUAAUGGUUUCUACUAUAAGGCUCAUGACCUUGAAUUUCUGAGGCACAUCAAACAAAUGCCACAUGUUGAUUGCAUGACCUCUGAUCAUGUUGUGGUCACCAGACUUAGGCAAUAGAGUGUGCCUUAGGAUCCAGUUGAUUGUAGGCAGCCCUGACAGAAGAAAGUGGACUGAUCCAAAAGAGAAAGUCUCUAGGGCUUUGUCUGGGAUCUCUUUGUACAUAUGUGCCAUGGUAUUGUGUCCCAUUUUCUUCUUGGCAUAUCCAUCCAGGUCAUUAUCAUUUUCCUUUGGAGCAUUUAUCAGUUUUGCCCACUCCUCAACAGUUGGCUGGUACCUUGUACCUUCAGACAUCCAAACUAUUCUCCCAUCUGGAAAGAAGUGUUCUGUGGAGUAGAAUUGCAUAAUGAGUUCAUCAUUCCAGUUGGUGAGCUUCUGCCCAACAAAGUCUGCAACUCCACAAGCAACAAAACUGUCUUGUACUCCAGGAUAGUGUUCUUCAUUUUCCUUCAUGUAGGUCCAGUCGACCCACCUCAUAUCAUACACAAUGGGCUUUUUGUCCAACAAGAUUGUCUCAUAGAAGCCCUGCUGUUCCUUUGUAUGGAACCUGUAAUCAACAGCAGUUCUUCUCCUUGUGGCAUAUGGAUCUGCCAUCCUCCAUAGCCUCAACCCUGAAUCUUUUCUGAUGUUCAUGUCCUCGGCUACAGGAUGGGCAUCAUUAUGGUCUGGUAUCUUGGGCUUGAGCUUCCUCAGAACUUGUCCUUCUUCAUCUUCCUCCUCAGCAACCUCAGGCACUGGGGCCUUGUUCUUCUCAGCAGCUGGAAUACUCCUGGUAUUCCUCUUUGGUGCAGACUUGGCCUUGGGGGCAGCUUUGGGUGCUUACUUGGGCUUAGAUGUUGCAGCCCCUGAUCUAAUAGCAUCUCCCAUAAGCUUUGGUGCCUUUGGUGCUAGUGCAGCAAGCUCUUCUUCUUCUUCCAUCAUGGAAGGUUGCCCAACAACUCUGGCCAUGGUCUUCUUGACCCUUUCCUUCCUUUUCUUUCCUUCAGCAGCUGCCUCUUUGGGAUCAGGCUUUUCAGGCAGUUGAGUUGAUGCUCUGGCUUUGGACAUUCGUUGUCUUCCUGCAGGCCUUUUAAUCUUCAUGCCUGGCUUUACUGCAGUUGAAAUGAGCACCUUCUUGAGCACUACCUUCUUGGAAGUAGCUUCAUCCUCUUCAGCUCUAUAAUCCUCAUCUUCAGAGUCUGAAGUUAUCUUCUUCCUUUGCCUGGUAGCAGCCUUAGGCAGGUUGCUAGGAGUGCUUCUGCUGCCUUCAUCUGAAGUGCUGGAGGGACUAGUGCCCUCACUCAUUUGCAUCUGCCCUUCUGACCUGUUCUGACUAUCACUCUGGUCUGACAUGCUGCAAACUCUGACUGCUGACCCCGUGAAGAGUUAUAGAUGAGAUGGAGUGGAUGACCACCACAAAAUGCAGAGAUUUUUGCAAAAGAAUGAUUCAAAAAUUCAGUUUUAUUUUUCCACAGAAAGCAUUUCGGAUCAACCGAUUUUCAAACUCGGUGAUACAAAAGCAGUUUUGGAACCUAAGCUGAUGAACUCGGUUGGACCGAGUCACAGUUUGGUGGCACCGAGGCUGCUAGGGUUUCACAAAGUCCUAAAAUCGGUCGCACCGAUUAGCAAUUCUCGGUCAAACCGAGAGUUACUAGUGCAAUGGCAUAAGCCAAAUCGGUGGGACCGAGUUUUUCAACUCGGUGGGUCCGAGAUGGUUUCAGCGGAAACCUAACCCUAAAUUUUCAAAUCUCAUAUAAUCUACGGAUUGCAUUGACUAGAUAGGAGUGUUUCAAUCGUGGCAAGAAUCAAUAAGAACACAAUGUGCUAGGAAUCGGACGAGGAUAGCACAGUGAUCGAGUCCAUACCCUAGCUUGGCGAUGAACUCGCUACGGCGGCAACGGCGAGGUUGAAUUCUGUUGACGGCGGCGGAGACCAGCGGCAGGAGGCGGGUGGCGACGAGGAGACGAUCCGGAGACCUUGGAGGCAAAGCGAGCUAUUGCGCGGGCGAAGGGGUUCGGAGAAGUUUCCAAAUUUUUGCCCGUGACUAUAUAUAGCCCGACCCUAUCGGUGUGACCGAGUGGAACAACUCGGUGGCACCGAGAUGCAUAACUGUGUUCAGUUACAGCAACUCGGUGUGACCGAAAAGUUCAAAUCGGUUGCACCAAGAUUGAAAACCUAGAUCGACUCAGUGAUCUUGGUAGGACUGAAAUGGAGGAAUCGGUCAGACCGAGAUUCACAAAGAAGUUUUGGAAGUUUAAGUCUGUGACGAAUCGGGGACUCCGAGUGCUCCUCACACAGAGUGGUUUGAAUCUGACUUGAUCAAAUUUUGUGAUGUAGCAUGAAUAGAGUUUGAGACGAGAAGAGCAUAGAUAGCUAGAGAAAGUUCUUAGGCAUUCUUCUCCAUCCACUUGGCCAAAAGAAGGAAGAACCAAACAAUCAAAACAACAAGUGGAUGUCCUUGAAUGAGUAAAAUAUGCACCAACAUGCUCACACAAUAAGAUGGCAAAUGAAAUAUGUGGCAAAGCAUGCACAACCAAUUCUAGCAUCUAUCAAAUAAUUUGGCGAUGACUAGGUCAUCUAUAUAUGAGUAUAUCGACUUAGGAGUCAAAUGAUAAACAUUUGAUCAUAGGUCAUACUCAUCAUUUAAGCCCAAGUGGGGUUACCACUUUUACAUAAUGCAUUGUUGUGUUCACACCAUUAGAGUUGCUUUGACUCAAGUCUUAGAGUUAAGCUCCCCCUAGAUAUGAGAUCCCCUUUUAGAGGGAUGAACUAACCUUGGGUUUUGUCGAUGAUGACUUCAUGUAGGUGUUGAAGAUGUGGAUGCUCAAUGUUGAUGUAGAUCAUUUGGAGUAAUCCGUUGGAGUGAGUUGCACGUUCAACAUACCUACAUGGGUUAGUCCCACAAGGAACAAACAAGAAUAUCCAUAGACAUAGAGUGAUGCACACACAAGAUGAUGUCCAUGAAAACAUUAGGUUACCUUGUUCCUUGCCUUACCAACAUGAGGGUUUGUGACUCCUUGAACUAGUGCAAGAUGUGGAAGUUGAUUGCACUUGUCCUUGCCAUAAUAAUAUGAGUGAAGAAUGUCGGCGGAGUCACCCUCAAGAACUCUCUAGUUCUUCUUCUUCGGGAUCCACAUCAUCUUGAUGGGAAUCCUCGGAGUUGUAGUUGUACUUGAUGAAGUAGAACUUGACGUAGUCUUGGGAAUCCACUUGACCGAGACCUUAGGUGCUUCUUCAAAUGCAUCAAUCUCUUCUUGAAGCUUGUCCUUGCCUUUGUUCUUGUGGUCUUGUGGUGGAAGAUCAUCUUGAGCUUGUGUUCCCUUGAAGGAAGUAGGAUCAUACUUCUCUUGGUCAGGAACAAACUUCGUCUUGGGGUAUUGAUCUUCUUCCCACUCAACUCCAUUGGCAUUGAACUUUCGUUCAAAACCAACACCUUGAUUCUUCCGGUGCCUUCCUUGCUUGCGUACAAUUUCCUCGAAUUGCUUACUCCCGGCAAGGCUCUUGUAAACACCUUUCUCUAUAAUUCCCUUCAAUAAGCUAUUUUCUUGCUCAAGUGUAACUUGGCUAAGAGAAUCAUUAGUGGAAUCAAGAGAACUACUAGAAGUAACAAUAUUGGAUUUGACAUUAUUAUUGUUACUACUAGAGGAAGUAUCUUUCUUGUACUUGUUACUAGACUUGACUUAAGGCAUGUAAGUAGAUAGGAGUAAACAUUUGGCAAUGUAAGAAGAACUUUUCUUACGGAGAUCAUCAUUGAUUGCUUUUAAGAACUCAUGCUCUUGCUCAAGAUUGAGCUUUUCAAAGCAUAACUUCUCAUGAGCCCUUAAAAGUUCUCGAUGAUUUUGGAAGAUAGUUUCAUGAGCUAACUUAAGAGUGUUUAGUUCUUUAGUUAGAAGCUCAAUCUUCUCCUUAUCAUUGUAAUUUGUUUUAUCUUGUUUAGCAUGAUUAAUUGACGUUUCAUCAUAGUAUCCAUCACUAGAGUUGUCAACAAGUAAAUCAUCAUCCACAAGCAAGUCAUCUUCAUCACUAUUGAAAUCAACAUACUCAGGAUGUGUUACCUUUGGACCUUUGGCCAUGAAGCAUCUUCCAAUUCCUUCAUUUGGUGAAUCAAAUAUGUCAUAGGAGUUGGUUGACACAAGUGCUAGACCGGCAACACCUUCAUCUUGAGUAUAUUUGGAGUCGGAGUGAUAGCUUCUCUCGGAGUGUUUGUCGGAGUCGGAGCCAGAAACCCAUUCACCAACAUGAGCUUGAUGUCUUCGUUUUGUGUAGCUCCUUGAUGACUUGUCCUUCCUUUCCGAAUCUUUGCUUCUCCGUGAGGUUCUUCGUUCAUAACGAUCAUCUCUACUCCUCUCUCUUGGUGGUGAUUCUUCUCUUUUGCUUCUUCAUUUUGGAGAAUCUUCUCUUCUUUUGUAGGGUGUCGUACACUCAUUGGAAUAGUGUCUAGGCGUCCCACAAUUGUAGCAAUUGCGUUCUCAACUAGAAGAUCUUUUGUCAUGGUAAGACCUUGACUUGGAGCUUCUCUCUUUGCUUCUACUCUUGUAGAAUCUGUUGAAGUUCUUCACCAUUAAGCUCAAUUCUUCAUUGAAGGUUUGUUUCUCACUUGAUGAUGUGGGGGCUUCACUUGAGGCUUUGUAAGCACCACUUGACUUGUUGUCAAGUUCCUCCUUAUCCUUGAGUGACAUCUCAUGAGCAACAAUCCUUCCAAUGACUUCUGUUGGCUUGAGAUCUUUGUAGUUUGGCAUCAUUUGGAUCAAUGUGCACACGGUAUCAUACUUUCCAUCCAAUGCUCUUAGGAUCUUCUUGAUGAUGAAUCUGUCGGUCAUCUCUUCACUCCCUAAGCCGGCAAUCUCAUUUGUAAUAAGAGCAAGCCUAGAGUACAUUUCAGCGACACCUUCACCAUCCUUCAUUUUGAACUUGUCAAGCUGACUUUGGAGCACAUCCAACUUGGAUUCCUUGACGGAUUCGGUACCUUCGUGCAUAUCAAUCAAAGUGUCCCAAAUUUCUUUUGCAUUCUCAAGACGGCUGAUUUUGUUGAAUUCUCCGGGGCACAAUCCAUUGAAGAUGAUAUCACAAGCUUGAGCGUUGUAUUGCAGCAUCUUCAAUUCUUCCGCAUUAGCUUCACGGUUCGGCUCUCUCCCAUCAAAGAAUUAACCUUGCAAGCCAAUACAAAUAAUAGCCCAAACGGCGGGGUUAUGUCCAAGAGUAUGCAUUUUCAUCUUAUGCUUCCAACUAGCAAAAUUAGUACCAUCAAAGUAAGGACCUCUACGGUGAUAAUUUCCCUCGCUAGACGGCAUACUCUCCUAGGUUGUGAAACCAAGGCUAUGACCACCAAAAGCUAUGGAAAUCAAAGCAAAUGGAGACCAAAUCUCUAAUACCACUUGUAGGACCUUGAAGUAUGUCUAGGGGGGGGGUGAUUAGACUACUUGACCAAUUAAAAACUUAACCCUUUCCCAAUUUUAGAGUUUGGCAGAUUUUAGUUAUCUUAGGAUAAAUCAAGCAAUCAUCACACUAUUCAAGCAAGCAUACAAAGAGUAUACAGGCAGCGAAAAGUAAAGCAUGAAACUUGCAAGAAAGUAAAGGGAAGGGUUUGGAGGAUUCACACGCAGUUGCAGACACGGAUGUUUUUGGUGUGGUUCCGAUAGGUGGUGCUAUCGUACAUCCACAUUGAUGGAGACUUCAACCCACGAAGGGUAACGGUUGCGCGAGUCCAUGGAGGGCUCCACCCAAGAAGGGUCCACGAAGAAGCAACCUUGUCUAUCCCACCAUGGCCGUCGCCCACGAAGGACUUGCCUCACUAGCGGUAGAUCUUCACGAAGUAGGCGAUCUCCUUGCCCUUACAAACUCCUUGGUUCAACUCCACAAUCUUGUCGGAGGCUCCCAAGUGACACCUAGCCAAUCUAGGAGACACCACUCUCCAAGAAGUAACAAAUGGUGCGUUGAUGAUGAACUCCUUGCUUUUGUGCUUCAAAUGAUAGUCUCCCCAACACUCAACUCUCUCUCAUAGGAUUUGGAUCUAGUGGAAAGAAGAUUUGAGUGGAAAGCAACUUGGGGAAGGCUAGAGAUCAAGAUUCAUAUGGUAGGAAUGGAAUAUCUUGGCCUCAACACAUGAGUAGGUGGUUCUUUCUCAGAAAUGGUAAGUUGGAAGUGUAGGUUUAGUCUGAUGGCUCUCUCCACGAAUGAAGAGGAGGUGGACGGGUAUAUAUAGCCUCCACACAAAAUCUAACCGUUACACACAAUUUACCAAACUCGGUGGGACCGAUUCAACAGACUCGGUCGGACCGAUUUAGUAAACCUAGUGAUCGUUAGUGAUUUUCGGUGGGACUGACAUGCAACUCGGUGAGACCGAUUCGGUUAGGGUUAGGGCAUAACGUAAUCUCGGUAAGACCGAUUACACAAACUCGGUGAGACCUAUUUUGGUAAUAAGCUUUCCAGAGAGUUGGUCAGGUUCGGUGGGACCGAUUUUCUCUUUUCGGUGAGACAGUCUCGGUGGGACCGAUCACUCACUUCGGUUUGACCGAAACAUUACGAAGGGAAACAGAGAGAUUACAAUCCCAUCUCGGUGAGACCGAGAUCCCUAUCGGUAGAACCGAUUUGCCUAGGGUUUGUGGCAGUGGCUAUGACAUUUGAAAUCGGUGGCGCCGGAUAGGAAUAAUCGGUGUGACCGAUUUUGGCUUUGGGUUUAGGUCAUUUGUGGAUGUGAGAAAGUAGCUGAGGGUUUUGGGAGCAUAUCACUAAGCACAUGAAGCAAGAGGCUCAUUCAGCAACACCUUAUCCCUCCUUGAUAGUAUUGGCUUUUCCUAUAGACUCAAUGUGAUCUUGGAUCACUAAAAUAUAAAAUGAAGAGUCUUUAGCAAUUGAGCUUGAGCCAAUCCUUUGUCCUUAGUAUUUUGAGGGAUCCACUUUCAUCAUCCAUGCCAUGCCAAUGAGCUAUAUGUUGUUAUGAAUAAUAGUCUUGGAAUAGCAUUAGCUCAAUGAGCUAUAUGUUGUUAUGAAUUACCAAAACCACCUAGGGAUAGUUGCACUUUCAGCUCCAACGUCUGGUUGCGGCAUCCAAGAAGAAGAGGAAGAUAGGGGAAAAGAGGGAGCAAAGCAACCGUGAGUACUCAUCCAAAGUACUCGCAAGCAAGGAGCUACACUACAUAUGCAUGGGUAUAUGUGUAAAAAGGCAAUAUCGAUGGACUGAACUGCAGAAUGCCAGAAUAAAAGGGGGUAGCUAGUCCUAUCGAAGACUACGCUUCUGGCAGCCUCCGUCUUGCAGCAUGUAGAAGAGAGUAGAUUGAAGUCCUCCAAGUAGCAUCACAUAGCAUAAUCCUACCCGACGAUCCUCCCCUUGUCGCCCUGUGAGAAAGCGAUCACCGGGUUGUAUCUGACACUUGGAAGGGUGUGUUUUAUUAAGUAUCCAGUUCUAGUUGUCAUAAGGUCAAGGUACAACUCUUGGUCAUCCUUUUACCGAGGGACACGGCUAUUCGAAUAGAUAAACUUCCCUGCAGGGGUGCACCACAUAACCCAACACGCUCGAUCCCAUUUGGCCGGACACACUUUCCUGGGUCAUGCCCAGCCUUGGAAGAUCAACAUGUCGCAUCCCCAACUAGGCACAAUAGAGAGGUCAGCACGCCGGUCUAAAUCAUAUGCGCGCAGGGGUCUGGGCCGAUUGCCCAUUGCACACCUGCAUGUUGCGUACGCGGCCGGUGAGCAGACAUAGCAACCUCCAUUACAAAGGAAGUAGCGUUAACGCAGUCCAACCCGGCGCGCGCCGCUCAGUCGCUGACGUCACGAAGGCUUCGGCUGAUAUCACGACGUCGAGUGCCCAUAUCUUUCCCGCAUAGUUGGUUAGUGCGUAUAGGCCAGUGGCCAGACUCAGAUCAAAUACCAAGAUCUCGUUAAGCGUGUUAUUAUGAAGCAACCAUGAACGCCGACCAGGGCCAGGCCCACCUCUCUCCUAGGUGGUCUCAACCUGCCCUGUCGCUCCACCACAAAGUAACAGUCGGGGGCCAUCGGGAACCCAGGCCCACCUCUACCGGGAUAGAGCCACCUGUCCUUCCAGCCCCCACAUCAGAAUCACGUGCGGGUACUCAACGAGCUGACCCAACUUUAGUCACCACCUGUAUAGUAUGUAUGUAUGUAUAGUAUAUACCCGUGAUCACCUCCCGAGUGAUCACGGCCCAAUAGUAUAGCAAGGCAGACUGACAAGAAUGUAGGGCCACAGAUGAUAAACUAGCAUCCUAUACUAAGUAUUUAGGAUUGCAUGUAAGGUAUCAAGAGAUGUAGCAACCAUGUCAGGCUAUGCAAUAGAAUAGGAUUAAUGGAAAGCGGUAACAUGCUACACUACUCUAAUGCGAGCAGUAUAGAGGAGAAUAGGCGAUAUCUGGUGAUCAAGGGGGGCUUGCCUGGUUGCUCUGGCAAGAAGGAGGGGUCGUCAACUCCGUAGUCGAACUGGGGUCGCCGGCAGUCUCGAGGUCUACCGGAAAGAAGUAACGGAAGGGGAACACAAUAAAUAACAGAGCAAUCAAAGCAUCACAAAGUGAGACGCGGCAAUACGCGGUGCUAGAGGUGACCUAAGGCAGCAGGAGGUGAUACUGGCGAAGGGGGGAAACAUCCGAGAAAGUAUCCCCGAUGUUUCGCGUUUUCGGAAAGGUGAACCGGAGGGGGAAAGUUGCGAGUUUGAUAGGUUAGGGAUGUGUGGCGACCGAAUGGGCCGCGUAUUCGGAUUCGUCUCGUCGUUCUGAGCAACUUUCAUGUAGAAAGUAUUUUCAUCCGAGCUACGGUUUAUUUUACAUUAAUUUUGAAAGAUUUAAUCAUUUUUAGAAUUUAUUUAAUUAUUUAAUUCUAACAUUAUCCAGAAUAGUGUAUCCUUACGUCAUCAUGACGUCAGCAAUCAAUACGGCGUUUGACUGGGUCAAACUGACGUGAGGGUCCCGCAUGUCAUUGACUGAUUAAUUAAUAGUUAACUAAUCAAGGUUAAUUAGUCCUAACCAGUGAUUAGGUUAAUCUAAAAAAAAUUAAUUAAUUAAUUACUUAUUAUUAUUUUUAAUGUUUUAUUAUUAUUAUUAUUAAAAAAAAACGUUUCAGGGGCGGGCCCCACGCGUCAUAGGCACAGGGGGCCUUAACGGUGCUUGGUGCGGGGUGGCCCGAACGGGCGCUACGGGCACCCGAACGCACGCAGAGGCCAUGGCCCGACGCGUCUGGGCGCCGGCGGCCAAGGCAUCGGCUAAGGGAGGCAGCGGAGGUGGCCGCGGGGCGCGGCGAUGAGGAGUAGCGCGGGGAGGAGGAGGCCAUGGGUGGUGGCCGGAGUGGGGAGGCUACUAGAGGGGCGAGUCAGGGUGCCAGGGGCGAUUCGGGGCGCCAGGGGCGCGAGGUCAGCCGGCAAGGCAAGCGCGGUGGUGCGGCGGUGGGCGCGAGGAAUGGGACGAGUGGGGGCGGGUAGCUGCAGAAGCAGCAGCCGCAGUGGCUGCAACAGUAUUAGGCAGCCACGACACGGGCACGCGCGGCCAGGGCGCUGGUGAGUACGUGGCUGCGGGAGCAAAUGUGCGCGUGGGGAACAGCGUGGCUAGACGUGGCCGCAAUCGACGGCGGUGAGCUCGUGGACGACGCGUGCGGAGAGAGGAGGAGAGGCUGGGCCUCACUGCGAUUCGUCGGGUCAAGGGCAGUGGGCUCGAGCUCGAGGAGGAGGACGGGGACGACGGCGACGUAGGGGAGGCAGUCCGGUGAGGCGGCAUCGGCGACGGGAACGAGGAGCGCCAGCGACAGAGAGGACCACAGCGAUGGCGGGGUGGCGCCGGAGACGACUAGUGGUGUCGGCACAUCGGGGUCGGGGGCCGCGACCCGUGGGGAGGAGAUGAGGGGGCGUCGGUGGUCCGGCGGGGAGGUCCGGUGAGGGGAGAACUUCGGGCGGCGUGGCGCGGUCGUCGGUGGGGUCGGGGCACCGUUGCCCCGAUCUGGAUCGAGCNNNNNNNNNNNNNNNNNNNNNNNNNNNNNNNNNNNNNNNNNNNNNNNNNNNNNNNNNNNNNNNNNNNNNNNNNNNNNNNNNNNNNNNNNNNNNNNNNNNNNNNNNNNNNNNNNNNNNNNNNNNNNNNNNNNNNNNNNNNNNNNNNNNNNNNNNNNNNNNNNNNNNNNNNNNNNNNNNNNNNNNNNNNNNNNNNNNNNNNNNNNNNNNNNNNNNNNNNNNNNNNNNNNNNNNNNNNNNNNNNNNNNNNNNNNNNNNNNNNAUUUUGGUUUUAGUAAAAUAUACACGUAGCAUCUAAAUUAGUAUUCAACUUAGUCCAUAGCCACAAAAAGUCUAGUCCUAAAUAAUUUAGUUUCAAAUUUUAUUAAUUACAAAAGGUAUUUAAAUAAUUGUUUUUACUCAUGUUUUAUUCGUCUUAUAGUAUUUAAGCAUUUUAUAAAUGUGUGGUUUCUCCACCAUAAUUACACAUGCAAUAUUUGGUUCACUCCGAACAUUUUAGUUUUAAUAUUUGAAAAGUUUUAUUGUUUGCUUGAUUUUGACUUUGAUUUUGAAUCGGUUUUUGAACUGACGCGAGAUUAUCAACAGUAAUUGAGGUAACGUGGCAUCACUAGCAGAGGUUCACUGUAGCUUAAUUAUCCGGGUGUCACAAGCAUCUCCAUAGCCAUCUCGUAGCUCUCAACCCAUGACUCGAGGGGUAAACCAGCGGUGUAAUUAGGCACCUUCUGCAGGCCCUUGAAAUCCUUGGGUAACCGUACAUUGCGCAGAGCAACAGUGAGACACGUCACUCCCCAUGAGUUGAAAUCAAGCCCGAUACCUCGUUCUUCUGACGCCGCUGGUUGAACCGGGGCAGGUUGAUGAUGACCCGCGUACUAUGUCGCUAAUGCGGCCUCUCUUUGUGCUCUGCCAUUAUCCACCACGUCCUGAGCAUUUGCACCACCACGCGCCGGAUUAGGUCCUCGAGGGGCGUCAUAGUUCCGCGCACUACUUGACACAGCCAGCUCAUCCAUGUGCCUGCUGUAGCUCCUUCUCGGGCGAGGGGUCGAGUGAAUCCUGUCUCGGCUGUAUGAAUAAGCCUGCUGCUGCACCAUAGCAGUCUAAAGAAGAUCCCUGCCCCACCGCAUCUCCACCGCUGCUGGCGACUCACCCUCCAUUGGAAUAGCUGCCAAUCGAGAUGCUGUAGUGAUCAUGUUGUCCAAAGGGGUGGAGAAGUGGCCCGACGGGGGUGUUGCAUACUGCGGCGGGUUAUCUAUUCAUAGGGGUGGGCCCAUCACUUGUGGUUGAUCCAGUGCUCCGGUCCUUGGCACUGCAGUCCGGUUUACUGCUGCCGGGUUGCUGGUUCCUGCUCCCGGCGUACUGAAGAGAUUCAUCGCAUUGUAAUCCGCCGGCAGGCGAGACUGAUGUCUCCUCCUCAAUACGUCAUUCGAAGCGUUUUGAUCCAGCAAGAGUCAAUAAUUCUCGGCCUGAAUCCUCUGUGGCUGGGCAUCCAAAGCGGCCCGUUCCUCAGCCAUCCUGGUUUCCUCACCCGCCAAGUCGUCCUUGGCCUGAGUUAUCUGAUCCCGCAACUUUGUGACUUCUGCGUUAUGCCGAUCUUGAGUCUCCAGGGUAACUGCCGUGGUCAACAACGUCGUCCAGGCGUCCAACAAACCGGAAAGAACUUGAGCCAGCCGGCGCGUGGGGCCUCCUGCCCCAGCUGCCGAUCCAGAAUAUAUUACCGCUGCAGUUGAAUUUUGCAACGCCGGCUGUGUACCAGCCAUGAAGAUUGCGACCCAAUUUGGCGGUUCAAAAGAGUCUAGAAUACUGCUCCCAUCGGAAUACCCUUCGAACAACCCAUCCUGAACUUGGUACAAAGACUCGGUCUCGCCGGUGGAUGACUCGCGAUCGGAAUAAACGGCCGUCUCCCCCUCGGACACCGUUUCAGAUUCGAUCCCGUGGAUACAUCCCACGAACGCAUGCUUCAUGGUAGGCUGAAUCCGGGCAGGACUCGCACAUUGAGCCGUCUCAAUGAGGUCGGUGCAGAUGUCCGGCUCAGGGCCCAGUUCACCGAUCUUGCUGAUGAAGACGUGAAUUCCUCCGAAGGGGACCCGGUACCCGUAUUCGAUUGAGCCGGCGUCGGGGCCCCAGCCUGCGUUGUCGUUGUAGAGCUUGCCGCGACGACUCUUAGUCAUCCGGCCCACUGCGUAUCCCUUAAGCCCUUCGAACUUGCCCUCUAAGAACUUGAAACCAUCGUGCGAUAGCCCCAUGGUGGGCGCCAACUGUCAUGGAAUUAUACGUCAGAUGUCCUAGUGAAAGGACUUAGUCGUGGAGCCAUCGCGAUCGGGUUAGCUUAGAGGGGUUAAACCGGACAAAGGACACGGGGAGUUUAUACUCGUUCGGCCCCUUGUGGUGAAGGUAAUAGCCUACGAUCCAGUUGUGGUGUUCUUGAUGUGGUCUCGAUUACCAGGGAGCAAAUAUGCUUUGCCUAGUUCUCGAGUUGUUGUUUCUUGUCCCUGAACCACCGCCGGGUCGUCCCUUUAUAUACAUAGGUUGACGCCCAACCGGUCUACAGAAUCCCGAGGCCGGCUCAUACAAGUGUCCGGCUCGGUUUCUCCUUUCCCCGACUUACAAUACAAGUUAUACAUCUAUGGCGGUUUACUACUAUGGGCCCUAAUCCUCCAUUGGGCUUCUAGGCCUCUAAGCCUUCAUAGUUAAAACGCCAUAGCCUUAGCCCUCAUCAUCAUGGGCUCUUGUACAGGAUUCCUUGUAAGUUAACCCGUCCCUUCCUGGGCAGUUUAACUCAGUAGUCAUAUCCCCAACACCUUAGGUGUUGCUAGAACCAAAUACCCACCUAACUUGGUCAAACUUUCCUAAGGUGAGUGCUACCUCUUGAGCACUGCGUUGGAUUUCCCCCAAGAGGAGAGGAUGAUGCAGUAAAGUAGCGUAAGUAUUUUCCUCAGUUUUUGAGAACCAAGGUAUCAAUCCAGUAGGAGAUCACGCACGAUGUAACGCCUCGGAUCCAAUGCGCCAGGUGUCUGCCCAGUUAUUCGCCAUCGUUGCCAUGUCAUUUGCUUGUGUGUUGCAUAUUGCCAUGUCAUCAUCUGCAUGCUUUUCAAAACUUGCAUCCGUUCGGGUUCCGCCGGUUCUCUCCGUUGUCCGUUCCGAGUCCGGACACACUCGCACGCGCCCGCGGCACCUCCGAAAUAUUAUUUUAUAAGUGGCAUAAAAAUGUUCACAGAAUGGGGUGAGAGUUGGCGUGCGGUCUUAUUAUAGUGUAGACAGACGGCCUGCCAAAUUUCGUCGCAUUCAAAGUUCGUUUGACUGCCCACCCGUUAAAUAUAUAACUGCGAUAUAGCCGGUAUAUUUGUUGGACGUUUCGGUCUCCAAAACUGCUGUCGGGCCUCUCUCUCUUCUCUGCUUCAGCCCCUGGCCUUUCUAGCACAACCCACAAACCCCUCCUAGGCCCAGCCUACCCCCCUCGCGUCUGGAACUGUCCGAUCAAGAUCAGAGGCUCCCAAAACCCCCCUUAGCACCCUCUAACCCUAACCCCUACCUUUUUAAACCCCUCCUCCUUCCAUUUUGGGCAGUCUACCCCCUUCCCUAACCCCAGCCGCAGCCAAUCCCCCUCCUCCUCAGGAUCUCCGCCGCCUCCACCUCAAAUUCCGCCGCCGGCCACCUCCUCAGCGCCACUUGGUGCCACGCCACUGGUCGCGCCGCCGGCCGCAGCCAACCGGGGGCUGCCACGUCGCCCACGCCACCUGGCCACCUCCCGCGGCCCUCGCGGCCCACACCAGGCCCGUCCCGGGCCGAUCUGGGCCCGGAGGAGCCCGCGUGCCCCGCUGCCUGGAUCCCCGCUCCCGCAACCGCUCGAGGGGAGGAGCCCCUCGAUCCAACGCCGCCGGCUUCCUGCGCCGCCGUCCAUCCCCGCCGCCGGCCGCCUCCCUCGCCACCUUGCAGCCCUGCCGCCUCCUCCCUCGUUCUUCCUCUCCCUCUCACCCUAACCCCGUCUCUCUCUAUCUCUGCGGCAUGAACAGGAGCAGGAGCUCCAAGCCGCCGCCUCACCGCCCGGAUCUGGCCAGGAUCCGGCAGAUCCGGCUUCCGCGCCGCCGCCCGCCAUUCCCGGCCCUGCCACGUUGCCGGUGCCGCCUUCAGGCGCCGCCACCGCAGCCCUGGCAUGGCCUCGAUCGGCCUCGUCGGGCAGGACGACGAGCGCCCGCCUCCCCCUCGCGUCGCGUGGGCCUUCCCCGCGAUCCGGCCCAACGCCCGGCCUGCCAAGCCUCUCCCCCCCGACCUGGGCCAAGCCCAGUGGUGAGGCGCCUAAAUCCCGCCCUGCGCGCAUGAUACUAUUGGACGCUCGUCCUAUUUUUUUAUAAAAAUCGGCUAAGUCCUGAAAUUAUUACAUUCUGGUGCCAUAUUAGACAUGUCAUAACUCUUUGCAUACUGCUCCGUUUUGCGUGCAUAAUAUAUCAAAAUGUUCAUUGUGAGAUGCUCUACAAUUCAUUCCAUUGCACCAUGUUCAUUUGAGCUCAUCUUGAUGCCUGAAUCAUCGUUGCAAGAGUGCUAUAUAAUGUUGUCUGCUGUCUGUUAACAGAACAUGCUCAUUUGUCAUUUUUGCCAUGUUUGAUGUGUGCAUCCUAUGAGGUUGAUUUAUACAUGUGUUUUGAACUACAUCAUGCCAUCUUUACAGGGGUGCUUGUCUUGUAUUUUUUUGAGUCUUGUACCGAGUGCAUCAAGCUUGUUAAGUAGGGUACUUGUUGUUACUGUUUUACUAGGCUGUUUCUGUUAUAUUUUGUUGCCAUGUAAACCUGCUGCUACAAGUCAUUCUAUGCAUAAUCUGGAGAUGUUCACUAAGCAUGUUUUGUUAUACAUGUCAUUAUCUAUCCAUCCAUGCCCCUUAUUGCAUUUAUAGCCUGCUGUAGCUUGUUGUAGUCUUGCUCCAAAAUUGCUAAAUAAUGUGUCAGCCUGUUAACAUUUAGUUCAGUUGUUGCCAUGAUUGUUGUUAGUGAUCCAUGCACCCUAUGGACUUGAUAUUGCCAUGCUUAGCUUCAUAAACAUGUAUUCUUACUGUUGGUUGCCUUUCCAUGCCAUGUAUUGCUUUGUGGUGAGUGGUACAAGCUCAUCUACAUGCCAACUUAUCGUUGUUCCUGCCAUGUUGGAAUCUGUCAUAUAACUUGCCAUGUUUACAUGGGUGCCAUCUUAUUUUCUGGUCCUUUUUGGCUCAUGGUCAGUAAGGGACUUUUGUUCUAUGCUAUUAGUAGGUUCACACCAUGCCUUUGUUUGCCAUGAUAAGUUCCUGUAACAUGUUGUUUGAUAGCUCUAAACAUUGCAACCUGAUGUUAUUUCUGCAAAGUCUGAAACUGUUAUUAUUUGCAAUCUUGCCAUGUGUGUUUGAGCAUGCUCUAAUGAUUUCUGGAGAUAGCUCAGUGUUCAUGUUUUGUUAUGCUUUACCAGUACAUCAUGUCCAUGCCUUUUGUUAUCAUGUUGAGCUGCUAUAGAAUAUUGUUUUGAUGCUUGCAAUAUGCCUAGUUGCUGUUUUGGGCAGAUUGUUGUUAUGUCUUGUUUGGAGUGGAUGUGUUGCACCGUUGCUCCGUUUUGAGUGUGAUCUAUAUGAAAUUUGCUUAGAAUUGCAUGUAGUUUCAUAUUAUCAUUUUGCAUCCUUGUUUUGAGGUGUUUGCUUGAUGUUUGGGUGCAUUUUGCGGCCUCACGACGCCGACUCAAUGCCACAUCGAUCUAGCAUGUAACACCUCAUAUCACUUUGCGGCCUCACGCACGGUAUCCCCACGGUGUCGCCUUACCUUUUCCCGGGACCGUUUGCGUAUUUUGGCACACGUAUAUGAUAGUGUCGCUAGCAUCCAUAUGAUAAGGAGCCCGGGCUAACAUGGCUAGUCGUAAACCCAAAGUGGCACAAACUUACAGGGACAGGCAUCCAUGACCCAGCAUCGAACGUGUCAGUCAUCAGCGAGUGAAUCCAGGCUGUAGCACUGGGCUAGCAGGACUCCGGUGAACCGGGCUGUAGCGGGCUAAUAGGACUCCGGUAUUCAUCGCGUGACAUUUCCCCGAAGGGAUAGACACAGGAACGAAGAAGGACACAUGCCGGCCAGCCUAAGUGUUCCGGAGCAGUAGCAAGCUACCAUGGCUCAGUGGAAACACUAGGAGACAUUUCCCGGUAAGAGAGGCUACUAAGGAUAAACAACUAGAUAGUCAGAUCCCACACAUACCAAGAAUUUCAAUAACAUACACACAAUAUGCUCGAUAUGUGCAAAUACAACAAGGCAUCAGAACAUGACUCUACAACUCAAGUAUUUAAUUCAAUAGGCUCCGAGGAGCGAGAUAUUACAAUCAUGGGUCUCAUGACCUAACAAUCAGAGCAUACAAGUCAAAGCACAAACGGAAGCUCAACAUGUCUGAGUACAGACAUCUACAAAUGAAAAAGGCUGAGAAGCCUGACUAUCUACCAGAUCCUGCCGAGGGCACAAGAUCAUAGCUGAGGUAACAAGCUAAACGUCGAAGUCCACGUGGAACUACUAGCGAGACCGAAGUCUCUCUGCAAAAACAUAAAUUAAGAAACGUGAGUACAAAUGUACCCAGCAAGACUUACAUCAGAACUAUCUACAUAUGCAUCAUUAUCAACAAAGGGGGUGGUGGGGUUUAACUGCAGCAAGCCAGCUUUGACUCGGUGGCUAUCCUGAACUACGACUACAAGAAACUCUUUUGAGGUGGCGCACACGAGUCCACAUAUUCACCAUAUCAAUACACCACUAUGGAUCCGCUCACGUCUCCCUACGAGAACGCCAUCCAUAGCACUCACGCUUAUCUUGCGUAUUUUAGAGUAUCCACUUUCACUUGUCUAUGAACUGUACAGGCAACCCAGAAGUCCUUUACCGCGGACACGGCUAUUCGAAUAGAUCAUAUUAACCCUGCAGGGGUGUACUUCUUCACACACGCUCCCACCACUUACCGCCGUUUACACGACAUGUACUCGGCAACCUUCAAGCGGAAGCCCAGCGAGGGUGUCGGCCACGACCUGACUAACCACACAAGUCUCUCGUCCAGGUUUAUCGCCUAUUCGGGUUCCAUCCGCAAGGAGAUCCGGCCGGGGUGUCGCUCACGGCCCCAAACGAUGUGUGCAGGGUUCCCAAGCCCACCUCGACGGGUGGAUCUACGCUUGGUACACCGUGCCAUGGUGCCUAGUCUGUCCCAAGCCCACCUGUACCGGGUGCCACUUGGUAGACUACUAACACUACCUACAAACACCAGAAACUAGUUGCAACUCCUGGACAGAGAUCGAGUUGAUUAUAAGUCGAGAGAGUCAAUUAAGGAUCCCAAUGUGUGGUAGUAGCUGUUCAUGGAUCAGAAACACAGAACUCAGUUCCUGAGGACGGCUGCAAUGAGACAACCCACCAUGUACUCCUACAUGGCCUCUCACCGCUACCUUUACCAAAUCGUGUUCACACACUUAGCUCUCAACAGUAGGACAUGUUCACCACAUUCCAAUUCAUCCCCGAUGAAUCCGACCUAACUCAACUCUAAGCAGUAGUAGGCAUGACAAACAAGCAUGAAUGAGUAGGCACAUCAGGGCUCAAACAACUCCUACUCAUGCUAGUGGGUUUCAUCUAUUUACUGUGGCAAUGACAGGUCAUGCAGAGGAUAAAGGGGUUCAACUACCGCAGCAAGUAACAGAUGAAUCGUUGUUGUCCUAAUGCAAUAAAAGAGAGUAGGAGCGAGAGAGUGGGAUUGUAUUGGAAUGAACAAGGGGGUUUUGCUUGCCUGGCACUUCUGAAGAUAAUAUAGCUCUUCAUCGAUGUCAUCGAACUCAUCGUCGGAACCACGUCUAUCGAGAGGGGCAAGUUCCGGCAACACAGAAGGAAACACAAUCAAUGCAAUGCACAAUAUGAUGCAUGAUCAUGACAUGGCAAAAUGAGUGUGUUGGGCUAAUGCAACUAGCAGCAGGUUAAAUGAAGUUGGUUUGAACCUUAGGUUCAAAUUCAAACUCCAUAUGUGAAGGUUUAAAUGUCAGUAUAUGAUUUGUCCUAAACAGCAGCCAUCAGUUGUUCUAACAUGUAUGAAAAUGGUACAGAUGGAUAGAUUGGAUUUUUCUGAUCAUUUUUCAUAUAUAAAUUAUUUCAUUUGGAGUUACGGUUGAUUUUAUAUGAUUUUUAGAAGUUUUGCGCAUUUUCUGAAAAUAAUAAAUCAUUUCUGAUUUAUUAAAAUCCCAGAAACAAAUACUGCGUCAGCAUGACGUAUUAGUGACGUCAGCAGGUCAACGUAGCCGGUCCAGGUCAAAUCUGACCUGUGGGGCUCGUGUGUCAGUGUCUAACUAAACUAACCUAGCUUAGUUAAUACUAACCUAACUUAAUUAGCCGGGCGGGGCCUGCAUGUCAGUGGCUCUGGGGAAGUCAAAGUAGGGUCAAACCCGGGUCAACUCGCCGGAGUUGACCCGCGGCUCGUCGCCGGCGGAGCCAGAGACGGCGGAGGGCGCCGGGUUUCGCCCUCCGGCGGCCAAAAGAGCGGCGGAGGGGCUCUACGUGGUGCUGGGACUCGCGCGCAUCCGACACGACUAACGGCAGCAGCCGGGGUGGACCGAGCUAGCCGGAAAUGAGCUCGCUGCGGCGGCCGGAGUUCGGUGGGGAGGGGAGAAGGACCUAUAGUGCACGGCAGGAGGAGCUGGUGGUGGCUACGGGCUCCUGAGAUCGUGGUGAGCACGACGAUGGGCUCGGGAACGAGCUGCGGUGGCUGUGGCCACGGCCAUGCCAUGGCCGGCGGCGAGAAGCUCUCGGCCGCGGUGGAAAAUGAAGCUAGGGGACGAGCGCGAGGUUGAGAGAAGAGGGAAGAGGAAGACGGGCUCACCGCGAGUGCAUAGGUGGCCUUGGCGUGCUCGGGGAAGGCUCGGUGACGGUUGAAAAUCGCCGGCGAUCUCCAUGGCCGAAGGAGGAAGAACGGGGCGGGGACGACGCGCCGGGGCUCUUCUGGUCGCGUGAGACGACGAGGAGGACGAGGGAGGACCGGCGGAGCUCGAGGGCGUGUCGGAGAGGCUUGGGGAUGGCUGCGGCCGCGCGAGCGCUGGUCGGCGGCGACGGCUGCGCUCGGAAGAGCUCAAGGGAGAGAGCCAGGGGAGGGGAGAGGAUGCAGCGGGUGAGGGAAAAGAGUGAGGGGACACGGGGCGUCGUCGUGGCAUUGCUAGGAGGGGCCGGGGAAGCAGGUGGUGGCCGGGGAAGCAGGAGGUGGCCGGGGCAGCGUCGGCGCUCGCCACGCACCUGUUUGUCCUCCUGGCAGAGGAGGAAGAUGACAAGGGGGCGCUGGUGGGCUGGGCCGCACAGUAGCAGGCCGGCCAGGCUGGACAGGUAGGCGCCAGGUAGGUCUUCUGCUCUUUUUUAUAUUUUUUGCUUUGUUUCUUUUUUUUAAAUAAUUCUUUUGCCACUGAAUUCAAAUUUAAACAAAUUGAAAACAAUGCCAAAACUCCCCUGGAUAUUUUUAUGUCACAUAAUGGACUUCUCCACAUAUACAUAAAAUAUCAUAGGCUUUUGAAACUAUAAUCAUUAUAUAUUAUGAAUAUAACUUCAAAUCCAAAUACAAUAUGAUUUAAAUUCAAUGUCCCAAAAUAUUCCAUAAAAAUGUUCCAGAAUUUUGGUUUGAUAUAUAUCUCUUGCCAAAAUUACCAGAAUGAUUUUUAGGGAAUGUUGGAAUCUCUGAAUGCAAUUUAAAGGGUUCUUGCCCUUCUUUUAGAAAGUUUUGAGGCUUUCUAAUUUCCUCAGUUCAAAUUCCUUGAAUUUAAACAUGAUGCAACACCAGAUGCUAGCACUUGGCAUAUCAGAACUAGGGAUGUGACAACUCAACCCCACUAAACAAGAAUCUCAUCCCGAGAUUCAAGCGUAGGGUAAGAUGAAGGGGAACGGAAACUAGUAUAAUCUUCACGAUCCAGGUGCACUUCAUAGGGGCGUUGAUUCAAUCACCAUCUUUGACUCGAUGUCUUCCUCUGAGAACUCCAACUAGCAUGACAAGAAGAGGAAAGGAAAACUCUAGAAGAAUUGAUCUUCUCAAAGACCGAACAACUCAGGAUCAACUCAUGGGAUGAGACAUAGCAGCAUCUCCCGAGCUGAGACACGAAGCAUACAUCUAGAGGGAUGGAGUGGAACAGAUGACGAGGAUUCACUAGGUAGACAACAAUUCCACACUUAAGAAGCUGGUAAAUGAUUGUCAACGUAGCGAGGAGUUGAGUUGCCAUGAUACCAUAACGGGGCACCUUAGGGAAGGUGACUUGUAGAAAUAUCCCCUUAAGUGGCAAAAAGGAUUACCUUUGAUUCAGAGAUCAUUGAAACUCUUUAUACCAGCCUAAGGCAAUUCUCAAGCGAUCGUUUGGAGGGGUUCGGUAGAAUUGCAUGCCCGAAUUAGAAUGGAUGAUGUGGAUUACUUUGUUGAAGACAACGCAACGGAUGAUUUUAAUAACUGACGAGAAGCUCAACAGUGGAGAGUGAGUCCACUGUUGAAUUUUUUUUAGCAUAACCGAGGAAACUGAGAGCAAUCCCAGUUAGUGCCGAUGAUAACACCUAGCGCUUGUGCGUGCUCUCAGAAACUUGAGCACUUACAUAUUCAUCAAGGUAUUACCAAUAUCCGUGUCAAGGAUCCUGGCUACACAACGUACUACCAUGAUGAAUGCCGGUAGAAGAUGCAGAUGCAAAGGAAAAUAACACCUUCUUAGAUUUCACCUUGGCGGGGCCAAGGGGACAAAAUCUGGAUGAUCGACCGAGAGACAUUUAGCACUCCGCUUCUAAUGUUCUCCUUGAUGUGCUAGUGUAUCCCAUUCAUAUAUAUGGUUUGAUAUCUAGAACAUCAAGUAAAAGGUCGGACUUCGGGAACACAAAAAUCCAUAAGGAACAACUAGGGAGUAAAUCCUACGAAAUCCUUAUGGGGAGGUGGCCAACUUUCUCAAUCAAGAAACUACAAUAAUAGGUAUUUCGGCUGGGUGGUGCUGGCCACAACAUCCACUUUACCAGUUAUCGAGGGACCAAUAUUAUAGUUCUUGGGAAAUGUUCCAACCAUCAUAUCUGCCUGAGAUUCAGAUCUGGUUGGUGUCAGGAUAUUCCAGACUCAUCGAGUCUAGGAAGAAGAAUGAAAGUUUGCAACACAAAUCGACGAGAUGACGUUGCGAGAUUCUCGGGAAAUGAAUGACAAUAGCAAGCUCCAAAACAUGAGCUGGUUCUGCUACACACAUGUGAACACGCUGUCCCAGACAAACAUGAUCACAUGGUAGUCUUACAAUAAAACACUACCGAGUUCUGGUAGGGAACCAUCAUCAGGGACAUCGAAGUCUUGUGUAUUACCAUGGAUUAGCACUUAACUCCUUCUCCUUGAACAAGUCAACCAGUGGCUUAGUGUGCUACGGAGUUCAUAUGGAAUGAAGAUGAUCAGUCUAACAGACCACAGAAUACUUUGCACAUGCAUGACUGACUUGGGAUGAUUCCAAAGGAGGUAAAACAAGCCUUCUCAAAUUCAUGGCGGCAACUUGCAUCAAGUGCACAUGAAUUAGAGGGACUCACUUCUUCCAUCCAAACAUAUGCUUCACGAACGAGUCAUGAAGAUAAUGAUUAUAAAAGUUUCCAAUACUAGCUUAAUGUUCAACAAAAACAUGGACGGAAUAAGGAUGUUGUCGACGGGCUCAAUAACAAGUUAUUGAGAUUUCCAUAUAAAUGGAAUUCCAUAAUUAUGUGAACAAGGUGAUAGUAUUGGUCAGACCCAAAAGACAUAAUGGUGUAUGCUCGAGGAAUCAACCACGAGUAAGACAACAUUACGAACAUCAUUGGUUCUGAUUUGAUUUGAGGAUAGCCCACACUCAAACCAAAGUUUUGGUUAGGACGAUAGGUCCAGCAAUUGAUCACGAAGAUCAAUCAAUGAAGAUAUCAUCUUUCUUCAACACACACACACACACAAAGAUAUCCCUUAACAUGAACUAAGUCAGACAAGCUUUUAUCUUCCAACUCUCCAAGUUGUUGUUUAGCUUGACCAACUAGCUCAGGGGUAUCCCACACAGAUUCUUGGAGAAGGGAUGGUUUACAGGAAACCAUCUUGAUCACGAACUCAACAUAGCGGUCAGGUGACAACCUGGUAAUACUUCCGAGAAGAUAUUUGGAAAAUCACAAACCACCGAUAUGUUACUAAGCUCGAGAACAAUCUUGCUUUUCACGGCAAGACGAUAUGAUCAAAUAAGCAAGGGAUUGGCAUAGCCCCAACUCAUUGAUCGAAAGGUGCACCGGAAAUAAGGACUAGGUAGCACGAUCUAUCUUAGAAUGAUGAUUCAAGAACGAAUACGCUAAGAAUGAAAUUAUUGUCCUUUAACUACCAAGCAACACAGUUGCUAGGAGUAUUGAGUUCACACAACAUGAUUCACUUGUCGGUACUCCGGUUGCAACAACACGGGAACCGAGAAAUGAAUAAUGAUGGAGAGAGUAUCACUGUAUCGAGAGUUCAUAGGAUGGUGUGAAAUUCCCAUGAUAUUCUUAAUAUAAAGAUGGUAAUACUUUAGGGUAGAACAGAACAAAAACUGGAUUAGUAUUUGAUCUGCGGAACACAAGUGCUUUGACCCAAUCCUGGAUAUGGAUGGGGUACUGGAGUUUGUUUCUCCUAGUCAUUCCGAAAUAGAAUGGCUUGACGGACCACAAGAAUAUUAGGCACCGAUGAAUGAAUGCACGCAUACUCUUGACUAUCAAUUGAUAGACGAAGGUCAGAAGACAGCUAAAGAGAGGGACAACUCAAAGGAACAUAUAUCUUUCUGAGUUGUGGAUGCAUAGAUUAGUAUGUCGAGCAAAGCUCAACAUUUCUUCCGGAUAACCCAUGCAAAAGGUAGAACUGGCAGAUUCACAAUAUAGAAUGGAGAACUCAUCAAGAGCACUCUGGUUGUGAUCUUUGGGUUCAAAAGAACUUCUGCCAAAAUGGUUCAUGGUACUUGGAAGAAGGGAAUACCACAGACCUCGAGGACUAUCGCAAAGGUUACUAAUAACCUAAAGGAACUAGCAAAUACCACCAACAAGAAGUAGGUAGGGUGAAUCUCGGGUUCAAAACCCAGGAAUAGAAUGCCUACUAAAUAAAUGGCAUCACGGGAUGCUUUCGAGAAUGAUGGUCAGAAUCAUCACACUGGGAACACAGAGCAUGGCUGGAUUACUAGAUGAUACUCUAGACACCUAGGGUCAUAAUAAUAGCUCCAACAUAAAUGUCGAGGCAAUAGAAUACCUCAACUCAACAAUUAGUGUGAUUAACCUGGCCUAAAAGAACAUCAAAAUCAGAGGGAAAGGAUUUUGCAAAUGCACCAGAUUGUUUAGAAACCUGGGACGACUCGGACAACAUAACGGCUGUAAAUGCUCCAAAGGAUUUAAGACAUCCUACAAAAUGGUGGCAUAGCCACUCGAACAUCACAAUAUCAAGGUUCUGAAAUCAACUAUGAAUACACGGAGAUAGUAGGAACUGAACUGAGGCUUGAAUCCAUUGAUCCUAUAAGUCUACGGAUUAGUAACACGUGAUCCUAAUAGAAGAAAGAGAAAGCCUAGUUCCUUAACCCCGCAGGAAAGAUAAGAUGACUCGGAUCAGAAGGGCAUGAGAUAUAAGGAGUAAAAAGAGCCUUACGUUCCAUCCCACAAUCAAUUCCCUUAUAAAACUAAAGAAUUUCUAGACUCAACUUCGACCAGUUUGGCUUGGUAAUCCUACAGGCAGUCAGGCUCUGAUACCAAAGCUGUCAGGACGCCGACUCAAUGCCACAUAGAUCUAGCAUGUAACACCUCAUAUCACUUUGCGGCCUCACGCACGGUAUCCCCACGGUGUCGCCUUACCUUUGCCCGGGACCGUUUGCGUCUUUUGGCACACGUAUAUGAUAGUGUCGCUAGCAUCCAUAUGAUAAGGAGCCCGGGCUGACAUGGCUAGUCGUAAACCCAAAGUGGCACAAACUUACAGGGACAUGCAUCCAUGACCCAGCAUCGAACGUGUCGGUCAUCAGCGAGUGAAUCCAGGCUGUAGCACUGGGCUAGCAGGACUCCGGUGAACCGGGCUGUAGCGGGCUAACAGGACUCCGGUAUUCAUCGCAUGACAUUUCCCCGAAGGGACAGACACAGGAACAAAGAAGGACACAUGCCGGCCAGCCUAAGUGUUCCGGAGCAGUAGCAAGCUACCAUUGCUCAGUGGAAACACUAGGAGACAUUUCCCGGUAAGAGAGGCUACUAAGGAUAAACAACUAGAUAGUCAGAUCCCACACAUACCAAGCAUUUCAAUAACAUACACACAAUAUGCUCGAUAUGUGCAAAUACAACAAGGUAUCACAACAUGACUCUACAACUCAAGUAUUUAAUUCAAUAGGCUCCGAGGAGCGAGAUAUUACAAUCAUGGGUCUCAUGACCCAACAAUUAGAGCAUACAAGUCAAAGCACAAACGGAAGCUCAACAUGUCUGAGUACAUACAUCUACAAAUGAAAAAGGCUGAGAAGCCUGACUAUCUACCAGAUCCUGCCGAGGGCACAAGAUCGUAGCUGAGGUAACAAGCUAAACAUCGAAGUCCACGUGGAACUACUAGCGAGACUGAAGUCUCUCUGCAAAAACAUAAAUUAAGCAACGUGAGUACAAAUGUACCCAGCAAGACUUACAUCAGAACUAUCUACAUAUGCAUAAUUAUCAACAAAGGGGGUGGUGGGGUUUAACUGCAGCAAGCCAGCUUUGACUCGGUGGCUAUCCUGAACUACGACUGCAAGAAACUCUUUUGAGGUGGCGCACACGAGUACACAUAUUCACCAUAUCAAUACACCACUAUGGAUCCGCUCACGUCUCCCUACGAGAACGCCAUCCAUAGCACUCAUGCUUAUCUUGCGUAUUUUAGAGUAUCCACUUUCACUUGUCUAUGAACUGUACAGGCAACCCAGAAGUCCUUUACCGCGGACAUGGCUAUUCGAAUAGAUCAUAUUAACCCUGCAUGGGUGUACUUCUUCACACACGCUCCCACCACUUACCACCGUUUACACGACAUGUACUCGGCAACCUUCAAGCGGAAGCCCAGCGAGGGUGUCGGCCACGACCUGACUAACCACACAAGUCUCUCGUCCAGGUUUAUCGCCUAUUAGGGUUCCAUCCGCAAGGAGAUCUGGCCGGGGUGUCGCUCAUGGCCCCAAACGAUGUGUGCAGGGUUCCCAAGCCCACCUCGACGGGUGGAUCUACGCUUGGUACACCGUGCCAUGGUGGCUAGUCUGUCCCAAGCCCACCUGUACCGGGUGCCACUUGGUAGACUAAUAACACUACCUACAAACACCAGAAACUAGUUGCAACUCCUGGACAGAGAUCGAGUUGAUUAAUAAGUCGAGAGAGUCAAUUAAGGAUCCCAAUGUGUGGUAGUAGCUGUUCAUGGAUCACAAACACAGAACUCAGUUCCUGAGGACGACUGCAAUGAGACAACCCACCAUGUACUCCUACAUGGCCUCUCACCGCUACCUUUACCAAAUCGUGUUCACACACUUAGCUCUCAACAGUAGGACAUGUUCACCACAUUCCAAUUCAUCCCUGAUGAAUCAGACCUGACUCAACUCUAAGCAGUAGCAGGCAUGACAAACAAGCAUGAAUGAGUAGGCACAUCAGGGCUCAAACAACUCCUACUCAUGCUAGUGGGUUUCAUCUAUUUACUGUGGCAAUGACAUGUCAUGCAGAGGAUAAAGGGGUUCAGCUACCGCAGCAAGUAACGGAUGAAUCAUUGUUGUCCUAAUGCAAUAAAAGAGAGCAGGAGCGAGAGAGUGGGAUUGUAUCAGAAUGAACAAGGGGGUUUUGCUUGCCUGGCACUUCUGAAGAUAAUAUAGCUCUUCAUCGGUGUCAUCGAACUCAUCGUCGGAACCACGUCUAUCGAGAGGGGCAAGUUCCGGCAACACAGAAGGAAACACAAUCAAUGCAAUUCACAAUAUGAUGCAUGAUCAUGACAUGGCAAAAUGAGUGUGUUGGGCUAAUGCAACUAGCAGCAGGUUAAAUGAAGUUGGUUUGAACCUUAGGUUCAAAUUCAAACUCCAUAUGUGAAGGUUUAAAUGUCAGUAUAUGAUUUGACCUAAACAGCAGCCAUAAGUUGUUCUAACAUGCAUGAAAAUGGUACAGAUGGAUAGAUUGGAUCUUUCUGAUCAUUUUUCAUAUAUAAAUUAUUUCAUUUGGAGUUACGGUUGAUUUUAUAUGAUUUUUAGAAGUUUUGGGCAUUUUCUGAAAAUAAUAAAUCAUUUCUGAUUUAUUAAAAUCCCAGAAACAAAUACUGUGUCAGCAUGAUGUAUUAGUGACGUCAGCAGGUCAACGUAGCCGGUCCAGGUCAAAUCUGACCUGUGGGGCCCGUGUGUCAGUGUCUAACUAAACUAACCUAGCUUAGUUAAUACUAACCUAACUUAAUUAGCCGGGCGGGGCCCGCAUGUCAGUGGCUCUGGGGAAGUCAAACUAGGGUCAAACCCGGGUCAACUCGCCGGAGUUGACCCGCAGCUCGUCGCCGGCGGAGCCAGAGACGGCAGAGGGUGCCGGGUUUCGCCCUCCGGCGGCCAAAAGAGCGGUGGAGGGGCUCUACAUGGUGUUGGGACUCGCGCGCAUCCAACACGACUAGCGGCAGCAGCCUGGGUGGACCGAGCUCGCCGGAAACGAGCUUGCAGCGGCGGACGGAGUUCGGCGGGGAGGGGAGAAGGACCUAUGGUGCACGACAGGAGGAGCUGGUGGUGGCUACGGGCUCCUGAGAUCGUGGUGAGCACGACGGUGGGCUCGGGAACGAGCUGCGGUGGCUGUGGCCACGGCCAUGCCAUGGCCGGCGGCGAGAAGCUCUCGUCCGCGGUGGAAAAUGAAGCUAGGGGACGAGCGCGAGCUUGAGAAAAGAGGGAAGAGGAAGAGGGGCUCACCACGAGUGCAUAGGUGGCCAUGGCGUGCUCGGGGAAGGCUCGGUGACGGUGGAAAAUCGCCGGCGAUCUCCAUGGCUGAAGGAGGAAGAACGGGGCGGGGACGGCGCGCCGGGGCUCUUCUGGUCGUGUGAGACGACGAGGAGGACGAGGGAGGACCGGCGGAGCUCGAGGGCGUGUCGGAGAGGCUUGGGGAUGGCUGCGGCCGCGCGAGCGCUGGUCGGCGGCGACGGCUGCGCUCGGAAGAGCUCAAGGGAGAGAGCCAGGGGAGGGGAGAGGAUGCAGCGGGUGAGGGAAAAGAGCGAGGGGACACGGGUCGUCGUCGUGGCGUUGCUAGGAGGGGCCGGGGAAGCAGGAGGUGGCCGGGGAAGCAGGAGGUGGCCGGGGCAGCGUCGGCGCUCGCCACGCACCUGUUUGUCCUCCUGGCAGAGGAGGAAGAUGACAAGGGGGUGCUGGUGGGCUGGGCCGCACAGUAGCAGGCUGGCCAGGCUGGACAGGUAGGCGCCAGGUAGGUCUUCUGCUCUUUUUUAUAUUUUUUGCUUUGUUUCUUUUUUUAAAUAAUUCUUUUGCUAGUGAAUUCAAAUUUAAACAAAUUGAAAACAGUGCCAAAACUCCCCUGGAUAUUUUUAUGUCACAUAAUGGACUUCUCCACAUAUACAUAAAAUAUCACAGGCUUUUGAAACUAUAAUCAUUAUAUAUUAUGAAUAUAACUUCAAAUCCAAAUACAAUAUGAUUUAAAUUCAAUGUCCCAAAAUAUUCCAUAAAAAUGUUCCAGAAUUUUGGUUUGAUAUAUAUCUCUUGCCAAAAUGACCAGAAUGAUUUUUAGGGAAUGUUGGAAUCUCUGAAUGCAAUUUAAAGGGUUCUUGCCCUUCUUUUAGAAAGUUUUGAGGCUUUCUAAUUUCCUCAGUUCAAAUUCCUUGAAUUUAAACAUGAUGCAACACCAGAAGCUAGCACUUGGCAUAUCAGAACUAGGGAUGUGACACGACCGUUCCACUUGCUCUCUUCUCGCUCUUAUUUGCAUAUGUUAGCCACCAUAAUAUGCUUAGUCGCUGCUGCAACCUCACCAGUUUACCCCUUCCUUUCCCUUUAAGCUUUGCUAGUCUUGAUACCCAUGGUAAUGGGAUUGUGGAGUCCUCGUGCCUCACAGAUCACUACAAUAAGAGUUGCAGGUACAGGUCAUGCGAUGAUCAUGAUGCGAGAGCGAUGCUUGCUUGCGUUGAGUUCUUCUUUUGCUUCUUCGAUUAGGGGAUAGGUUCCAGUUCGGCAGCCUGGGUUAGCAGGGUGGAUGUCGUUUGAGUUUCUGUUUGUGUUUCAUCCGUAGUCGGAGGGUGCUCUUAUGUAAGAUGAUGUUGUAUUCGUGUUGCAUUGUAUGCCUUAUGUAUGUAUCCCCAUCUAUUAUGUAAUGUUGAUGUAAUGAUAUCCACCUUGCAAAAGCGUUUCAAUAUGCGGGUCUAUCCUUGGUGGGACCUUCAAGUUCCUUUUGGAUAGGGUCGCAUAUUGGGCGUGACAAGUUGGUAUCAGAGCCUCGACCGACCCUAGGAGCCCCCUUGAUUGAUCGUGUAGUUUGGCCGUUGUUGAGUCUAGAAGAAAACUAUUUUCGGAGUCUAGUUAUAUCGGAGAGUAGGAAUUCUUUUUACUCCUCUGCCCCUUCGUCGCUCUGGUAAGGAAUCUUGACGUAGGUGUUUUGAAUUACUUCUCUUCCCCUUCAAAUUUUCUUUAGGAUCACGCAGCUGGUUUUCCAAUCGUUGGUUCUCUUCUCUUGUUAUCAGGUGCAUUUCUCGUCAAGUUGACUCGACCCUCUUCUUCUUUGCCAAGUUCAAUCGUCAAUUGUUUUAUUUUCCCACCCGCCCUCCCUUUUUCAUCUCGGAGCCAGAGUCCGUAAUCGAAUAUCCAUCCUACUCGUGCGAAGCCUUUGCAUUCUUUCAACCGGUGUUUUCUCUUCAAGAUAUUCGUUGGUUCCCCCUUCCAAGUUGCCUUUGUUUUUCCCGCCCUCCCACCCUCUUCUUCCCGGAGCUUGAAUCUCUUUCGAGCAUCAAUUUCAUUCGUACGGAGCCUCUUCAGUCUUCCGUCAAUUAUUUCAACCAGUGAAUUCUCGUCUCGUUCGUCAUUCUUCAUCUCUUUUCUUUUCCGGUGGAUUCAAUUCAAGUUUUUCGGGUUGAUCAUAUUCUUUUCCGUAGCUCAAGUGUUUCCCUGCUCGUUCGCCUCUCGCCAGUUUAUCCUUCUGGAGUUCGGAAGACAUCUUAGGAGAUUCGUCUGUGUUCCAAUUAAUUCGAGGUUGUCACCUCAUUCAAAUAUUUCAAUUGUUCCGGUGCAUCAUCUAUCUGUUCAACAUCCCUUUCCAACGGUGUUUUUCUCUUCAGUGGGCCCUAACCCACAGGUCUUUUCCCAGGAUCUUACCUGACUCUUCUAAUUAUUCCGGAGAUAUUCUCAAAUUCUUUUCAAAGUGUGAUGUAAGAAUGGAUUCCAUCAGUCACAUGCCUUCUCCGAGACCGUUUUCAAAUCAUUUUCAUUGUUGCCUCAACCUCUUCAUUUUUCGUUAUCCCGAAGUAUCUCAGUAAUUUUGGUGGUGUUUCUCAUAAUCAUUUGAAGACCGAAGAAGAGUUUUUCCUCUAAAUCUUGUCCGUUCUUGCGAAGUUUCGUGGUUCUAGCUUCUUGUUAGCCUCUCGAAUUAUUCCAUUUGUCAGAUAUUCUUUUCUUACCCAUCCGGAGUAUGUCAGGAGUCUCUUUCCCAUUUCUUUUAACCGGAGGCCAUCAUUCCAGUUAUCGUUCUCUAUUUAUACCGGUGUUUCAUUCAAGUGCUUUUAAUCAGAUCGAGUUCUUUCCGUUCCCUGGUAUCUAAAUCCCCUCUAGCAUAUUUGUUCUUCUAAUUCUUCCCGGUGAUUCAUUCUCUUUCAUCAAUCAUUUUUCUAAUUCUUACGGUGGUUCGUUCAAGAUUCUUUUCCCUUUAUCAUUCAAUCCAUUCGUUCUUUCAAUCCUACCGGUGGUUCAUGAGGACCUUCUCAAGUUUGCGAUAUGUCAUUUCUCAAUCCUUUUCAAGAGGAAUAAGUUGCAUGCCAAAUCCGCUCGUCACCCAUUAAAUUGGAUGAGUAUAAGCAUAACGUAAUUCUUAUUCUUAUUUCAUCAUCGUCUAGUAAUCCUUUUUCUUCGGAGUUUGUUCUCGAUGAAUAAAUUCUAGUUCCAAGUGUUUUUAUCUUUUCUUUUCCGGAGUUUAAAUUUCCUCAGUCAUUUCGUUGAAACCUCCAUCUAAAUCACCACAAGGCUCAUCUUAUUCUUUCUUCGUUCAUUCUAUCUCGUCAUCCUUUUGUCGCCGGAGUUCUUCAUGGUGGUUCUUCAUGAUUUAAUUCAUUCUCCGAAGUGUUCAUCAAGAUUCUUGUAGGCGAAGCUCAAGUAUUCUUCUUCUUGCUUCGCGAGGUGCAGUUAAUUCUCCGUAUCUUUUGAAAUGGAGUUUUGCAUUUCUUCUUUCUUCCCAGUUAGUUAAUAUUUUCCGCUCGUGGUUGGUUAUCAGCUCAUAAAUUUUGAGAUGUUAUCCAUAAGUCCACAUCAAGCUUAUUCUUUCGUUGUUGUUUUCUCAACAACUCCAUUCAAUCCUUCUAAAUUCUUUUCAUUCAAUUCUCUUUCAAUUCUUUCUGGAGUUUUUGUGUCAUUUUUCAUCAAGUAUCAUUCCGUCCUCUCAAACUCGUGUUCUAUUCCUCCAUGUUUCAGCCGGAGUGCUGCCUAAAUCCUUUCAGUCUUAUCCGUUGCUUAUCUCGUUCUAACCGGAGUGGUUUCAGAGUCUAUCUUGUUUCCACGAGCAUUCGAUUUUCGUCAUAUUCGCCAUUCAUCUUUCUUAACCGAGUGCUCUCGAUUCUUUGCUUCUUCUCUUGAGUUCUUGCUUCACCUCUUCCUCUUUCUCUUCCGUCUCGGUCCUAAGAUCUCGGGACGAGAUCUCUUGUUAGUAGAGGAGUGUUGUAACGCCCCGGAUCCGAUGCGCCAGGUGUCUGUCAGUUAUUCGUCGUCGUUGCCAUGUCAUUUUCUUGCGUGUUGCAUAUUGCCAUGUCAUCAUAUGCAUUUCAUCUGCAUGCUUUUCAAAACUUGCAUCCGUUCGGGUUCCGCCGGUUCUAUCCGUUGUCCGUUCCGAGUCCGGACACACUCGCACGCGCCCGCGACACCUCUGAAAUAUUAUUUUAUAAGUGGCAUAAAAAUGUUCUCGGAAUGGGGUGAGAGUUGGCGUGCGGUCUUAUUAUAGUGUAGAUAGACCGCCUGCCAAAUUUUGUCGCAUUCGGAGUUCGUUUGACUGCCCAUCCGUUAGAUAUAUAACCGCGAUAUAGCCGGUAUAUUCGUCCGAGGUUUCGGUCUCCAAAACUGCUGUCGGGCCUCUCUCUCUUCUCUGCUUCAUCCCCUGGCCUCUCUAGCACAGCCCACAAACCCCUCCUAGGGCCAGCCUACCCCCCCUCGCGUCCGGAACCGACCGAUCAAGAUCGGAGGCUCCAAAAAAACCCAUUAGCACCCUCUAACCCUAACGCCUACCUUUUUAAACCCCUCCUCCUUCCAUUUUGGGCAGCCUACCCCCUUCCCUAACCCCAGCCGCAGCCAAUCCCCCUCCUCCUCGGGAUCUCCGCCGCCUCCACCUCAAAUUCCGCCGCCGACCACCUCCUCAGCGCCACUUGGCGCCACACCACUGCUCGCGCCGCCGCAGCCGUCGGCCGCAGCCAACCGGGGGCUGCCACGUCGCCCACGCCUCCUGGCCACCUCCCGCGGCCCUCGCGGACCGCACCAGGCCUGUCCCGGGCCGAUCUGGGCCUGGAGGAGCCCGCACGCCCCGCCGCCUGGAUCCCCGCUCCCGCAACCGCUCGAGGGGAGGAGCCCCUCGAUCCAGCGCCGCCGGCUUCCCGCGCCGCUGUCCAUCCCCGCCGUCGGCCGCCUCCCUCGCCACAUUGCAGCCCCGCCACCGGUGACCAGAUGAGUGCAGCCCCGCCACCUCCUCCCUCAUUCUUCCUCUCCCUCUCACCCUAACCCCCUCUUUCUAUCUCUGCGCCAUGAACAGGAGCAGGAGCUCCGAGCCGCCGCCUCACCGCCCGGAUCCGACCAGGAUCCGGCAGAUCCGGCUUCCCGCGCCACCGCCCGCCAUUUCCGGCCCUGCCACGUCGCCGGUGCCGCCUUCAGGCGCCGCCACCGCCGCCCUGCCAUGGCCUCGAUCGGCCUCGUCGGGCAGGAUGACGAGCGCCCGCCUCCCCCUCGCGCCGCGUGGGCCUUCCCCGUGAUCCGGCCCAACACCCCGGCCUGCCAAGCCUCUCCCCCCGACCUGGGCCAAGCCCAGUGGUGAGGCGCCUAAAUCCCGCCCUGCGCGCAUGAUACUAUUGGACGCUCGUCCUGUUUGUUUUUAAUAAAAAUCGGCUAAGUCCUGAAAUUAUUACAUUCUAGUGCCAUAUUAGACAUGCCAUAACUCUUUGCAUACCGCUCCGUUUUGUGUGCAUAAUAUAUCAAAAUGUUCAUUGUGAGAUCCUCUACAUUUAAUUCCAUUGCACCAUGUUCAUUUGAGCUCAUCUUGAUGCCUGAAUCAUCGUUGCAAGAGUGCUAUAUAAUGUUGUCUGAUGUCUGUUAACAGAACAUGCUCAUUUGUCAUUUUUGCCAUGUUUGAUGUGUGCAUCCUAUUAGGUUGAUUUCUACAUGUGUUUUGAACUACAUCAUGCCAUCUUUAUAGGGGUGCUUGUCUUAUAUUUUUGUGUGUCUUGUACCGAGUGCAUAAAGCUUGUUAAGUAGGGUACUUGCUGUUACUGUUUUACUAGGCUGUUUCUGUUAUAUUUUGUUGCCAUGUAAACCUGCUGCUACAAGUCAUUCUAUGCAUAAUCUGGAGAUGUUCACUAAGGAUGUUUUGUUAUACAUGUCAUGCUCUAUCCAUCCAUGCGCCUGGUUGCAUUUAUAGCCUGCUGUAGCUUGUUGUAAUCUUGCUCCAAAGUUGCUAAAUAAUGUUUCUGUCAGCCUGUUAACAUUAAGUUCAGUUGUUGCCAUGAUUGUUGUUAGUGAUCCAUGCACCCUAUGGAAUUGCUCUUGCCAUUCUUAGCUUCAUAAACAUGUAUUCUUACUGUUGGUUGCCUUGCCAUGCCAUGUAUUGCUCUGUGGUGAGUGGUACAAGCUCAUCUACAUGCCUACUUAUCGUUGUUCCUGCCAUGUUGGAAUCUGUCAUAUAACUUGCCAUGUUUACAUGGGUGCCAUCUUAUUUUCUGGUCCUUUUUGGCUCAUGGUCAGUAAGAGACUUUUGUUCUAUGCUAUUAGUAGGUUCAUGCCAUGCCUUUGUUUGCCAUGAUAAGUUCCUGUAACAUGUUGUUUGAUAGCUCUAAACAUUGCAACCUGAUGUUAUUUCUGCAAAGUCUGAAACUGUUAUUAUUUGCAAUCUUGACAUGUGUGUUUGAACAUGUUCUAGUGAUUUCUGAAGAUAGCUCAGUGUUCAUGUUUUGUUAUUGUUUACCUGUACAUCAUGUCCAUGCCUCUUGUUAUCAUGUUGAGCUGCUGUAGCAUAUUGUUUUGAUGCUUGCAAUAUGCCUAGUUGCUGUUUUGGGCAGAUUGUUGUUAUGUCUUGUUUGGAGUGUAUGUGUUGCACCGUUGCUCCGUUUUGAGUGUGCUCUAUAUGAAAUUUGCUUAGAAUUGCAUGUAGUUUCAUAUUAUCAUGUUGCAUCCUUGUUUUGAGGUGUUUGCUUGAUGUUUGGGUGCAUUUUGUAUCAAUGCCAUGUUUGAUUUGUUUUGGUCAUAUCUUCUAGGCCGUAGCUCCGAAUUAAAUGAACUUUAUAUGUAACUUGACUAGAAUCUCGUGUAGAUCAUCUUUGUGCAUCUUAACUUGAUGUUUAACAACUUGAACAUAAGGUUUGUUCAGAUCUGGACCAAUUUCGAAACUUGCAUAUGAGGACUUACCGGAAUUGUUAUAUGUUGAUUCCGACCUCAUUUAAACUUGCUUUGAUGUGUUGCUCUUGUAUGCAUCAUCCCUUGCCAUGAGUAGCUUAAUUUAGCCUUGUCAUGCAUCAUUCUUGUUGUGCAUCAUGUCUUGUCAAUGUGAGGUGUGUUUACUAUGUUGUGUGCUUCUUUUCGAUAGUUCCUAUUUCCGUUGUGAUCGUGAGGAUUCGUUCAUCUACGCUUGGUUCAUCUUCGUGGCUUCAUCUUCUUCAUGGACUUGUUCUUCUUCCUAGCGGGAUUUCAGGCAAGAUGACCGCUACCCUGGAUGUCACUACUAUCAUUGCUAUGCUAGUUGCUUCGUUCCAUCGCUUUGCUACGCUACCUAUGAUUUGCUCUUCAAGCCUCCCAAUUUGCCAUGUCAGCCUCUAACGUUUUUCACCCUUCCUAGCAAACCAUUGUUUGGCUAUGUUACCGCUUUUGCUCAGCCCCUCUUAGAGCGUUGUCAUUUGCAGGUGAAGUCGAAGAUUGCCCCAUGAUGGAUAGGACUAUGUUGGGAUACCACCAUAUCUCUUAUUUAAUUAAUGCAUCUAUAUACUUGGUAAAGGGUGGAAGGCUCGGCCUUAUGCCUGGUGUUUUGUUCCACUCUUGCCACCCUAGUUUCCGUCAUACCGGUGUUAUGUUCCCGGAUUUUGCAUUCCUAACGCGGUUGGGUGAUUUAUGGGACCCCCUUUAAAGUUUGCUUUGAAUAAAACUCCUCCAGCAAGGCCCAACAUUGGUUUUACCAUUUGCCUCACCACCACCUACAUUUCCCUUGGGAGUAAUUAACCCAAGGGUCAUCUUUAUUAUAGCCCCCCCGGGCCAGUGCUUCUCUAAGUGCUGGUCCAAACUAGAGCCCUUUGCAGCGCCCCCUCAGGGAAACUUGAGGUCUGGUUUUAGUUGUACGGAUUGCUCAUCGGUGUUGCCCUGAGAACGAGAUAUGUGCAGCUCCUAUCGGGAUUGUCGGCACAUCGGGCGGUCUUGCUGGUCUUGUUUUACCAUUGUUGAAAUGUCUUGUAAACCGGGAUUCCGAGUCUGAUCGGGUCUUCCUGGGAGAAGGUAUAUCCUUUGUUGAUCGCGAGAGCUUAUCAUGGGCUAAGUUGGGACACCCCUGCAGGGUAUAAACUUUCGAAAGCCGUGCCCGCGGUUAUGGGCAGAUGGGAAUUUGUUAAUGUCCGGUUGUAGAUAACUUGACACCAGAUACGAAUUAAAAUGCAUCAACUGCGUGUGUAGCCGUGAUGGUCUCUUUUCGGCGGAGUCCGGGAAGUGAACACGGUUUUGGGUUAUGUUUGACGUAAGUAGGAGUUCAGGAUCACUUCUUGAUCAUUGCUAGCUUCAUGACCGUUCCGCUUGCUCUCUUCUCGCUCUUAUUUGCGUAUGUUAGCCACCAUAUUAUGCUUAGUCGCUGCUGCAACCUCACCACUUUACCCCUUCCUUUCCCUUUAAGCUUUGCUAGUCUUGAUACCCAUGGUAAUGGGAUUGCUGAGUCCUCGUGGCUCACAGAUUACUACAACAACAGUUGCAGGUAUAGGUCAUGCGAUGAUCAUGACGCGAGAGCGAUGCUUGCUUGCGUUGAGUUCUUCUUCUGCUUCUUCGAUCAGGGGAUAGGUUCCAGGCCGGCAGCCUGGGUUAGCAGGGUGGAUGUCGUUUGAGUUUCUGUUUGUGUUUCAUCCGUAGUCGGAGGGUGCUCUUACAUAAGAUGAUGUUGAAUUCAUGUGGCAUUGUAUGCCUUAUGUAUGUAUCCCCAUCUAUUAUGUAAUGUUGAUGUAAUGAUAUCCACCUUGCCAAAGCGUUUCAAUAUGUGGGUCUAUCCUUGGUGGGACCUUCGAGUUCCUUUUGGAUUGGGUCUCAUAUUGGGUGUGACACACAAGUCCCUCGUACCUACACAAAAUGAUAGCUACUCGCAAUCAACGCGAUUAGGGGUUGUCAAUCCCUUCACGGUCACUUACGAGGGUGAGAUCUGAUAGAGAUGAUAAAUAAUAUUUUUGGUAUUUUUGAUAUAGAGAUGCAAAGUAAAAAGUAAAAGGUAAAGUAAAAACAAAGCAAGUAAUAAAGUAAUGGAGAUUGAUAUGAUGAGAUUAGACCCGGGGGCCAUAGGUUUCACUAGUGGAUUCUCUCAAGAGCAUAAGUAUUCUACGGUGGGUGAACAAAUUAUUGUUGAGCAAUUUAUAGAAAAGCGAAUAAUUAUGAGAUUAUCUAGGUAUGAUCAUGUAUAUAGGCAUCACGUCCAAAACAAGUAGAUCGAAACGAUUUUGCAUCUACUACUAUUACUUCAUUCAUCGACCGCUAUCCAACAUGCAUCUAGAGUAUUAAGUUAAAAACAGAGUAACGCCUUAAGCAAGAUGACAUGAUGUAGAGGGAUAAAUUCAUGCAAUAUGAUAAAAAACCCAUCUUGUUAUCCUCGAUGGCAGCAAUACAAUAUGUGCCUUGCAACCCUUUCUGUCACUGGGUAAGGACACCGCAAGAUUGAACCCAAAGCUAAACACUUCUCCCAUUGAAAGAACUACCAAUCUAGUUGGCCAAACCAAAUGGAUAAUUCGAAGAGACUUGCAAAGAUAACUCAAUCAUACAUAAAAGAAUUCAGAGAAGAAUCAAAUAUUGUUCAUAGAUAAGCUGGAUCAUAAACCCACAAUUCAUCGGUCUCAACAAACACACCGCAAAAAGAAGAUUACAUCGAAUAGAUCUCCACAAGAGAGGGGGAGAACAUUGUAUUGAGAUCCAAAAAGAGAGAAGAAGCCAUCUAGCUACUAGAUAUGGACCCGAAGGUAUGAAGUAAACUACUCAUAUUUCAUCGGAGAGGCUAUGGUGUUGAUGUAGAAGCCCUCCGUGGUAGAUGCCCUCUCCGGCGGAGCUCCGGAACAGGACCCAAGAUGGGAUCUCGCGGAUACAGAAGGUUGUGAUGGUGGAAUUAGGUUUUUGGCUCCGUAUCUGAUCUGACGGGGGUACGUAGGUAUAUAUAGGAGGAAGGAGUACGUCAGUGGAGCAACAGGGGGCCCAUGAAGCAGGGGGCGCGCCCAGGGGGGGCGCCGUCCACCCUCGUGACCGCCUCUGGCACUUCUUGGAGUAGGGUCCAAGUCUCCUGGAUCACGCUCGGUGAGAAAAUCACGUUCCCGAAGGUUUUAUUCCGUUUGGGCUCCGUUUGAUAUUCUGUUUCUUCGAAAUACUGAAAUAGGCAAAAAACAGCAAUUCUGGGCUGGGCCUCCGGUUAAUAGGUUAGUCCCAAAAAUAAUAUAAAAGUGGAAAAUAAAGCCCAAUAUAGUCCAAAACAGUCAAUAAAGUAGCAUGGAGCAAUCAAAAAUUAUAGAUACGUUGGAGACGUAUCAAGCAUCCCCAAGCUUAAUUCAUGCUCGUCCUCGAGUAGGUAAAUGAUAAAAAAGAAUUUUUGAUGCGGAGUGAUACUUUGGCAUAAUUUCAAUGUAAAUCUUCUUAAUUGUGGCAUGAAUAUUCAGAUCCAAAAGAUUCAAGACAAAAGUUCAUAUUGACAUAAAAGUAAUAAUACUUCAAGCAUACAAAUUAAAGCAAUCAUGUCUUCUCAAAAUAGCAUGGUUAAAGAAAGUUAUCCCUACAAAAUCAUAUAGUCUGGCUAUGCUCUAUCUUCAUCACACAAAGUAUUUAAUCAUGCACAACCCCAAUGACGAGCCAAGCAAUUGUUUCAUACUUUAGAAAUCUUAAACUUUUUCAACUUUCACGCAAUACAUGAGCGUGAGCCAUGGACAUAGCACUAUAGGUGGAAUAGAAUGGUGGUUGUGGAGAAGACAAAAAAGGAGAAGAUAGUCUCACAUCAACUAGGCGUAUCAAUGGGCUAUGGAGAUGCCCAUCAAUAGAUAUCAAUGUGAGUGAGUAGGGAUUGCCAUGCAACAGAUGCACUAGAGCUAUAAGUAUAUGAAAGCUCAACAAAAGAAACUAAGUGGGUGUGCAUCCAACUUGCUUGCUCAUGAAGACCUAGGGCACUUUGAGGAAGCCCAUCAUUGGAAUAUACAAGCCAAGUUCUAUAAUGAAAAAUUCCCACUAGUAUAUGAAAGUGAUAACAUAUGAGACUCUCUAUCAUGAAGAUCAUGGUGCUACUUUGAAGCACAAGUGUGGAAAAAGGAUAGUAGCAUUGUCCCUUCUCUCUUUUUUCUCUCAUUUUUUUUAUUUGGCCUUUUUUUAUGGCCACUUUUUUUUUCGUCCGGAGUCUCAUCCCGACUUAUGGGGGAAUCAUAGUCUCCAUCAUCCUUUCCUCACUGGGAUAAUGCUCUAAUAAUGAUGAUCAUCACACUUUUAUUUUUCUUACAACUCAACAAUUACAACUCGAUACUUAGAACAAAAUAUGACUCUAUAUGAAUGCCUCCAGCGGUGUACCGGGAUAUGAUGUGAAUCAAGAGUGACAUGUAUGAAAAUUAUGAAGGUGGCCUUGCCACAAAUACAAUGUCAACUACAUGUUCAUGCAAAAAGCAAUAUGACAAAAGUAAUGCAUGUCAUAUGAACGGAACGGUGGAGAGUUGCAUGGCAAUAUAUCUCGGAAUGGCUAUGGAAAUGCCAUGAUAGGUAGGUAUGGUGGCUAUUUUGAGGAAGGUAUAUGGUGGGUGUAUGAUACCGGCGAAAAGUGCGCGGUAUUAGAGAGGCUAGCAAUGGUGGAAGGGUGAGAGUGCGUAUAAUCCAUGGACUCAACAUUAAUCAAAAGAACUCAUGCACUUGUUGCAAAAAUUUAGAAGUCAUCAAAAACCAAAGCACUAAACGCAUACUCCUAGGGGGAUAGAUUGGUAGGAAAAGACCAUUGCUCGUCCCCGACUGCCACUCAUAAGGAAGACAAUCAAUAAAUAAAAUUGUGCUCCGACUUCAUCACAAAGCGGUUCACCAUACGUGCAUGCUACGGGAAUCACAAACUUCAACACAAGCAUUAUUUAAAUUCAUAAUCACCCCAACUAGCAUGCUUUGAUAUUAUCACCUCCAUAUCUCAAAACAAUUAUCAAGCAUCAAACUUAUCUUAGUAUUCAACGCACUCAAAAGAAAGUUUCACAAAUCUUGAAUACCAAGUAUAUUAACAUUAAGCAAAUUACCAUGCUAUUAACAACUCUCAAAAAAAUCUAAGUGAAGCAUGAGAGAUCAAUAGUUUCUUUAAAACAAAUCCACCACCGUGCUCUAAAAGAUCUAAGUGAAGCACUAGAGCAAAAAUUAUUAUGCUCAAAAGAUAUAAGUGAAGCACUAUGAGCAAAACUAUCAAGCUCAAAAGAUAUAAUUGAAGCACAUAGAGUAUUCUAGCAAAUUCCAAAUCAUGUAUGGCUCUCUCAAAAGGUGUGUACAGCUAGGAUGAUUGUGGGAAACUAACAAGCAAAGACGCAAAUAAUACAAGACGCUCCAAGCAAAACACAUGACAUGUGGUGAAUAAAAAUAUAGCUCCAAGUAAAUUACCGAUGGAAGUAGACGAAAGAUGGGAUGCCUUCCGGGGAAUCCCCAAGCUUUGACUUUUUGGUGUCCUUGGAUUAUCUUGGGAGUGCCAUGGGAAUCCUCAAGCUUAGGCUCUUGCCACUCUUUUUUGCAUAAUCCAUCAAAAGAAUUCACCCAAAACUUGAAAACUUCACAACACAAAACUCAAUAGAAAUCUUGUGAGCUCUGUUAGUGAAAGAAAACAGAAGACUAAUUUAAGGUACUGUAAUGAACUCAUUCUUUAUUUAUAUGGGUGUUAAACCUACUGUAUUCCAACUUCCUUAUGGUUUAUAAACUAAUUUAUUAGCCAUAGAUGCAUUGAAAUAAGCAAACAAAACACGAAAAACAGAAUCUGUCAAAAACAGAACAGUCUCUAGCAAUCUGUAACUAACGCAAACUUCUGAACUCUAACAAUUCUAUAAAAAUAGGAUGUACUGGAAAAUUUGUUUAUUGAUCAUAAGCAAAAGGAAUCAAUGCAAAAUCACGUUUCUGUGAUUUAUUGAAUUUUUUCUCGUGAGCGCAAAGUUUCUAUUUUUCAGCAGAAUCAAAUCAACUAUCAUCAUAGCUUAUCCUAUAGGUUCUACUUGGCACAAACACCAAUUAAAACAUAAAACCACAUCUAAACAGGAAGUAUAUGAAUUAUUUAUUCCUAAACAGAAUCAAAAACAAAAAACACAAAAUAAAAUUGGGUUGCCUCCCAACAAGCGCUAUCGUUUAACGCCCUUAGCUAGGCAUAAAAGCAAGGAUAGAUCUAGGUUUUGCCAUCUUUGGUAGGCAAUCCAUAAGUGGCUCUCAUGAUAGAUUCAUAUGGUAAUUUUAUUUUCUUUUUAGGGAAGUGUUCCAUACCCUUUCACAAGGGAAAUUGGAAUCUAAUAUUCCCUUCCUUCAUAUCAAUAAUUGCACCAAUCGUUCUAAGGAAAGGUCUACCAAGAAUAAUAUGACAUGAAGGAUUGCAAUCUAUAUCAAGAACGAUAAAAUCUACGGGCACAUAAUUCCUAUUUGCGACAAUAAGAACAUCACUAAUUCUUCCCAUAGGUUUUUAAUAGUGGAAUCCACAAGAUGCAAGUUUAUAGAGCAAUCUUCAAAGUCACGGAAAUCUAGCAAAUCACACAAAGUUUUGGGAAUAGUGGAGACACUAGCACCCAAAUCACACAAGGCAUGAAACUCAUAAUCUUUAAUUUUAAUUUUGAUAGUAGGUUCCCACUCAUCAUAGAGUUUUCUAGGGAUAGAAACUUUCAACUCAAGUUUUUCUUCAUAAGAUUGCAUCAAGACAUCAACAAUGUGUUCGGUAAAGGCCUUAUUUUGACUAUAAGCAUGAGGAGAAUCUAGCACGGAUUGCAACAAGGAAAUACAACCAAUCAAAGAGCAAUUUUCAUAAUUAAAUUCCUUGAGAUCCAAAAUAGUGGGUUUAGCAACAUCAAGAUUUUUAUUUCUUUCAAUCCCACUUUCAUCAAUUUCAUCAUCAAGAUCUAGAAACUCUGAAUUCUUAGAACGCCUUCUAGGUAAAGGAAGAUCAUAUUCAGUUUCAUCAAGAUCGAUAUUGCAAAACAAAGAUUUAAUAGGGGACACAUCAAUAACUUUUAGAUCUUCAUCUUGAUUUUCAUAGGAAUAGGAAGAACACGCUUUAAUAAAGGCAUCUUUUGAAGCACGCAUCCUAGCGGUUCUUUCCUUGCACUCAUCAAUGGAAAUUCUCAUAGCUUUGAGAGACUCAUUGAUAUGAUGCUUAGGGGGAAUAGAUCUAAGCUUUAAAGAAUCAACUUCAAGAGAAAUUCUAUCAACAUUCCUAGCCAAAUUAUCAACUUUAAGCAAUUUCUCUUCAAGCAAAGCAUUAAAAUUCUUUUGUGAAUUCAUAAACUCUUUAACACUACUCUCAAAUUCAGAGGGCAUCUUAUUAAAAUUUCCAUAAGAGUUGUUGUAGGAAUUUCCACAAUUAUUAGAAGGAUUACUAGGAUAAGGCCUAGGAUUAAAAUUCCCUCUAUACGCAUUAUUUCCAAAACUAUUCCUACCAACAAAAUUCAUAUCCAUAGAUUCAUUAUUAUUCUCAAUCAAAGUAGAUAAAGCCAUAUCAUUGGGAUCAAGAGAAGUAUUUUUAGUAGAAAACAUCUUCAUAAGUUCAUCCAUAUUGUCACUCAAAACAUUGAUUUCUUCUAUAGCAUGCACUUUUUUACUAGAAGUUCUUUCGGUAUGCCAUUGAGAAUAAUUAGCCAUAAUAUUUUCAAGCAAUUUUGUAGCAUCCCCUAAUGUAGUUUCCAUAAACGUGCCUCCUGCGGCCGAAUCUAAAAGAUUUCUAGAAGCAAAAUUUAAUCCGGCAUAAAUUUUUUGUAUGAUCAUCCAUAAAUUCAAACCAUGAGUAGGGCAAUUGCGAAGCAUCAAUUACAUUCUUUCCCAAGAUUGGGCAACAUGCUCAUGAUCAAGUUGUUUAAUAUUCAUAAUAUCGUUCCUAAGAGUGAUGAUCUUAGCGGGAGGAAAAUACUUAGAGAUAAAAGCAUCUUUGCACUUGUUCCAAGAAUCAAUACUAUUUUUAGGCAAAGAUGAAAACCAAAUUUUAGCAUGAUCUCUAAGUGAAAACGGAAAUAACUUCAAUUUGACAAUAUUGUUAUCCGUAUCUUUCUUCCUUUGCAUAUCACACAAAUCAACAAAAUUGUUUAGAUGAGAAGCGGCAUCUUCACUAGGAAGGCCGGUGAAUUGAUCUUUCAUAACAAGAUUCAGCAAAGCGGUAUUGAUUUCGCAAGACUCAUCAUUAUUAAGAGGAUCAAUCGGAGUACUAAGGAAAUCAUUAUUAUUGGUAUUCGAGAAAUCACACAAUUUGGUAUUAUCUUGCGCCAUGGCAACAAGUAAUCCAACACACAAGCAAAGGCAAACGAGAAAAAGGCGAAAGAGAAAGAGAGGAGGAGAUUGGGAAAGAGAGGGCGAAUAAAACGGCAAGGGUGAAGUGGGGGAGAGGAAAACGAGAGGCAAAUAAUGUAAUGCGAGAGAUAGGGAUUGUGAUGGGUACUUGGUAUAGUUGAAUUUUGCGCAAACUCCCCGGCAACGGCGCCAUAAAUUCUUCUUGCUACCUCUUGAGCACUGCAUUGGAUUUCCCCGAAGAUAAGAGGAUGAUGCAGUAAAGUAGCGUAAGUAUUUCCCUCAGUUUUUGAGAACCAAGGUAUCAAUCCAGUAGGAGAUCACGCAUGAGUCCCUCGUACCUACACAAAACGAUAGCUACUCGCAACCAAUGCGAUUAGGGGUUGUCAAUCCCUUCAUGGUCACUUACGAGGGUGAGAUCUGAUAGAGAUGAUAAAUAAUAUUUUUGGUAUUUUUGAUAUAGAGAUGCAAAGUAAAAAGUAAAAGGCAAAGUAAAAACAAAGCAAGUAAUAAAAUAAUGGAGAUUGAUAUGAUGAGAAUAGACCCGGGGGCCAUAGGUUUCACUAGUGGCUUCUCUCAAGAGCAUAAGUAUUCUACGGUGUGUGAACAAAUUACUGUUGAGCAAUUUAAAGAAAAGCGAAUAAUUAUGAGAUUAUCUAGGUAUGAUCAUGUAUAUAGGCAUCACGCCAAAACAAGUAGAUCGAAACGAUUCUGCAUCUACUACUAUUACUCCAUUCAUCAACCGCUAUCCAGCAUGCAUCUAGAGUAUUAAGUUAAAAACAGAGUAACGCCUUAAGCAAGAUGACAUGAUGUAGAGGGAUAAAUUCAUGCAAUAUGAUAAAAACCCCAUCUUGUUAUCCUCAAUGGCAACAAUACAAUACGUGCCUUGCAACCCUUUCUGUCACUGGGUAAGGACACCGCAAGAUUGAACCCAAAGCUAAACACUUCUCUCAUUGCAAGAACUACCAAUCUAGUUGGCCAAACCAAACCGAUAAUUCGAAGACACUUGCAAAGAUAACUCAAUCAUACAUAAAAGAAUUCAAAGAAGAAUCAAAUAUUGUUCAUAGAUAAGCUGGAUCAUAAACCCUUAAUUCAUUAGUCUCAACAAACAUACCGCAAAAAGAAGAUUACAUCGAAUAGAUCUCCACAAGAGAGGGGGAGAACAUUGUAUUGAGAUCCAAAAAGAGAGAAGAAGCCAUCUAGCUACUAGCUAUGGACCCGAAGGUCUGAAGUAAACUACUCACACUUCAUCGGAGAGGCUAUGGUGUUGAUGUAGAAGCCCUCCGUGGUAGAUGCCCUCUCCGGCGGAGCUCCCGAACAGGCCCCAAGAUGGGAUCUCGCAGAUACAAAAAGUUACAACGGUGGAAUUAGGUUUUUGACUCCGUAUCUGAUCUGACGGGGGUAUGUAUGUAUAUAUAGGAGGAAGGAGUACGUCGGUGGAGCAACAGGGGGCCCACGAGGCAGGGGGGCGCGCCCAGGGGGGGCGCCCUCCACCCUCGUGACCGCCUCUGACACUUCUUGGAGUAGGGUCCAAGUCUCCUGGAUCACGUUCGGUGAGAAAAUCACGUUCCCGAAGGUUUUAUUCCGUUUGGACUCCGUUUGAUAUUCUGUUUCUUCGAAAUACUGAAAUAGGCAAAAAACAGCAAUUCUGGGCUGGGCCUCCGGUUAUAGGUUAGUCCCAAAAAUAAUAUAAAAGUGGAAAAUAAAGCCCAAUAUAGUCCAAAACAGUAAAUAAAGUAGCAUGGAGGAAUAAAAAAUUAUAGAUACGUUGGAGACGUAUCAGUGAGGUGUGGCAAAGUGUGGCUAGAAACCAAAUAACCCCUAAUUAACCCGCACGUGUGUCGGUGUACUAGAGUAGGGGAACCCUAGUAUCCCGAACUUAUGCACGGGCAGUUGCAACACCCCGCGGCAAGGCUUGCCGGGCGACCGCCAAGAUCCUCCGUGGCUCCUUUGGAGCCAUUCAAGAACAAAGUAUUCGAGCCAAGAGACAAGACCCCGGCAAGAGGAGCUUGCCGGGAAGGCCAACCAAGGCAUCUCAAGGAACUUGCCGCGACGCGCCACGCGUCCCGGCAAGGCCUGGUGAGCGACAAGCUUCCGGGCGCGACAAGACAACGACCGUGGCAAGGCGCUUGCCGCGACAAGCUACCACCCUGUACUCGCGCUCCAGCACAUCCACCAACGUGUUGCCCUGAGGCCUUCCCAGGCGCGCGUGGCGGGAGGCUGUGCAGCCAGCGGUGCGCGGUGGCAUGCAACGCUAACAAGAUCACUAUCGUGGCGAACGGUGGCGUGCCUGACGGUCCCUUUCUGCACUAUUUGGGCGACAUAGACGGGCAUUUAAUGCCCUUGUCCCCUGCCGUCAGGGUUAGGUAGGAUACACUGUGCAAGUAGGUGUACCAACCGCUACUCCUUUUUACGUUUUUACGCUUAUCUACGUUGCCACCUGUCGGUGACCCCUUUAGCAUAUAAAAGGAGGCCCACAUGCAACGUAGAGGGGGUUCGGAAGGUUCGGAAGGUUCGGAAGGUUCGGCUCAUUUCGAAGCCAGAAGAACACUCACGCUCAGUCUUGUAGCAUUCGGCACUCCCGAGCAAGAACACAAUACAAUAGGACAAGCAACAGUAGGAGUGUUAUCUCUCCGGAGAGCUCCGAAGCUGGGUAAACUGCUCGUGUGCUUUGCCUCGAUCCGCUCUUCGUGCGAUCUCCGCCCCCCGCCGAACCGAAAGGGGCUCGGUCCGCCGGUCCCAUAGGUGUUCGUGGAUCAGUUUCCCCGACAUCUUUGGCGUGCCAGGUAGGGGGCGUCGAGAUUGUGUGAAUCCGAUCCGGCGUUCACACGAGCUAGAUCUUCAACCUCUUCAUCGAUAUGCCACCGAAGAAGAAGGAUUCGGGGGCAACUGCUCCGUCCGCGUCGAUCCCACCACCACCGGAGCAAUCAGGUGGUGGGGCAGACGCCGGCGGAAGAACGGGCGUCGACGAGGAAGCUCACGGUGCUGCCAGGUCCCAGGACAAGGCUGCGCAGACCUCGGCAUCCGUACAUGCACCGCGCCCAUCACAGGAGGCGCAUGACCUACAGCGUCAUGGUAUUCGCAGUACCAUAUGCUUGUUGGACCAAGGUCGAGCUGGUGGAUCCCGGGAUGCUCAGGACCAGCAUGCACGCCUGCGUGCUGGCACGAGCGAGACACGGUCGCCCGGACGGGAUACUGCUCCUUCUAACGUAGUUAGAAGUCCGAGCAUAUCCCGCUCCUCGCACCGUUCACCACUGCCACCCACCACUCCAGCAGAAGCUUUGGCGCGAGCUCAACUGCUCCUGGAUUACCCUCCAGUGGAAGACAAGAUCGACCAAUGGAGGGCCACUAUUCAGAGUCUCAUCGGCUUCGCCAACGGCGACACUCCACGGCAGCCGAGUGCAUCGAUGCCGCGGCAGGACCGCCAGGCGCGAGCCGGUGGCGACGAAACCGCUGGGGGUGCAACCGCCGUGCACUCUCCACCCCGAAGGCCAAGAUCGCCGACUCGCCGAAUCCACGUCGACAGCGACUCCACUGCAUCGUCGGAUCCACGAGCUCGCCGCGAUCAGCGCCAAGUUCUCCAUGAACGACAGCAAGAAGACGCUCAUACUCGCAUCGAGCGCCGAAGAGAAGCGCGACGUCAAUCCGACAAGCGCGCUGGGCCCUCUGUCGACAUGCAUGCGCCAGGGGAACCAGACGACUUGCCGUACGCGGUAGGUUGCCCUGCGUUCACUCGUGAGCUGCGGCAAGUCCAGUGGCCCAGCACGGAGAAUUUCAAGCCAGAUGUACCGGAGAAGUACGACGGCAAUAUGCAUCCGUCGGAGUUCCUCAGCAUCUAUACCAUCACGGUGCAGGCUGCCGGGGGACGGGACGACAAGAUCCUUGCCAACUACUUCCCGCUGGUGCUCAAGCCCAAUGUCAGAUCCUGGCUCAUGCAUUUGCCGGACAACUCCAGGCUGACUUAUGCCAUCAGUUUGUCGGCGCCUUUACGGGCGGCCACAAACCUCACGGCCAAGAGAGCGACCUUCAUCUGCUCGCCCAGAAGGAAGGAGAGCCCUUGCGCAAGUACAUUCAGAGAUUCAGCCGCGUACAGCACAACAUCCCAGAUGUCCACCCAGCCGCGGUAAUCAGCACGUUCCAUCAGAACGUGCGAAACCGCAGGAUGCGGGAGGAGAUGGCGAUGUGUAAGAUCAGAAACGUCAGUGAGCUAUAUGCCCUGGCCGACAAGUGUGCACAUGCUGAGGAAGGGAGGAAACUCCCCGGAGAGAAUACAGGAGCAGGAGGAUCUGAUAGUGAGGAUGCUGCCCCGGCAAGGAAAAACCGGCGGCGGAGCAACAGGAAGAAGAAAGGCAAAGAGGUGCUAGUCGUUGAGCAGUCCGGCAAGGAAGCCAAAGCUGGUAGCUCCGGCAAGCAGGUUGCCGCAGGCACCACCCAUCAGGCUAUGGUAGUCGCCGACAAGCAGGAUGGUGCCAACAGGCAGUGCUGCAAGAUCCAACGCACCAAGGGCCAUGACCUCCAGAGCUGCAAGAAGGUCGAGCAGCUUGUCGAGCAGCAGAAGGCAGAAUACGAGCGGCGCGACAAGGAGAAGGGCCAGGAAGGUGCUGGAGGAAUCGGCAAGAAACGCCCCGGCCGAGGAGGACACCGCGGCAAGGCCAAGCAGCGGCAAGGAGACAGACCUCCCCACGGCCGCGACAAGGAUGAAGAUGACGACGACGAAGAAGAUAUGGAUGAUGACAAGGCCGUUGAGCAGGAGUUCCAGAAAGCCACAGAGGUCCUAUGCAUUGACGGUGGUGCUUCUCUGCGAACUUCACACCGCCAACUCAAGCAGUGGGUGCGGGAAGUCAAUGCGGCAGAACCACCCGUCAAGUCACGCAGGCCUCUGAAAUGGUCCAGCACGCCUAUCAUAUUUGACAUUGAGGACCACCCUGAUCGCAUAACUGCGGUCGGGUGCUUGCCGAUGUUGGUUUCACCAACCAUCCGCAACCUCAAGGUCACUAAGAUGCUAGUUGACGGCGGGGCCGGCUUGAACCUGAUCUCCUCCGCGGUACUCCAGAAACUCCAGAUCCCUAACAGCGAGCUCGAAGAGACCGGCACAUUCCAAGGAAUCAAUCCGGGAAGAAGCAAGCCGAAGGGAAAGAUCACAUUGCCAGUAACGUUUGGCAGCGAGUUGAACUUCAGGAUUGAGAGGGCCACUUUUGACGUUGCUGAUUUUCCAUUGCCUUACAAUGGAAUACUUGGCCGUCCAGCACUCGCCAAGUUCAUGGCAGCCUCUCACUAUGCAUACAACGUGCUGAAGAUGCCAGGCCCGAUAAGUGUCAUCUCUGUCCCUGGCGACAAGAAGGAUGCUCUUAUCUGCGCCGACAAGAUCUACCGGGAAGCAGCAACCGCAACAGAUCGCAGAUCACUUGCCGUUGAAGCUCCCGGGGGAAAGAAGAAGACUAAGUACGGCAAGAGUUCUGAUGCCCACUCCGGCAAGCGCACCUCUUCAGAGUGCUGCGCUACCGUCGAGGACGCACCAUCGAGCUCCACCGGCAAGAGUAAGAAGACAAUGGUGGCUCCACCAGAGACCAAGAAGGUGUCCGCCAAGGAGGACGGCACUGGUGGUACCUUCACCAUCAGUGCCACUCUCGACCCUAAAUAGGAAAGCGCGCUCAUCGCUUUCUCACGGGCGAAUGUCGACGUGUUUGCAUGGCAACCGUCUGACAUCCCCAGUGUUCCCAGGAAAGUGAUCGAGCACCAUCUUGCUGUCUGUCCUCACGCACGGCCCGUCAAGCAGAAGGUCAGGAAGCAGGCAGUGGAGCACCAAGAAUUCAUCACUGAAGAAAUCAAGAAGUUCGAAGCAGCAGGCCUUGUCAGAGGAGUGCUCCAUCCUACGUGGUUGGCCAAUCCUGUAGUCGUGCGCAAGGCAAACGGGAAAUGGAGGCUUUGUAUCGACUUUACCGAUGUUAAUAAAGCUUGUCCCAAGGACCCAUUUCCCUUGCCACGCAUUGACCAGAUUGUUGACUCCAUGGCCGGAUGUGACUUGCUUUCAUUUCUUGACGCAUACUCAGGAUACCAUCAGAUCUUCAUGGCAGAAGAGGAUGAGGAGAAGACCGCAUUCAUCACCCCAUGUGGCACAUACUGUUUCGUACGGAUGCCUUUUGGUUUGAAGAAUGCUGGUUCAACAUUUGCAAGAGUGGUCCAUGAUGCUUUUGAGCCACAAAUGCACAGAAAUGUGGAAGUGUACAUGGAUGACAUAGUGGUCAAGAGCAAGGACAAGGCAACUCUGAUCCAAGAUUUAGACGAAACCUUUACAAAUCUGCACAAGAUCAACCUCAAGCUCAACCCCGAGAAGUGUGUGUUUGGAGUCCCUUCCGGCAAGCUUCUUGGGUUCUUCGUGUCUCAGCUGGGGAUCGAAGCCAAUCCCGACAAGAUCAAGGCCAUUGAGCAGAUUCAAGCACCAAAGCGCGUCAAGGAUGUACGAAGACUUGCCGGUUGCGUGGCUGCUCUCAGCAGGUUUAUUUCUAGGUCUGCUGAGCGCGCCCUGCCAUUUUUCAAAAUAUUGAAAAAGGCAGGUCCGAUGAAAUGGACUCCGGAAGCGGAGGCUGCGCUGCAGGACUUGAAGAGAUACCUGUCCUCCACUCCAACACUUGUCGCACCUAAGCCACAAGAGAAGUUGCUGCUGUAUAUAGCGGCAACCAAUCAAGUGGUUAGUGCUGCGUUAGUAGCGGAGAGGGAGGCAGAUGAUGAGCCGGCAACCACGGCAAGUGCAUCCAGCGACAAGCAAAGGACUUCACCGGCAAGCUCUAGUCCCGACAAAGAUGGAUCUGCGCAGACACGUGAAGAGGGCCAGAAGAGAAUGGUGCAGCGCCAAGUUUACUUUGUCAGUUCCCUUCUGCAGGGGGCUAGAUCAAGGUACUCUGGUGUGCAGAAAUUGCUUUUCGGCCUUCUCAUGGCCUCGAGAAAGCUGCGCCAUUACUUCCAAGCACAUGAGAUCACAGUCGUCACUCGUUUUCCGCUGAAGAGGAUACUGCAAAAUCCAGAAGCAACAGGCAGGAUUGUCGAGUGGGCACUGGAACUGUCAAGCUUUGGCCUCAAGUUUGAAAGCACUUCAACUAUCCAAAGCAGGGCAUUAGCACAGUUCAUAGCAGAGUGGACGCCAACACCAGAUGAAGAAAUUCCAGAAACGAGCCUCCCCGUCAAGGAAGCAAGCAAAGAGUGGUUGAUGUACUUUAAUGGUGCCUUCUCGCUGCAAGGCGCCGGUGCCGGCGUGCUACUUGUCGCACCCACCGGAGAGCACCUCAAGUACGUAGUCCAGAUGCACUUUCCCAAGGAACAAGCAACAAACAAUACUGCAGAGUAUGAAGGUUUGCUUGCCGGUCUCAGGAUCGCUGCAGACCUUGGGAUCAAGAAGCUCACUGUCAGGGGUGACUCGCAGCUUGUCGUCCGCCAAGUGAACAAGAAUUAUCAGAGUCCGUUGAUGGAAGCUUACGUUGAUGAAGUGAGGAAGCUAGAAGAGCACUUUGACGGCCUGCAAAUGGUACAUGUUCCAAGAGCUCAGAAUGACAUUGCCGAUGGCCAGUCGAAGUGCGCCGCACUAAAGUUACCUGUGGAACCAGGGAUCUUUGUGCUCAGGCUGACUCAACCAUCCGUAACACCAUCAACUGGACAGAACAAGAAGAGGAAGUUGAUUUCUGGUGACUACUUUCCAGCAGAGCUCCCCGAAGCCGCCGCCAAGAAGGUCCCCAAGAUCAACACCAAGGAUGCUGAGGAGCAGUCUGCUCCGACAAGCCCUAGGCUUUGUUCCGUUGAAGUAGACGCUCCCGGCAAGCUUUGUUCCGGCAAGCUUGCCGGGGAACGCCAAGCCCCGGCUGAGCCGCAGGUUCUCGCCGUAGAAGCGGGUGUUCCCGCAGCAGCAGAUGCGCCUUUAGUCCUUGUUGUCGAGCCGCGAGCUCCAACAUGGGCACAGCAGAUUGUCCGUUUCCUUCAGACAAGAGAACUUCCCGAAGAGCAAGAAGAAGCGGAAAGAGUAGCCGGGCAGUCAAGUAUGUACCAGUUUGUUGACAACACACUGUACAGAAGAAGACUCAACGGUGUGAAAUUGAAGUGUAUUCAACGGGAAGAAGGACAAAAGCUGUUGGCAGAGAUACAUGGAGGCAUAUGUGGUCACCACAUUGGCUCAAGAGCACUUGCCGGCAAAGCGUUCCGGCAAGGUUUCUUUUGGCCGACAGCCCUCCGGGAUGCAACUGCACAAGUAACUAAGUGUGAAGCGUGCCAGUUCCAUUCCAAGCAGAUACACCAGCCAGCUCAAGCUCUCCAGAUGAUCCCUUUAUCCUGGCCAUUUUCGGUCUGGGGGCUCGACAUCCUCGGCCCCUUUCCCCGAGCUGUUGGGGGAUUUGAGUACUUGUACGUUGCAAUCGACAAGUUCACAAAGUGGCCAGAAGUGGAACCAGUGAGGAAGGUGACAGCACAGUCAGCAGUCAAGUUCUUUAGGUCAAUUGUUUGCCGUUUCGGGAUCCCUAACAGGAUCAUCACCGACAAUGGCACGCAAUUCACGAGCCGCACCUUCAUGUAGUACGUCCAAGAUCUUGGCACCAAGGUCUGGUUCGCUUCUGUUGCUCAUCCGAGAAGCAACGGUCAAGCAGAGAGGGUGAAUGCUGAAGUGCUGCACGGGCUCAAGACCAGGACUUUCGACAGGCUGCGCAAGUGCGGAAAGAACUGGAUUGAGGAGCUGCCGGUGGUUCUUUGGUCGAUCAGAACGACACCAAAUCGAGCCACUGGCCAGACACCUUUCGCUCUAGUCUAUGGAGCGGAGGCAGUUCUCCCCACGGAACUCGUAUACGGGUCACCUCGAGUGCUCGCUUAUGAUGAGCUCGAGCAAGAGCAGCUGCGACAAGAUGAGCUGCUCGAUACCAACAAUCUUUGCGCCGCUACCAUAGCCGCAAAGUUAAUGCCAGAAGUUUCGAGGAAGGCGACCUUGUUCUUCGGCGCGUUCAGUCCGCCAAGAAUUCUAACGAGUUGACGCCGAAGUGGGAAGGCCCUUACCGGGUGAAACGAGUCACUAGGCCUGGCGUUGUCCGCCUUGAGACCGAAGAUGGCAUUCCGGUAAGCAACUCCUGGAACAUUGAGCAUCUUCGUAAGUUUUACCCGUAGGGCGCGGUUGCCGGAACCCGUUCCGGCAACCACCUUUUGUACAAGUCUUGCCGAUGUGGCAUGUAAUCCUUUGUACAAAGCCGGGCGCAGACCCCGUGCAUAAGUAAAGCUCACGUGCUCCGCACAUCUUGUCAAUUUCAUGCUUUUUACUUUAUAUUUGCAUGCAUUAUCUGACACUUUGUGCAGCACCUACCCCCGGUAAGCAAUAACGAGCCAUAAGGCUCCAUAUCUUUGUUUUCUCUUCUUUCUUUUUCUCAAAGAGGAAGGUUCCCUUGCACACAAGUUUGCCGGGGGGAAAGGAGAAGAUAAUGGCAUGGACCAAGCGUCGCUCGAGGAAGUUUUGCCUUGCCGGGAAGCAAACGACAGAAAAGCUAAGUUGCCAAAGUUUGAGCGAUUAGUUUUUAAAUUUUGAAGUUAUUCUCCUCGAGCGACCGUACUUUGUAUGGAAAACCUAUGCGCGGAGGAACCAACUCGUAGCUAGUUGCGCCCUUACUUUGUUUUGAAUCCGCUCAACAAUUUAAGUGAGCUGCGACUAGUUGCGACAAGGUUUCUUGUCGGAAGCAGCACCGCCAGCAGGCUGCUGAUGUUCCGCACUCAGCGCUCGCGGCUAAGGUGCCUGCGCCGGCAAGUUCCCUAAAAGCGUAGGGCAAAAACAUACAAAGGAAGGGAUCAAGUAAAGGAAAUAACAUAGCAAUCUCUACCGAAAAUAGAGUUAUAUUACAACAUAGCUUGUCGCAGCUCUAAUAGAUGUUCUCGUGACAUAACCAGCAGCGACAAAGCGAAAGAGAAAACUGGCGGCCUAGUCUACGCGAUCGCCCUCAACCCUCUUGAUCCCGCUCACCUUGUCCACAAUGGGUGCGACAAGGGCCUUCAGCACUUCCACGUCAGCAUCCAGUGGCAAGGACUUGAGGACGUUGGUGAAGUUGAGGCCUGGGUUGCGGAAGGCCACCUUCAUCAGCACCUUCUGGAGAGCCCCCGUGAAGAUCCUGCGCGACUCGUCGGCCAGCUGCUUUGGGAUCUUUUCCUGGAGUCGCUGGAGAGCCGUCGCCACGCCUUUGAAGAAUAGGCUGAGCUUGGCGCUGGGUUGGAGAUGCUCGUCGGAGGGAUACCCAAAAUCCUCCAUCCCCAGCUGCGCCAACUCCCCGUCGAUGGUUGCGGCAGCAUCCACGAGACCCUCAGUCCAAUGCUCCACAGUCUCCCUGAAAGCGUCGUGGGUGGCAGCAGCAUUCGUCAGCAGCGCCUCGUCGGCCUUGAUCUUCUCCGACAAGGCCACCUCCCGCUCCCUGGCGCCGUCCAGCGUCUGAGUCAAAGUGGCCAGCUUCAACUCGAGAUCUGCAUUGGAAUCCUUGGCGGCGCUGAGCUCCUUGCUCCUCUCAGCGAGAAGACCCUGCAGCUCACCAUGAGCGGCAGCAUCCUUCUCAUGCUCACACUUGAGCAUGGCAAGCUCCUCGCCGCUCGCCCUGAGAUCUGCUUCCAGCUGCGCCACCUUUGUCUCCAGCUCCUUCUUGGCGGCCUCGGCAGCUGCAGCAGCAUCCUUUGCCUCCUUGAGAGCCCCGCCAAUUGCUUGCUCCCGCGCGACAAGCUCCUCCUCGUGGCUGUCAAGGUUCACCUUGCGCUGCGCCAACUCUCCUUCUUGCGCGAAUAGAUUCUCGGCGACAAGCCGUUGCUUCUCUUCAACUUCAGCCUUCUCGAGGAGGAAAGCUUUCCGCUCCUCGAGAAGUUGCUCCCGCUUCUCUGCCAGAGACCGGAGAGCCUCCUACCUGAGACCCCGGAGCUCCUCUGCGCGCUUCUCAAUGUCCACUCCCGCCUUCGCGACAAGUGCCUCUCGAGACGCCAGCUUGGUUUGGCGGGCGCGGUAAAGAGACAACAGCUUCCGCAGCAGCUGCUCCUCCUCAGGCUCGUCGCUGCUGCUGCUUGGCGCGUCGACCAGCGCCAACCCAGCGAAGGCGAGCACCUCUUCAUCAAAAGUCUCCCCUUCGACCGGCGCCCUGGAGCUCGACGCCCAGGGGAGCUUGAUGAAGACGCCAUCGCCUGCCUUCAAGUAGGCGCCGGGCUAGGGCUCUUCGGAGCCUGACGCCACGGCAGCGGCAGAGGGAUCGGCGGUCGGUGCAGCGCCUGGCGCUCCUGCGGCCUCGGGGCCGUCAGUGCGAUCGCCGGAUUCGUCGCCUGCUUCUGUGGCGGCAGCCUUGGCGGCCUCUUCGCCAGCGGGAUCAUCAGCACCGGCCCCUUCUUCGGUGGCGGCGGCGUCGUCAUUGUUGCCGCGCACGUCCUCCUCGCCGGUGGCCUCGGUUUCCAUUGGAUACGCGGCAGGUGGAUCUGACGACCGAAGAAGGGAGAAAAGUCAAGUAAAUUCUCAAGAAGAAAAUCAGAAGAAGAAGAACCCAAGGGGAGUUUUUCGGGCAAAAGGGUUACCUGUGCUAGGAUCUGCAGUCGUGGCCUCAACCACCGGAGGAUCACUAGCGCUGUCCCUUGCCGGAGAACCGCCCCUUGCCGGAGAAUUCUCCCUUGCCGGAGAACGCUCCCUUGCCGGGGAAUCCUCCCUCGGCGAUGUAGUCGAAGCAGAUGGCACUUCGGGAGCGGCCUCCGGGCCCUCCUGAUGAGGCUGCUCUACUCCUACACAAACCAACAGACAGAUAUCAGCAAAAGAAGAACACCCAUGCGCGCUUGACAGCAUGAAGUAAACCAUACACUUACCCUGGGGGCUGUGCUGAGGGCUGCUUUGGGGAAGAGUUGCCGGGUCCGGCAAGGUGGUCGCAGGCACGUCCCCUGUUGCCGCCGUGGGUUCAUCCUCGAUGACAAUCACCGGGACCUUGGCUCUCUUCGCCGCUCUGUGGGCCAGAGUCCUGAAAAGGAACGGAUCCAGAAUGAAGCAGAUCAGAUACAAGACACACCUCAAGAAGUGAAGAAUUAAAAGUACAACAAAUAAACUUACUCUUCUUCUUCCUUGUCGGAGCUGAGCGCGGAGAUAUCGAAGUCCGGCUCGCCUCCAGUGCGACGAGUCGGAGGAGAAGGCUCCCUUGUCCGCUUGGCAGGAGCAGUGGCGGUGGAUCGGGAAGACCCCGCUCUAGUUGCCGCAGCGGCCCGAGGUGCUCCCGCGGCAACAGUGCUUGCCGCGCUCGAGCGCGUCGCGCGCUGCGACGGCUGUUGACUCGUCUGCCGCCCCGCUACGUCCCCGGCCUUGCGGAGACGCCUUCUUGCUGGAGCUGGGGGCUCCGCUUGCGGCGAGCUGGCUGAAGGUGGGGAGGAGGAGGAGCCGAUCUGCAACGGGUCGCCCGCGCCCUCGGCGGGCUCGCUUGACUCUGAUUCAGGCCUGACAAGUUCUUCCUCACCGACAAGCUCUUCUCGCUCGGCAAGGCUUGCCGCCUCUGCUGCCUCUGCCUCCUCCAAGGUGAACCCAAACACGCCCGCGGUAGCUGCUGCCGCCGCUUCCUCCAGCCUAGUGGCGAUGCGCUGCAUCUCCUUGUCGGUGGUGUCGCGGGUGAGGCUCUUCUGCUCGUCGGAGCGGACCGGCACUUCGACCAAGCUGUCGAAGAACUCCUGCAUGACGUCGUCUGCGGGCUCUUGCCAAGUUGGGAUGAUCCCAUGCGAGUCGCACAGCGGCAUCAUUGCACGGAUGCGGUCAAGCGAAGAAUUGUUGCACAACGGAACGACAUUCCAUGGUAACAUAAAUGGGUGUUGGGGAUCGUGCUUGAACAGCUCCAGGAGCAUCGCGUCGAGCUCCAAGACGGUGAAAUUGAAAUUGAGGCCUGGGCGCAGCCUCAUGAUAUCCGCCGAGUUCUGGAACUCCCAGGCGGGUCUCCCUCUCUCCUGAAGGGGGGCGAUGCGACGACGAAGGAAAUCUGCGCCAACGGCGCCUACGGUGAGCCCGGCAAGCCUAAGGCGCAUGAUUCGGGUGACGGCAAUCUUCAGCCUGUCAUCCUCCGGGGCCACGUUGCUCCAAUCGUUGCCGCGUACUAUCGGGGUUUGGCGCCGGGCGGUGAAUGGCUGCGGGUUCUCCUCGACGAUCCAGCACCAAUCUGCUCUCCACUCCUCCCACUUGGUGUGGAGCUCUCCCACCAGAUAGGCUUCCUUCUUGCCGACCCUCGAGAUCCAGGCGAUUCCGCCGGCAAGGGGCUCUCCUCUCUCGACUCGGGGGAUGAAGAAGUGGUGGAAGAGGGCGACAUUGGGGUGGACUCUGACAAAGUUUUCGCACAGAUGUGCGAAAACUGCCAUGGUCAGAAUGGCAUUGGGGGUGAAAUCAAGGAGGCGGAACCCGUAGGUGUUCAUGAUAUCGCAGAAGAAUUCGGAGAAGGGCGGGCAGAGCCCACAGUAGAAGAACAGCGCGAAGAAUGGGUACCCGUUUGGAGCCAGUCUCGAAGCAGCGGCUGAGAGUACCCUCGUGCGUGGAUGCGCUCGCGUCUCCGUCGACGAGAAGAGGUAGUAGUAU